CACAACAAAGAAGCAAAUUUUAUCUGAUUUCUAUACCCAUGCAUCUGAGUUCUCUAACAUUUUGGCUUCCUCCAAUAUACAAGCACUUCCUGCAAAGUUUUUGCAUACAUCUUAUUUCCAUAUAAUGUAUCCUAUCUCGGCAAAACUACAGUACAUAACUACUGAUAUAACUUAAGCCAUAUAGAACAGGAUAAGCAUCUCUAAACUCUAUAAUAUCAUAAGUUAUACGACUUGUCAAUAGAAGGAUCAAAUACUAAAAUUUAUCCUUCCAUAGAUGUUCCUAGUUUAACCUGAAUUAGAAACAGAUUGGUACUGCUCCUAAUGUAAACGAAAUAGCUAUAGAUCUUGUAAUUAAACAUGAACUCUUGGAGUGCCUCUCCUUCAUAUUCAUUGUGUCGAGAGGUACAAAGUAACACACGGAACAACAUCAAAUCGAGCAAGAUAGGUAUGAUCAGCUCUCUGAAAGCGGAAUCAUCUAUUGUUCUGUAAGAUAAUACUAUAUGCCACUGUUUCAAGCCUGCACGAUAAAACUGAAACUGAAAUUUAGAAUUUGCUUCCCAAUUGCAAAAGUAAAUGUACAACGCUCCAAGAAAAUAAUCAACGCUCCAAGAAAAUAAUGAGGCAAUAAACCAUUUGUAUUGUGGUACAUUUUGGUAAAGUUUGCACCUGGGAAUAAACUGCAAAUCAAGCAAUGUUGGAGAUAGCCUUCAUGUAUGCAAGCCAUUGUUCUCUUGCUGUCUAAAUGAUGAGGAGAAGCACCAAAUAUUAUGUCAAGGAAAUUCUAGUAAAAACCAAGCUACCUACUGCUACUUAACUUGUGGAAAUAAUAAAGCAAUACAUAAACAUGAUACACCUUCAAAUCAAGAUAGCUAAUGGUCUUCUGAAAAAUCAAGGUAGCUACAGCCAAGGAAUUGAAACCAGCAAUUGAAAAGGCAAGAAAGUCACAUGAGAUAGGUUACCUCAUUAGUCAUUACUCCUGUCAUAUACAUACGUGUAGGUUAACUCAGUUCAAUAACCAAGGAAAUUUCCUCAUUCAUUUUAUUUCAUAAUUAGCCCCCUGAAAUACUAAUCUCUUGAAGGUUAGUACUGUGGUACACUUCUACCAGAAAAAAUUGAAACUAAAGAAAGGAGUGUUGCCACUUUGUAACUAAUGAAACAAAUAGAUAACAACUUCAUAGCAGUACAAGUCUGUCACUGUUAUUUACAGUUAGAAGGUGGUAAAAAAUAAAAUACACAAGGUCGAUUCUUACAUCAAGAGGUGGAUCUAAAUCCUGCAGUUUGAGCCAAGGAAGUGGCAUCUUCCCUCAUCAGUGAUGCUUGGUUAAGGUCUGGAAGACAUGGAAAUUGAUGGCCUUUAGUAUAGCCGUUCCUGCUUCUUGAUAUGCAAGAACACGAGAUGGGGGCUGAGACUUGGGACAUGCACUGCGGCGGCUGCCACUGUGAAGUUAAUCGAAAGAGACCUCGCCAAAGAGACCGACGACUAUGCCAUUUUACAAAACACAACCUCAGACUUGACCGCCUCAAGCAUCAGCUCGCGGCGUCCGUGGAUCCAUCGACUCGCAUCCUCUGACUCGACCGCCUCAUGUAGCACGGCCACCUGNNNNNNNNNNNNNNNNNNNNNNNNNNNNNNNNNNNNNNNNNNNNNNNNNNNNNNNNNNNNNNNNNNNNNNNNNNNNNNNNNNNNNNNNNNNNNNNNNNNNNNNNNNNNNNNNNNNNNNNNNNNNNNNNNNNNNNNNNNNNNNNNNNNNNNNNNNNNNNNNNNNNNNNNNNNNNNNNNNNNNNNNNNNNNNNNNNNNNNNNNNNNNNNNNNNNNNNNNNNNNNNNNNNNNNNNNNNNNNNNNNNNNNNNNNNNNNNNNNNNNNNNNNNNNNNNNNNNNNNNNNNNNNNNNNNNNNNNNNNNNNNNNNNNNNNNNNNNNNNNNNNNNNNNNNNNNNNNNNNNNNNNNNNNNNNNNNNNNNNNNNNNNNNNNNNNNNNNNNNNNNNNNNNNNNNNNNNNNNNNNNNNNNNNNCCUUCACGGGCAGAUUCCACUUGUGGAGCAUCACGAGCGCGGGACAAAGAAUCACCGCUGCCUGCUCCCGCAUAGCUGGUACGCGUCUCUGUGGGAAUCACCGGCCAUGGCGGAAGAAGGGGCAGCCAUAGUUAGGUGUGCAUCCGUGGUGUAGGGGAGGGUGGGAGGAGGAGUCGAACGGCGACGGCGCUACCUGUCUCUCGUGGAACCCUACGCGCGUGAGGACGAUCGAGGGUUGAAGAGAGGAGUGGGUCGUGCGGUGCUGUCGUUUAGGGCAAAUAAAAAUCGGGGAGUGGGUAGGAAUGAACUAGGCAGGUACCGCUUCAUCUCUAUUCCUAACUAGAGUAAAACGCUUGUGUUUUGCUACGGGCUUUUUGUAUAUAACAAUAGUUUAAUAUCAGUUGUGUAUAAUAUAUAUUUUACUCUCAUAUUAAUUAUGUUUAUGCAUCAUUAUCAUUUUUUUAUGUAAAGACCCUCUUUCUCACUCCGUCUCUCAUCUUCAACACCCUUCUCUCUCUUUAUCAAUUUCCUUAUUGGGCCCUCAUCUUCUCCAUCCUCUCAAAUUCCCUCAAUCAGUUUUUUAAGUGUUCGACUAUGCACAAAAUAAUAUUUUCCAGUGUAACAUUUUCAAGACUAAGAGCAUCUUCAAUAGACAGUCCAUUUUAUAAAAAUAACCAACUUUUGAAGCUUCUGAGGCAAAAAAUAUAUCUCCAACAGAUGGUCCAUAUGUAAAAAAAUAAUUACAUUUCCGUCUUCACGAGAUAUAAAAUACAACACCUCGCGGUGCAAAUUUACAUCUCCGGAGGCAGGAGAUGUAAAAACCGCGGUCGCGCACCAACGCCCAACCGCUCUUCAGUUCUUUUCCCCCCUUCUUCCUCUAGCCCGCCUGCCGCCGCUCCGCCGCAUCUCCCCGACACCGCCCCACCGCAGAUCCAGCCCCGUCCCUACCCCCGCCGCCGAUUCCACCCCGCCUGGACCACUACCCACCGUCAUACAUGUGGAUCGGGCCAUUGUCGCACCACGCCGCCCCGUCCCCGUCCGCCUCCGCCCCGCCCCGGACCGUUCCACCUUAGCCCCGCCCUAACCCGGCCCACCUCCGCCCCACUCUGGUCUNNNNNNNNNNNNNNNNNNNNNNNNNNNNNNNNNNNNNNNNNNNNNNNNNNNNNNNNNNNNNNNNNNNNNNNNNNNNNNNNNNNNNNNNNNNNNNNNNNNNNNNNNNNNNNNNNNNNNNNNNNNNNNNNNNNNNNNNNNNNNNNNNNNNNNNNNNNNNNNNNNNNNNNNNNNNNNNNNNNNNNNNNNNNNNNNNNNNNNNNNNNNNNNNNNNNNNNNNNNNNNNNNNNNNNNNNNNNNNNNNNNNNNNNNNNNNNNNNNNNNNNNNNNNNNNNNNNNNNNNNNNNNNNNNNNNNNNNNNNNNNNNNNNNNNNNNNNNNNNNNNNNNNNNNNNNNNNNNNNNNNNNNNNNNNNNNNNNNNNNNNNNNNNNNNNNNNNNNNNNNNNNNNNNNNNNNNNNNNNNNNNNNNNNNNNNNNNNNNNNNNNNNNNNNNNNNNNNNNNNNNNNNNNNNNNNGCUCCGUCCGCCUCCGCCCCACGCUGCACGCCGCCGCCCGCUCCCUGCUCGGCCGCCACCCCAACCUCUCUCCAUCUGCCACCGCGCCGACUCGCUCCGGCCGCCGCCGCCACCCGAUGGCGCCAAAGGGCAAGUCGGGUUUCUUCGGCGUGAGGGUGAAGCCCUUCCGGGAACUUCGAAGUGGAGUUCUCCGACGCCGGGCGGUGUUGGUGGCUCGGCACGUAUCCCACCGCCGACGAGGUUGCGCGUGCCUACUACGUGGCGGUGUGGCAUGUCGGAUGGCCGAAGACGGGCCUCAACUUCCCGCAAUCGAGACCUGGGCAGUGGUGGAGUGGCUCGUGCUGCGGGACAUCUGGAUGGAGGAGAUGCCGAAGAAGAAGAAGAAGAAGAAGAAGAAGAAGAGACCGGCGGUUGUCGUCACUCCCGGUGAGAGCAACGAGGCGGCGAUGGCUCGGUUUGCGCAGGAGCAUACCAAGAAUGCCCAGGCUGAGUAGGAGUUCUACUGGAAGCGUGAUGCCGAGGAGAAGGAGGAGGAGGAGGAGGAGGAGGAGGAGGUGAAGAAGGAGGACGAGGCCAGACCCUCGACGGUGAUCCCCAUCCUCCAUCAUCGUUGGAGGAGGACGAGGAGUUCUGGGGGCUCUCGUAUGACUCCGAAGAGUCUUACUGGAUGCCCUUGGACAACGUGUAGUUCUGCUACUUUAAAUUUAUGUCAUCUAUGUUUGAACUAUGUUUGAAUUUGAUGUUUGAACUAUGUUGAGAUGAACUAGUAGGUCAUUUUUAGAAUUUUACAUCUUUGUUUUGUACCAUCUGUUGGAGUUGCCCUUUUACAUCUCCAUUUUGGACCAUCUGUCGGAGUUAAUCCUUUUUCGGAGAAGUAAAAAGCACUUUUUGGUGAUAUAAAUUUUUACAUCGCCGAUUUGGAUCAUCAAAAUAUACAUCAUCUAUUGGAGAUGCUCUAAGCAUUAUAUUUGCCACCACAACAAAAAGAAUUUCAUGGAAGUUGUUUUGGGUGAUUCGCUCUAUCCUUAAAAAAAAUUCAGGGAUCAUGAGAAAUAUUUUGUGGAGCACGACAACACACUCCACACAUAAGCUGGCGUAAUUUUUCAUUUUCUGAUAAGAAAACGAAUAUUUUUUUAUCUAUUUCUGUGAAGCAUUGUAAGCGGGAUAUUUAGGUUUGUGAGGAUGUCAUGAUACGAAUCAGAAUAUCUGUAAGUUUAAACUAUUUCUUGGAAAUAAUCUAUGUACUCUCUUUAUAAUUUAUUUUGCACUAUCAUAAACCAAGUCAUUACAAACACUACUUGCCUUGGUCCAUCAAGUAUUCUCUUAGCCCAUUGAAUAACCUUAGCAAGAAAAUUUUUACACAGAGCGAAGUGCUAAUAUUUAUACAUCAAAUACAUCAAAACUUUACCAGCCUGUAGAUUUUUCCUACAUUAAAAGCAAUUAACUCUUCUAUGAGGUAGUUAUUUCACAAAUGCAAAAUUCUUCUGAUUACCUCCAUCCCCUUAUAGUAGCACCCCUCAUAAGCACUCCUACUUCCUAUGAAGUUGAAUCUUCAUCAAAUGUUAAUGUUUCAUUUUCUUCCUUGACGUCUUAUACUAUUUAUUUUCAUGGAUAUAGGGUGCUUUGCUUUCACUGUGGUGAUAUUCUGCUAUGUCAUUUGUAAAAACAUGUCUACUUUGUAGUAUCCAAUGUAUCAUGCACUUGUGUCUUCUCGCCGUAUAGUCUCAACUGUAGAUAAGGCUUCAAAAACAACGGUCACGUGUAAGAUCUGGGCUAUUUACUUAAGUGACAUUGAUGGUAGCUAUCUGCAAGUUUUCUUCAGUCAACAGCUCCGACUGGUGUACCCACUGAUAAUUCUACCUUGGUUGUAGGCAAGUAGGCUGGUAUGUUCAUCUAUUAUCAGGAAAUCAUCUUCAUAUCUGAAUUUUGGCGGAACAACAAUUCUACUAAGACCCUGGCAUUAAAAGCAGCGCAGAAAAGACCGGCAAACAAAUUUUGUCAGAUAAUAGAAAUUUAGAAUCAUUGAGGGACAUAAUACCACUCUGCUAUCAAAUUGAGCAUAAUUGCAUCACAAAAUAUUUGAGCUAGCAUGUCUUUGAUGUCUACUACACAACCUUCUUAUUGUAGACAUUUUUGGGCCUCCAAGUGCAGAGGUUUGUAGGACAGUAGCAAAUUUCCCUCAAGUGGAUGACCUAAAGUUUAUCAAUCCGUAGGAGGCGUAGGAUGAAGAUGGUCUCUCUCAAACAACCCUGCAACCAAAUAACAAAGAGUCUCUUGUGUCCCCAACACAACCAAUACAAUGGUAAAUUGUAUAGGUGCACUAGUUCGGCGAAGAGAUGGUGAUACAAGUGCAAUAUGGAUGAUAGAUAUGAGUAUUUGUAAUCUGAAAAUAUAAAAACAGCAAGGUAACUAAUGAUAAAAGUGAGCACAAAUGGUAUUGCAAUGCUAGGAAACAAGGCCUAGGUUUCAUACUUUCACUAGUACAAGUUCUCUCAACAAUAAUAACAUAAUUGGAUCAUAUAACUAUCCCUCAACAUGCAACAAAGAGUCACUCCAAAGUCACUAAUAGGGAGAACAAAUGAAGAGAUUAUGGCAGGGUACAAAACUGUUGGGGAUCAUAGCAGAAAUUUAAAAUUUUCUACGCAUCAUCAAGAUCAAUCUAUGGAGUCAUCUAGCAACGAGAGAGAGAGAGAGCGAGAGAGAGAGAGAGAGGAGUGCAUCUACAUACCCUUGUAGAUCGCGAGCGGAAGCGUUCAAGAGAAUGGGGUUGAUGGAGUCGUACUCAUCGUGAUCCAAAUCACCAAUGAUCCUAGCGCCGAACGGACGACACCUCCGCGUUCAACACACGUACGGAGCGAAGACGUCUACUUCUUCUUGAUCCAGCAAGGGGUAGGAGAAGAUGAUGGAGAUCCAGCAGCACGACAGCGUGGUGGUGGAAGCAAUGGGAUUCCAGCAGGGCUUCGCCAAGCGCUACUGGAGGAGGAAGAGGUGUCACGGGAGGGAGAGGGAGGCGCCAGGGCUUAGGGUGCGGCUGCCCUCCCUCCCCUCCACUAUAUAUAGGGGCCAUGGGGCGCAUGCCCCCUUGGAUAUCCCAUCUAGAGGGGGCCGGCGGCCCCUUAGGGGCAACGGCCCCCUUAGGGUUCCCAACCAGGGGGCGCAUGCCCCCUCGGGGGGCAACGGCCCCCUAGGAUUUCCAACCCUAGGCGCCUUGGGCCCUUGGUUGGGGCGCACCAUCCCACCAGGGGCUGGUUCCCACGCCACUUCAGCCCAUGGGGCCCUCCGGGAUAUGUGGCCCCACCCGGUGGACCCCCAGGACCCUUCCGGUGGUCCUGGUACAAUACCGGUGACCGCUGAAACUCUUCCGGUGGCCGAAACUGGACUUCCUAUAUAUAAAUAUUUACCUCCAGACCAUUCUGGAACUCCUCGUGAUGUUCGGGAUCUCAUCCGAAACUCCGAACAACUUUCGUUUAACCGCAUACUAAUAUCUCUACAACUCCAGCGUCACCGAACCUUAAGUGUGUAGACCCUACGGGUUCGGGAGACACGUAGACAUGACCGAGACAACUCUCCGGUCAAUAACCAACAGCGGGAUCUGGAUACCCAUGUUGGAUCCCACAUGCUCCACGAUAAUCUCAUCGGAUGAACCACGAUGUCGAGGAUUCAAUCAAUCCCGUAUACAAUUCCCUUUGUCUAUCGGUACGAUACUUGCCCGAGAUUCGAUCAUCGGUAUACCGAUACCUUGUUGAAUCUCGUUAUGGCCAGUCUCUUUACUCGUUCCCGUAACACAUCAUCCCGUGAACAACUCCUUGAUCACAUUGAGCUCAUUAUGAUGAUGUCCUACCAAGUGGGCCCAGAGAUACCUCUCCGUCAUACGGAGUGAGAAAUCCCAGUCUCGAUUCGUGCCAACCCAACAGAUACUUUCGGGGAUACCCGUAGUGUACCUUUAUAGCCACCCAGUUACAUUGUGACGUUUGGCACACCCAAAGUACCCUUACGCUAUCCGGGAGUUGCACAAUCUCAUGGUCUAAGGAAAGGAUACUUGACAUUAGAAAAGCUUUAGCAGACGAACUACACGAUCUUGUGCUAUGCUUAGGAUUGGGUCUUGUCCAUCAGAUCAUUAUCCUAAUGAUGUGAUCAUGUUAUCAAUAACAUCCUAUGUCCAUGGUUAGGAAACGGUAACCAUCUAUUGAUCAACGAGCUAGUCAACUAGAGGCUCACUAGGGGCAUGUUGUGGUCUAUGUAUUCACACAUGUAUUACGAUUUCCGGAUAACACAAUUAUAGCAUGAACAAUAGAAAAUUAUCUUGAACAAGGAAAUAAAAUAAUAACCUUUUUAUUAUUGCCUCUAGGGCAUAUUUCCAACAGAAACCACCUCAAAGUUAUCCUUUCUGAUUGAUCUAUUCAAGAAUCCGUGGUAAAAUAACAUGAAGCUAUUCUUUCCGUUCAAUCUAUCAUAGAGUUCGUACUAGAAUAACAACUUAAGACACAAAUUAACCAAAACCCUAAUGUCACCUAGAUACUCCAAUGUCACCUCAAGUAUCCGUGGGUAUGAUUAUACGAUAUGCAUCACACAAUCUCAGAUUCAUCUAUUCAAACCAACACAAGGUACUUCAAAGAGUGCCCCAAAGUUUCUACCGGAGAGUCAAGACGAAAACGUGUGCCAACCCCUAUGCAUAGGUUCAUGGGCGGAACCCGCAAGUUGAUCACAAAAACAUACAUCAAGUGAAUCAGUAGAAUAACCCAUUAUCACCACGGUUAUCCCACGUAAGACAUACAUCAAGUGUUCUCAAAUCCUUAAAGACUCAAUCCUAUAAGAUAACUUCAAAGGGAAAACUCAAUCCAUUACAAGAGAGUAGAGGGGGAGAAACAUCAUAAGAUCCAAGUAUAAUAGCAAAGCCCGCGAUACAUCAAGAUCGUACCACCUCGAGAACACGAGAGAGAGAGAGAGAGAUCAAACACAUAGCUACUGGUACAUACCCUCAGCCCCUAGGGAGAACUACUCCCUCCUCGUCAUGGAGAGCACCGGGAUCAUGAAGAUGGCUACCGGAGAGGGAUUUUCCCCUCUGGCACGGUGCCAAAACGUGUCUAGAUUGAUUUUCGGUGGCUACGGAGGCUUCUGGCGGCGGAACUCCCGAUCUAUUCUGCUCCCCGAAGUUUUUAGGGUAUAUGGGUAUAUAUGGGAGGAAGAAGUACGUCGGUGGACCUCUGGGCUGUCCACGAGGCAGGGGGGCGCGCCCCCACCCUCAUGGGCAGCCCGGGACUCUUCUGGUCCAUCUCUGAUACUCCGUGGGCUUCUUGUGGUCCAAAAAUAAGUUCCGUCAAGUUUCAGGUCAAUUGGACUCCGUUUGAUUUUCCUUAUCUGCGAUACUCUAAAACAAGGAAAAAACAGAAACUGGCACUGGGCUCUAGGUUAAUAGGUUAGUCCCAAAAAUCAUAUAAAAUAGCAUAUAAAUGCAUAUAAAACAUCCAAGGUUGAUAAUAUAAUAGCAUGGAACAAUCAAAAAUUAUAGAUACGUUGGAGAUGUAUCAGCAUCCCCAAGCUUAAUUCAUGCUCGUCCUCGAGUAGGUAAAUGAUAAAAACAUAAUUUUUGAUGUGGAAUGCUACCUAACAUAUUUAUCCAUGUAGUUCUCUUUAUUGUGGCAAGAAUAUUCAGAUCCAUAAGAUUCAAGACAAGAGUUUAAUAUUGACAUAAAAAUAAUAAUACUUCAAGCAUACUAACCAAGUAAUCAUGUCUUAUCAAAAUAACAUGGUUAAAGAAAGCUAUCCCUACAAAAUCAUAUAGUCUGGCUAUGCUCUAUCUUCACCACACAAGACAAGCAAUUGUUUCAUACUUUUGAUGUUCUCAAAAAUUUUCAAUCUUCACGCAAUACAUGAGCGUGAGCCAUGGACAUAACAAUAUAGGUGGAAUAGAAUGGUGGUUGUGGAGAAGACAAAAAGGAGAAGAUGGUAUCACAUCAACUAGGCGUAUCAACGGGCUAUGGAGAUGCCCAUCAAUAGAUAUCAAUGUGAGUGAGUAGGGAUUGUCAUGCAACGGAUGCACUAGAGCUAUAAGUGUAUGAAAGUUGAACAAAAGAACUAAGUGGGUGUGCAUCCAAGUUGCUUGCUCAUGAAGACCUAGGGCAAUUUUGAGGAAGCCCAUCAUUGGAAUAUACAAGCCAAGUUCUAUAAUGUAAAAUUCCCACUAGUAUAUGAAAGUGACAACAUAUGAGACUCUCUAUUAUGAAGAUCAUGGUGCUACUUUGAAGCACAAGUGUGGUAAAAUGAUAGUAGCAUUGCCCCUUCUCUCUUUUUCUCUCAUUUUUUAUUUUUUUGGGCCUUCUCUUUUUUCAUGGCCUCUUUUCUCUUUUUUUAUUUGGGUUUCUUUGUUCUCUUUUAUUUAUUUAUUUUCAUCCGGAGUCUCAUCCUGACUUGUGGGGGAAUCAUAGUCUCCAUCAUCCUUUCCUCACUUGGACAAUGCUCUAAUAAUGAUGAUCAUCACACUUUUAUUUACUUACAACUCAAGAAUUACAACUCGAUUCUUAGAACAAAAUAUGACUCUAUAUGAAUGCCUCCGGCGGUGUACCGGGAUGUGCAAUGACUCAAGAGUGACAUGUAUGGAAGUAUUAUGAACGGUGGCUUUUCCACAAAUACGAUGUCAACUACAUGAUCAUGCAAAGCAAUAUGACAUGAUGAAGCGUGUCAUAAUAACGGAACGGUGGAAAGUUGCAUGGCAACAUAUCUCGGAAUGGCUAUGGAAAUGCCAUAAUAGGUAGGUAUGGUGGUUGUUUUGAGGAAGAUAUAUGGUGGGUUUAUGGUACCGGCGAAAGUUGCGCGGUACUAGAGAGGCUAGAAAUGGUGGAAGGGUGAGAGUGCGUAUAAUCCAAGGACUCAACAUUAGUCAUAAAGAACUCACAUACUUAUUGCAAAAAUCUAUUAGUUAUCGAAACAAAGUACUACGUGCAUGCUCCUAUGGGGAUAAAUUGGUAGGAAAACACCAUUGCUCGUCCCCGACCGCCAUUCAUAAGGAAGACAAUCAAUAAAUGAAUCAUGCUUCGACUUCAUCACAUAACGGUUCACCAUACGUGCAUGCUACGGGAAUCACAAACUUUAACACAAGUAUCUCUCAAAUUCACAACUACUCACUAGCAUGACUCUAAUAUUACCAUCCUCAUAUCUCAAAACAAUCAUCAAGUAUCAAACUUCUCAUAGUAUUCAAUGCACUUUAUAUGAAAGUUUUUAUUAUAUCCCUCUUGGAUGCCCAUCAUAUUAGGACUAAAUUCGUAACCAAAGCAAAUUACCAUGAUAUUUAGGACUCUCAAAAUAAUAUAAGUGAAGCAUGAGAGAUCAAUUAUUUCUAUAGAAUAAAACCACCACCGUGCUCUAAAAGAUAUAAGUGAAACACUAGGGCAAAUGACAAACUACUCCGAAAGAUGUAAGUGAAGAUAAAUGAGUAGUCGAAUAAUUAUGCAACUAUGUGAAGACUCUCUAACAUUUAAGAAUUUUAGAUCUUUAUACUUUAUUCAAACAGAAAGCAAAACCAAAUCAAAUAAAUUGACGCUCCAAGCAAAACACAUAUCAUGUGGUGAACAAAAAUAUAGCUCCAAGUAAAGUUACCGAUGAACGAAGAUGAAAGAGGGGAUGCCUUCCAGGGCAUCCCCAAGCUUAGGAUUUUGGUUCUCCUUGAAUAUUACCUUGGGGUGCCAUGGGCAUUCCCAAGCUUAGGCUCUUGCCACUCCUUAUUCCAUAGCGCAUCGAAUCUUUACCCAAAACUUGAAAACUUCACAACACAAAACUUAACAGAAAACUCGUAAGCUCCGUUAGUAUAAGAAAAUAAAUCACCACUUAGGUACUGUUGUGAACUCAUUAUUUAUUCAUAUUGGUGUAAUAUAUACUGUAUUACAACUUCUCUAUGGUUCAUACCCUCUAAUACUACUCAUAGAUUCAUCAAAAUAAGCAAACAACACAUAGAGAACAGAAUCUGUCAAAAACAGAACAAUCUGUAGUAAUCUGUAGGUUUCGAAUACUUCUGUAACUCCAAAAAUCCUGAGAAUUUAGGAAGUCCUAGGAAAUUUGUUUAUUAAUCUACUGCAAGUGGAAUUGGUAUUUUAUCGCCCUCUGGUAAGAAAUGAAAAUUAUUCUCGUGAGCGCAUACUUUCUUUUUUUUACAGCAAGAUCAAAUAACAAUCACCCAAGAAGAUCCUAAAGGCUUUACUUGGCACAAACACUAAUUAAAACAUAAAACGACAUCUAAACAUAGGCUAGAUGAAUUAUUUAUUACUAAACAGGAACAAAAAGCAAGGAGCUAAAAUAAAAUUGGGUUGCCUCCCAACAAGCGCUAUCGUUUAACGCCCCUAGCUAGGCAUGAUGAUUUCAAUGAUGCUCAUAUAAAGGAUAAGAAUUGAAACAUAAAGAGAGCAUCAUGAAGAAUAUGACUAGCACAUUUAAGACUAACCCUCUUCCUAUGCAUAGGGAUUUUGUGAGCAAACAACUUAUGGGAACAAUAAUCAACUAGCAUAGGAGGGCAAAACAAGCAUAACUUCAAAACUUUAAGCACAUAGAGAGGAAACUUGAUAUUAUUGCAAUUCCUACAAGCAUAUAUUCCUCCCUAAUAAUAAUUUUCAGUAGCAUCAUGAAUGAAUUCAACAAUAUAACCAGCACCUAAAGCAUUCUUUUCAUGAUCUACAAGCAUAGAAAUUUUAUUACUCUCCACACAAGCAAAAUUCUUCUCAUGAAUAAUAGUGGGAGCAAACUCAACAAAAUAAUUAUCAUGUGAGGCAUAAUCCAAUUGAAAACUAAAAUCAUGAUGACAAGUUUCAUGGAUAUCAUUAUUCUUUAUAGCAUACAAGUCAUCACAAUAAUCAUCAUAGAUAGCAACUUUGUUCUCAUAAUCAAUUGGAACCUCUUCCGAAAUAGUGGAUUCAUCACAAAAUAAAGUCAUAACCUUUCCAAAUCCACUUUCAUCAAUAUAAUCAUCAUCAAUAGGAGGCAUGCUUUCAUCAUAAUAAAUUUGCUUAUCAAAACUUGGGGGACAAAAAAUAUCAUCUUCAUCAAACAUAGCUUCCCCGAUCUUGUGUCUUUGCAUAUCAUUAGCAUCAUGUAUAUUCAAGGAAUUCAUAGUAACAACAUUGCAAUCAUGCUCAUCAUUCAAAUAUUUAGUGCCAAACAUUUUAAUGCAUUCUUCUUCUAACACUUUGGCACAAUUUUCCUUUCCAUCAUACUCACGAAAGAUAUUAAAAAGAUGAAGCGUAUGUGUAACACCCACGAUGCGGCUAUAUCUCCCACGUGUCGGAGCACGACUUAGAGGCAUAGCCGCAUAGUAGGCAUGUCGCAACAGGGGUAAUCUUUACACAUCCCAUGUACUGAAUAAGAAAGAGAUAAAGAGUUGGCCUACAAUCGCCACUUUAAACAAUACAUAAAUAUAGAAUUACAUCAUCCAGAAUACAAUCAAGGUCCGACUACGGAACCAAAAUAAAGACAACCCCAAAUGCGAUAGAUCCCCGAUCGCCCCAACUGGGCUCCACUACUGAUCGUGUCGUGGAAUUGUCACGGCAGAUGUCCUAGAGCAAGGACUUAGUCAUAGGGCCAUCGCACUAGGAAGCUUAAAGGGGUUAAUCGGGACAAAGGACACGAGAGGGUUUUAUACUAGUUCGGCCCCUUAUGAUGAAGGUAAAAGCCUACGUCUAGUUGGGAUUGGUAUUGCUGGGGUAUCGAUCACCAAGAGGCUCAACUUGCCGGCUUGGUUAUCGAAUUGUUGUUUCUUGCCCUAAGCCGCCACUGGGUUGUCCCCUUAUAUACAUGGGUUGACGCCUGGUGGCCUAUAGAGUCCCGGCCGGCUCAUAAUUGUGUCCGGCUCGGUGACUUUCUUUACAUGCCUUUCUUUAUAAGUCUUUCCUUACAUACGGCGGUUCACAAUAUCAGGCCUUAAACCGCCUUCAGGCCUUUGGGCCUUCUAUAAGAUUUAAUAAACUAUAAUGUUGAAUGUUUACUGGGCUUCUUAUGUAACCCGCCAUUGGGGCUGACACGGCCCCUCCUGGGCGGGUCAUAACUGAUAGUAAUAUCCCCAACAUUAGGCCCCAGGUUGACUUUGAACUUUGUUCUUUGUCAAUCUUCAAUACUUAGACAAAAAUCCAUCUUCUUAUCUUCGCUGAAAUUUUCUUGUAACUCACCAUGACAUCAUCUCUUGAAAACGCAAAAAACUUUCAUGACAUCAUCUUCCAACGGAUCUUUUAACUUUAAUGUUUCCCGAGAAUCGAGGCGCCUAUAUAGCUGGAUAACCAUUAUUCGGCUCUCCCUUGAUUUUCGCGCCCGUCUGUUCACAUCUUUUCCUUAUAAAUAGGCAUGCCUCGGCCUUCUCAUUCUCCUCUCUCGCCCAUCUUCUUCCUCUCGCAAACCCCCUGCUGCUCGAGCUUCGCCACCGCCGCGCUUCACCUGUGUCUUCGUCGAUGUUGGCCGCUGCAUCAACCCGAACCGAUCCAGAGAACAGCGGCGACCUUCGCAGGAGAUCCGCAAUUGUAAGUGUCUCCCUUUUUACUUCUCAGAUCCUCAUUUUAGGGUUUCCAAGCUCCUGCGUGUUCUUCAUAGCUCAUCAUAGUUCAUCGUAGUUCUUCCACCGCCAGCCUUUUCUGAUCCAAAAGGUUAUAUAUAUGCCCGCGCGGUAGUGUUUUUGUACCUCUUCUUGAUCCAUAGAUCCCUUUCUCUGAUUAAAAGGCUGCUUCAGAACUUACCGACUCCUCUGUACUGAACUUUUUAGGUCUAGAAUUGUUUUCAUUUUGAAUAUCCAUUUGAUCUGGAAUAAUACCAAGCAAUGUAGGAAACUUGUUUGUCUCAAUACUUAGCUGAAUUUGCCUUCUUCAAAUAUCUGUAGUCAUGGCGGCUUAUCAUGCCGGCUUAAUUUUCCUUAUAUGUCAUUAGCCCUUAACUAAGCUGCCAUUACUUGUUUGCAUCUUCAUCACUUAACUGUCAAUCUCACCAUUAAACUGAACCGGCAUGUUGCUUUUCUUUUCAGUUCUUUGCGCAUCAUGCCGUCCAAAACACCAACCAUCUGUAACUGGGUUCCCUCAACCAUAACUGGGGAACGUUUAAAAGAAUUCUUCACCAUAGAAUUUCUGCCAACGAAAACUGUCAUGUGUUACCGUGCCCCUGGCCUGGAAGAAGAACGGCCCAAUCCAAGAGACGGUGAGGUGAUCGUUUUUACUGACCACAUGAACCGUGGCUUCUCACCGCCCGGCUCAAAGUUCUUCGGAGAGGUCCUCCACUUUUUCAAGCUCCACCCUCAAGAUAUCGGGCCCAACUCCAUAUCUAACAUCUGUAACUUCCAAGUGCUAUGUGAGGUAUAUCUUCAACAAGAGCUGACCGUGGAGUUGUUUAGAGAAUACUUUUAUCUAAACCGGCAGAAGAGUGCACCAACAGCCUUAGGUUAGAGCUUGGAGGCAUAUCAAUUCAGCGCCGGCAGGGUGCCGUCUUCCCCCUCAUUGUCUUACCAAGUCACCCAAAGGACUGGAACCAGACUUGGUCCUACUACCAUGACACUUCACCAGCAAACGAGAAGCCACUGCCGGGUUAUCGCCUCGAUCAUCUUGACUCCAAGUUUGCGCCUCUAUCAAAAGGAUCAAUGCUCUGCUGGGGAACGGGUUAACUGGAGUUGAUCUGACCCGCUGCUGGAUCUCAUGGCGGGUCAUCCCUUUGAGCUGCCGAUCAAAGCUGAUGUAUGAGUAUGGUGGAGGCCCGGAUGACUUUCUUCGUCACAGCCCUGUUCAAUUGACAGAAGAAGAUAUUGUCUCAAUGUCAACUCUUCUGGUGAAUGGGAAAUAUGAAGAUUGCAGUGUCGCCGGGUUAAACCCCUUCUGCCAGCUUAACCCAGUGCCAGAAGUAAGGAUGUCGUUAUUUCUCUCUUUUGUAUUUUCCCAGCCGUAUUGUUUUAAUACUUGCCUGACUCUUUAUCUUGUUUUUACCUGUCUGCAGGCCAACUCUGACUUCUGGAAAGUUAAGUAUGACCACGAGGCUGCCAAGAAAGCGAAAUCCGCCGCCAUAAAUGCCAAGAAAACGACUCGGAGGUCGAAAAAGAAGAAAAAGAGCACUACUGAAGAUUUGAUGAAGCUUGAUGAUACAUCUGACUCGGAGGUAGCCCUUGAUUCCCUUGGCCAAUUUUUUAACAAUCUUAUUGACACUGAUCAUUACCAGGAUGACACUGGGGCCAGUCAGGCUAUGGAAGCAGAGGUAACUAUCAUUUCCUCCUACUCAGAGCCCUUGCCAAGACAAAAAGUUCGACGAGUGACCCGUAAAGUAAGGUUUUCUAACCCUUUAGCUCACAUGGAUCCCAACUUUCGUUUGAAAAAUCAGCAACAUGAAAGCCGCUAUCAAGCUUGGACUGAAGAUGAGCCGGCUGUCGUUCUUCAACAAACUCCUCAGAAGCGUCCGAAUGAGGUUUACUUCUUUCUGUCUUUAACUCUUUUUAAUGGAUCCUUCCCCUUGUAUUACUUUUAACUCUAUUUUAUCCUUUCAGGAGGUGUCUCGCUCUUCUGGCGACUCAUCGCAUACGCAAUUUCCGGCCUUCAAGACUGCCCCUAGGUAAUGAAAAAUCCUCAUAUUUCCGGGUUGUUCAAAUUGUAUCUUUAUACUGAUGAUCUUGCAACAUUUUUCUUAGUGGCCAAGCUAAAUCCAAGAAAGCGAAGGUAGCUAAACCGGUGGAAGACCCGCCAGUGCUUGCAUCUGACCCAGCCAGGCCAUCUUCUCCAUUAACUGACGCUCUAACAGACCCGCCUGUUGAUGCAGAAGCAAAUCCUCCUGAGCCGUCGUUUGAUGAGACCACUGUGAACCCUUCUGCUACUGGACCAUCAAGCUCAGCCAAUCCGCCAUCACCGCCUACACAAGACGUUCAGAUCACAUGGAGCCGCUUUAUUGAACCAGGGAAUCCAACUGUGCUGGCCCGGUGUACUGCGAAACAAGAGGCAUUAGAGAGGCAGAAAGUUCGCUUUGACGUUGCCAACUAUGACCAUCUAAAUGCCAAUCAUAUUUUAUCCGGCUAUCUUAGGCAUGUACACUCCAGUCGCGACUCUGAGAUUGAAAUGGUCAAACAGCUGUAGUUGAAAUACGAGGUACAUUCUUCCGGCUUAUCUAUAUUCCUUCAGCCCCCAAGUCUUCAGAUUAUGAGAGAACCAGAAUGAUCUGUAGACUUUAAAAUAUAGGCCGAGACCUUUACCUUUGAAACUUUUCUUGAAUUCAAUAGAACAAAGCUUCACCUGUAGUCCCCAAGGGCCGGUUCAUUUUGAUCAUAAAUGAGCCGAUACUUUAAAUUGCCUGGUACCGUAUUCAAAGGACAUAAUACUCCGGCUUAACCUUGAGAAACUUGCUGAACUGCAUACAUUAGCCCCCAGGUGCCAAGUGUUGUUACUUUGUAAGGUACUUGGGACUUAAAGUAUGUCUUUAGAGUCAUAAAAAAUUGAUUUGGCAUACAUUAGCCCCCAAGUGUCAAGUGGUUUUUUGUAAAGUACUUGAGACUUGAAUCUUGAUUUUUGAAAUUGAAGCAAAAUCUUGACUCAUCUGAAUGUUUUGCAGAAUGCCUUAUCUGAAUUGAACUCGCAAUUGAUUGAUGCAAAGACCCGGCUAGCGAGUCAGGAGGCAGAAAUCAAAUUUGCUAACGCCAAACUACAAAUAAGUCUCUCUGAGACGGAAAAUUUAAAGACCAGCUUCGCUGCCAAGAAGAAAACUUGGGAAGAGGAAAAAACGCUUUUGACCCAACGUGCUAAGAAGUCCAAAACAACCCUUGAAGAGAUUUCAACAGAGCUGAACGGUUUAAAGGGCUGGGUGUCUCAAAUGGUGGCUGCCAUCUUUGGUAAGCCGUCCAACUUUAAUUUUGUGUGCUUUUUGCUGAUCCGGAGUAUAAGCCGCCAGCUGACUUUGUGUAUAAAAUAUGUGCAGGCCCUCGAAGCAAAAAUCUGAGCCAAUACCCUUUGAUUAAACUGAAGGCAGUGUAUACUUUGGCAGAACAACUGUAUAUUGGUGCACAACGGGCUCUUGCCGCCAUCUCUCCUGCCAAUCAAGGACCCAACCGGCUCAUCGACGUCCUGAAGAAACUAUCAAUCCUGCCUGCCAGGUUUCAAGAAGUGAAACACUCCUGCGUGCGAGCCGGAGCUUUGACUGCCCUGAGCCGCUCCAAGGCUUGGGUGCCAGACCUAGACCCGACGGAUGUGGCCAGAGGCUAUCCCACCGUGAAGGAAGAUGGUUCUCCUUUUCAGCAGGAUGACUUCAUGGCCUGCGUGCAUGGAGUCCAACCUCAGGCAACUACCCUUGGAGAUGACACCAAUAUUGACAAAUACCAGCCGGGUUUUGAUGCUGAAAAUAAGAAGAUGGCGACUCCCUCGUACAAGGUGACGGAUUUGAUCCCGCCUAUAAGAGAAAUCACAUUUGCCCCAGAGGUUGACCCGGCAGGCCUGAUCGAUGAUGAAGCAGAAUUCAUCGCCGUGAAUGGUUUUGACUGGUCAAAACCCAACUUCCAGCCAAUAGAGGGCGGUGAACCGGCGAGGGAGGAAUAGUAACCAUCUUCAUUUGGCUUAUCAAAAGCCAUGUAAUAGUUUAGCUAUGAAAACACUGAAUGCAUUGCUUAUGCCAUCGUGCAUAAAACACCGUAUGUGACUCCGUGUUUCCUGAUGGCAAUAUAUGCAUUAUAUUUGAUGAUCGUUUCUGCAACACUUUAAAUCUAUACCCUAUAGAGACAAGAAAAGACUGGCCUAGCGGCUUAGAAUCGAACGGGUUAAAACACCCGGCUUAUAUCCAAUAUGUUUAUCAUAAUAGAAAAAAAAGAAAGCAGAUAUAAAUAAUGGACAUGGGCUGAAACUAACUCUUUAGUUAAUGCAGCAGGCAAUUUAUAUAUAAAUAAUAGCCAUAUUUGUACCUUUGAUCCUUAGACCACCGGCUUGAGUAACCCGGGUAAUGAAUUUGAUAACUCAAUCUUUCUGAGAAAUCAAUACCUUUGAAUACUUCAAUCAUUAUUAUACCUUGGUAGCCAUGUUGUCAAAUAGACAAACCGGCGAAGAAGAUCAUGCUAAUUAUUUGCAACAAGAAACUCAAAGAGAAAUAACAGUUAACAAGUAUGAUUUAACCUUAUAUUUAAAGGUUGGUGGCUCCUGAUUCGAAUACGAUCAGUAAACCGGUCCAAAGGGGUUAAGAUAAGGUUCGAAUACAACGAUAUAGCCCCCAGUGGCUCCUUAAUAGUCAUUUGAGAAUAAGAAAUAACAAAGAUGCAUAAUCUUUGAAAAGAAAAGAGAACGAUGGUAUUACUUUAUUACUUAUCAUGGUAUAUACAAUGUUAAAGUAUGUACAUGAUGAGAGCCGGUAGCUUAGGUGUCGUAUGGCCGAAGUUGAGCAAUGUUCCAUGGACGGCGGGUCUCCUCCUCCGAAUUACGUGAAUCUUUGUGUUCUCGAACGCCAAUGAUGUAAUACGACCCGUUGUUUAAAUUCUUGCUGACCACAAAGGAUCCUUCCCAAGGUGGGGAUAGCUUGUGCGCAUUUGACAGAUCCUGGAUGAGCCGGAGCACCAGGUCGCCUUCUUGAAAAGUCAUGGUUUUGACCCGACGGCUGUGAUAACGGCGCAAGUCCUGUUGAUAAAUUGCUGACUGGGCCGCUGCUAAGUCUCUUUAUUCAUCCAACAAGUCAAGUGCAUCCUGUCUGGCUUGUUCAUUAUUAGCAUCAACAUAAGCCGCCACACGGGGCGAAUCAUGAUGAAUGUCACUAGGCAACACUGCUUCUGCUCCAUAAACCAUGAAGAAAGGUGUGUAACGUGUAGACCUGUUAGGUGUGGUGUUGAUACUCCACAACACCAAGGGUAAUUCCUCUACCCAACAACCCGGUGUUCGUUGUAAAGGAACCAUUAGCCGGGGUUAGAGACCUUUCAAAAUUUCCUGAUUGGCUCUCUCAGCUUGACCAUUGGAUUGAGGAUGAGCUACAGAAGAAAAUGCCGGAUGUGCUCUCGUUGACAAAACUCCUCCAUAGCCCCUUGAGACAGAUUAGUGCCAUUGUCAGUGAUAAUGCUGUGUGGAAAACCAAAAUGGAAAAUCACCUUUUUCAUGAACUAAACCGUCGUGGCCGCGCCACACUUACUCAUAGGCUCUGCCUCAACCCACUUAGUGAAUUUAUCAACUGCCACCAAGAGAUCUGUCUUUUUAUCCUUAGACCUUUUGAAAGGUCCCACCAUGUCAAGCCCCGAGACCGCAAAUGGCCAAGUGAUUGGAAUCAUCCGGAGCUCUUGAGCCGGCACAUGCGCUCACCAUGCAAACUUUUGACAUCCAUCACAUCUGCUGACCAGAUCCUCUGCAUCAGCGUGAGCCGUCAACCAGUAAAAACUAUGAUGAAAAGCCUUGGCCACCAGAGAUUUUGACCCGGCGUGAUAACCACAAUCGCCUUCAUGGAUCUCACGAAGUAUUUCUUGACCUUCUUCGGGGGAAACACAUCGCUGAAACGCUUCAGAGACACUGCGAUGGUAUAAUUCUCCAUCCGAAAUCGUCAUUGACUUAGACCGCCGGGUUAUCUGUCGAGUCAGGGCCUUAUCCGCUGGCAACUCUCCCCGGGUCAUGUAAGCCAAGAACGGUACUGUCCAAUCCGGGAUGACAUGAAGAGCUGCCACCAACUGUGCCUUCGGGUCGGGAACAACUAAAUCUUCUUCUGUGGGCAACUUGACAGACGGGUUAUGUAAAACAUCCAAAAAGGUGUUAGGUGGUACCGGCUGACGUUGAGACCCCAACCAGCUUAAAGCAUCAGCCGCUUCGUUCUUUCGACGGUCAAUGUGCUCCACCCGAUAACCUUUAAAAUGCCCUACAACAGCAUCAACCUCCCGGCGAUAAGCCGCCAUGAGAGGGUCUUUGGAAUCCCACUUGCCUUAUACCUGUUGAGCCACUAGAUAUGAGUCGCCAAGACAUUUAAUUUGGCUCAAACUCAUCUCUUUUGCUACUCGAAGACCAUGGAGCAAGGCUUCAUACUCUGCUACGUUGUUAGUGCAAGGAAACAUCAACCGUAACACAUAACAAAAUUUGUCACCUCGCGGAGAGGUUAACACAACUCCAGCCCCCAAGCCUUCCAACUGUCUGGACCCAUCAAAAUGAAUAGUCCAAUACAUGUUGUCUGGUUUCUCUUCUGGCAUCUGCAUAUCUGUCUAGUCAUUAAUGAAGUCAACCAGUGCUUGAGAUUUGAUCGCGGUACGUGGCGCAUACUUCAACCCAUGAGACCCAAGCUCAAUUGCCCACUUGGCGACUCGCCCAAUGGCUUCUCUGUUUUGAAUGAUGUCUCCCAAAGGAGCAGAGCUAACCACGGUGAUGGGAUGUCCCUGAAAAUAAUGCUUAAGCUUCCGGCUUGCCAUGAACACCCCAUACAUGAGCUUCUGCCAAUGUGGAUAUCGUUGCUUGGAUUCAAUUAACACCUCACUCACGUAGUAAAACGGCCGUUGAACCGAAUGCUCCUUGUUAGCCUCCUUGCGCCCUACCACAAUAGCCACACUAACAACUCGUGAGUUAGCGGUCACGUAUAACAGCAACGACUCUUUCUCAACUGGAGCAGCCAGGACCUGCAGCUCAGCAAGCUGUGUCUUCAAAUCUUCAAAAGCAGAGUUUACAGCAUCGCUCCAAACAAAAUCAUAUGUUUUCUUCAUCAUCUGAUACAGAGGCAUUGCCUUCUCCCCUAACUGGCUCAUGAACUGGCUCAAAGCAGCAACACGGCCCGCGAGUCGUUGAACCUCAUUGAUGCAUGUUGGCUUGCCCAUGGAUGUAAUUGCCUUGAUUUUCUCCAGGUUAGCCUCAAUACCUUGGUUAGACACAAAAAAACCCAAGAGCUUGCCGGCUGGGACUCCAAAAACACACUUGGCCGGGUUAAGCAUCAUUUUGUAGACCCAGAGAUUAUUGAAAGUCUCUUUCAGAUCUGUGACCAAGGUUUCCUCUUUAUUGGAUUUUACCACUAUAUCAUCCACGUAAACAUGAACAUUACGCCCAAUUUGAUCGUGAAGACAAUUCUGCACACACCGUUCGUAAGUCGCCUGGGCACUCUUAAGCCCAAAAGGCAUAGACACAUAGCAGAAAGCUCCAAAAGGAGUGAUAAAAGUCGUCUUCUCCUGAUCCUUGACUGCCAUCUUGAUCUAAUGAUAACCGGAAUAAGCAUCCAAGAAACUCAAACAUGCGCAACCCGCCGUAGCAUCAAUGAUCUCAUAAAUACGGGAGAGGGCAAAAGGAUCAGCCGGACAAGCCUUGUUUAGAUCGGUGUAAUCCACACACAUACGCCAGGUGCCAUUCUUUUUGAGUACAAGCACCGGGUUGGCUAACCACUCUGGGUGAAAGACUUCUAUAAUGAAACCAGCUGCCAAAAGCCGGGCCACCUCUUCUCCAAUGGCCUUGCGCCUUUCUUCAUUGAACCGUCGGAGAAAUUGUCUGACAAGUUUAAACUUUGGAUCAAUAUUGAGAGUGUGCUCAGCGAGUUCCCUCGGGACACCCGGCAUGUCUGAAGGUUUCCAUGCGAAGAUGUCCCGGUUCUCAUGGAUGAACUCGAUGAGCGCACUUUCCUAUUUUGGAUCCAAGUUAGCACUGAUGAUGAACUGCUUGGAUGAGUCGCCAGGCACAAAGUCAACCAUCUUGGUGUCAUCAGCUGAUUUGAACUUCAACACCGGCUCAUGCUCUGUUGUUGGUUUCUUUAAUGACGUCAUGUCUGCCGGGUCAACAUGAUCUUAGUGAAAUUUUAACUCCUCUGUUGCACAGACAGAUUCAGCAUAGGCAGCAUCACCUUCUUCAGACUCCAAGGCUAUUUUCCAGCUCCCGUGUAUUGUGAAGGUGCCCUUAUAACCCGACAUCUUAAGCUGCAAAUACACAUAACACGACCGAGCCAUGAAUUUGGCAUAAUCCGGCCGUCCAAACAGAGCAUGAUACGGGAUUUUGAUCUUAACCACCUCAAAGGUUAAUUUUUCUGCUCUGGAGUCAUACUCAUCCCCAAAGGCUACUUCCAGUUCAAUCUUACCCACUGGGUAUGCCAACUUGCCAGGAACCACACCGUGAAAAACAGUGUUGGAUUGUUUAAGACUCUUAUCAGUCAAUCCCAUCCGGCGGAACGUCUCAUAAUAGAGGAUGUUGAUGCUGCUGCCUCCAUCCAUGAGUACUUUAGUGGAUUUGUAUCCACCAACCUGAGGUGCCACCACCAAAGCCAGAUGACCCGGAUUACCGACCCGGGGUGGGUGAUCCUCUCUGCUCCACACAAUAGGCUGCUCUGACCAACGUAAGUAACGUGGAACCACCGGCUCAACGGUAUUGACGGCCCUCUUGUGAAGUUUCUGGUCUCUCUUACAUAAGCUAGUGGUGAAUACAUGGUAUUGCCCACUAUUCAGCUGCUUCGGAUUGCUCUGAUAUCCGGACUGCUGCUGCUGAUUACCUUGGCCGGGUUGCGGAUUAUACCCUCCUUGGUUACCAGGAUGGCCCUGACCGUGGAAUCCUCCUCCACCUAAGCCGCCGCCCGGGCCUUGGAAACCGCCUCCACCUGAGCCGCCACCUGGGCCGUGACCUCCAUCAAACACGUUUGAAUUUUUAAACGCCUUCAUGAUCGUACAAUCUUUCCACGGGUGGGUGGCUGGCUUCUCCCGGGUACCAUGUUUUGGACAAGGCUCAUUCAAUAAUUGCUCAAGGGUGGGACCUGACCCACCCGACCGAGGGGGCUGUCGACCCUUGCGCCGUUGAUUUCCGCCUUGUGUACUGGUGUUAGCAACAAACUCAUCAGCCUUACGUUUAUUACCUCCUUGAUUCACCGGGUUAUGCUGGUGACCCUUGCCAUUGUCGUUUUUCUUUCCCUUCGUUGCCCUUUGUUCGUCAGACACCGGGUCCUUGGUAGUGUCAGAAUCAGCAUACUUGACGAGAGCCGCCAUCAACGUUACCAUGUCAUUACAGUCACGCUUGAGCCGCCCCAGCUUCUGCUUCAGAGGUUCAAAACGGCAAUUUUUCUCCAACAUCAAGAUUGUUGAGCCGGCAUCCAUCUUAUCAGAUGAAUGUAUUAUCUCCUUGACCUGGCACACCCAAUGGGUUGUGGAUUCACCACCCUCUUGCUUGCAAUUGGUCAGGUCCACAAUCGACAUGGGCUGCUUACAUGUGUCUUUAAAGUUCUGGAUGAACUGGGCCUUUAACUCCGCCCAUGAGCUGAUAGAAUUAGGUGGCAAUCCCUUCAACCAAGUACGAGUUGUUCCAUCUAACAUCAUAGUGAAAUACUUGGCCAUUGCUAAUCGCUGACCUCCAAUAACUCCAUAGACAUCUCAUAACUCUCAAUCGAAGCCCUGGGAUGUAAGUCAGCUGUGUAAUUAGGCACCUUACAAGGCCCCUUAAAGUUCUUUGGCAAACGCUCAUUACGUAUGGCCGGCACCAAGCAAGGAACGCCUCCGGUUCUUGUGGCCACUCCUGCCUCAACCGAGGUUGCUAGAUAAGCCGGAAAAGUUUGAUGAGCCGCCUGAUCCGCUGCCAUUUGAGCUGCUCGUUCCACCUCUUGACUAAUCCUCUCCUGAUCCGCCAAGUUGAGGGCCCCAGCCCGCACCGGCUCAUACCUGUAUGGCCGGUUGCGGCGUUGAGCGUUGCUUGACAUAUCUGCGGAUUCCAUAUGCCUACUGUAACUCGGGCUCCGGCUUGGGCGAGGAGUUGAAUGGAUCUUGUCUCGACUGUAGGAGUAUGCAUCCUGCUGCGCCAGAGAUGUUUGAAGAAGUUCUCUUACCCUCCGUGUUUGAAUUGCCGCCGGUGAGUCACCUUCCAUCGGAAGAGCCGCCAGACGAGCCGAUGAUGCGAUGAGGUUAUCCAAAGGGUUGGAGAGGUGACCCGGCGGCGUUGGGACGUAAUGAGGCGGAGCGGUAAUUAUACGAGGUGGAUCCAUGGCGCGCGGCUGGAUCGGUGCGCCGGGUGUUGUAAUCCGGGGUGCCUCCGGUGGGUUACUUCCCCCGGCUCCGGGUGUGUGAAAAAGAUUCCUAGGAUCGAGCGUAAGAGGCAGACGUGAUUGGGUUUUCUGAUGCCUCCUCCUCAUGACCUCAUUCGACGCGUUUAGAUCCACCGAGAGCUGGAAGGUCUCCGCUUGAAGCUGUUGAGCACGAACGUCCAAAGCCGCCCACUCUGCUGCCAUCCUGACUUCCUCUGCGGCUAGAUUUUCCUUAGAUUGCACCAUCUCUACACGUAUGCGUGCCACCUCUGUGUCAUGCUGGGCUUUAUCCGCCGGCUCUACCACGGCAGUCAACAGAGUCGUCAGUUUAUCCAUGAGGUCCAUCAAGAUCUGAGCCGGGGGGCACGCGGGGUCUCCUGACCCGGCCGCAGCCGACCUGGUAGCUGUCGCCGCUGCUGCUGUAGUGUUCUGCCCGGGUUGUGUCCCUGCCAUGAAGACUCCGGCCCAAUUCGGCGGCUCAAGAGGGUCCGAAAUACUGCUGCCAUCGGAACAGCCCCCGAGCAUGCUGUCCUCCAGCCGAUACAAAGAAUCCGUCUUGCCCGUUGAUGAAGCAGUAUCUGAACAGACGGCCGUCUCACCGCCCUCCACUGAUCCUUCAGAGUAUUCACCACCGUGGACCCAGCCUACGAAGGCAUGCUUCACGGCAGAUUGAACACGAGUGGUCCUCGUGCGCUGAGCUGUUUCAAUGAGGUUGCUGUGGACGUCCGGCUCAGGACCUGACUCACCGAUCUGGCCUAUGAAGACAUGAAUUCCGCCGAAGGGGACCCGAUAUCCGUACUCAAUUGAGCCGGCCUCCGGGCCCCAGCCUUCGUCGUCGAUGUAGAGCUUGCCGCGACGACUCUUAGUCAUCCGGCCCACAGCGUAUCCCUUGAGCCCUUCGAAGUUGCCCUUCAAGAACUCAAAUCCACCAUGCGCUGGCCCCACGGUGGGCGCCAACUAUCGUGGAAUUGUCACGGCAGAUGUCCUAGAGCAAGGACUUAGUCGUAGGGACAUCGCACUAGGAAGCUUAAAGGGGUUAAUCGGGACAAAGGACAUGAGAGGGUUUUCUACUAGUUCGGCCCCUUACGAUGAAGGUAAAAGCCUACGUCUAGUUGGGAUUGGUAUUGCUAGGGUUUCGAUCACCAAGAGGCUCAACUCGCCGACUUGGUUAUCGAAUUGUUGUUUCUUGCCCUAAGCCGCCACCGGGUCGUCCCCUUAUAUACAUGGGUUGACGCCUGGUGGCCUACAGAGUCCCGGCCGGCUCAUAAUCGUGUCCAGCUUAGUGACUUCCUUUACAUGCCCUUCUUUAUAAGUCUUUCCUUACAUACGGCGGUUCACAAUAUCAGGCCUUAAACCGCCUUCAGGCCUUUGGGCCUUCUAUAAGAUUUAAUAAACUAUAAUCUUGAAUGUUUACCGGGCUUCUUGUGUAACCCGCCAUUAGGGCUGACCCGGCCCCUCCUGGGCGGGUCAUAACUGAUAGUAAUAUCCCCAACAGAUCGUCUGGAAAGGAAACAUAGUAACGUCCUGAAUCCUCGAUGAACUGCCACUUGAGUUCGGUCGCAUCCCCUGGACUGGCAUCAUCGGCACCUGCAUCUAGUUUUGGAAGUAAUCUGUGAGUCACGGGGACUCAGCAAUCUCACACCCUCGCCAUCAAGACUAUUUAAGCUUAUGUGUAGGAAAAGGUAUUGAGGUGGAGCUGCAACAAGCACUAGCAUAUAUGGGGGCUAACUUACGCAAAUGAGAGCGAGAAGUGAAGCAAAGCACGGUCGAGAAACUAUAAUGAUCAAGAAGUGAUCCUGAAACUACUCACGUUCAAGCAUAACACGAGACCGUGUUCUCUUACCGGACUCUGCCGAAAAGAGACCAUCACGGCUACACACGUGGUUGAUGUAUUUUAAUUAAUUUAAGUGUCAAGUUAUCUACAACCAGACAUUAACAAAUUCCCAUCUGCCCAUAACCACGGGCACGGCUUUUGAAAGUUCAAAACCCUGCAGGGGUGUCCCAACUUAGCCCAUCACAAGCUCUCACGGUCAAAGAAUGAUAUUCCUUCUCCCAGGACGACCCGAUCAGAGUCGGAAUCCCAGUUACAAGACAUUUCGACAAUGGUAAAACAAGACUAGCAAAGCCACCGGAUGUGCCGACAAACCCCGAUAGGAGCUCCACAUAUCUCGUCCUCAGGGCACACCGGAUUGUCCAAACUUCCGGUAGGCCAACCCAGAGUUGCCCCUGGUGGCCACCGGCGGCUGACAAGUUGGACCAACACUCAGAGGAGCACUGGCCCGGGGGUUUAAAAUAAAGAUGACCCUUGAGUCCGCGGAACCCAAGGGAAAAAGGGCUUAGGUGGAAAAUGGUAAUACCAAGGUUGGGCCUUGCUGGAGGAGUUUUAUUCAAGGCGAACUGUCAAUGGUUUCCCAUUAUAACCCAACCGCGCAAGGAACGCAAAAUCAAGGAACAUAACACCAGUAUGACGGAAACUAGGGCGGCAAGAGUGGAACAAAACACCAGGCAUAAGGCCGAGCCUUCCACCCUUUACCAAGUAUAUAGAUGCAUUAAAGUAGACAAGACAUAAUAAUGAUAUCCCAACAAUAAUCAUGUUCCAAUGAGGAACAAACUCCAUCUUCACCUGCAACUAGCAACGCUAUAAGAGGGGCUGAGCAAAGGGUAACAUAGCCAGACAACGGUUUGCUAGGACAAGGUGGGUUAGAGGUUGACAUGGAAAUAUGGGAGGCAUGAUAAAGCAUGUGGUAGGUAUCGCAGUAUAGCAAAAGAGCGAGCAACCAGCAAGCAAAGAUAGAAGUGAUUUCGAGGGUAUGAUCAUCUUGCCUGCAAAGUUCUCUGAAUUGACGUAAGCUUGAUCCUUGUAAGCAUACUCAACUGGUUCCUCGAUCACGUACUCGUCUCCUGGCUCUACCCAAGGCAAGAACACAAGCAAAGGAAACAACAAUCAACCAUGGUGCAAUGCGCAAGCAAGAUGAUGGAAACAUGUCAUGAUAUGCGGGAUGUGAAAUGCAAUGCAUAUGCAUGCUCCGGAAGGAAAAGAUUGAACCAUGCCUCAACUUGGCAAACCAAGAGUUCCGCUGGAAAGAUGAGUUGAUUUCGGUCGAAAUCGAUAUAAAGAUCACCGGAAUCGGAUGCAUAGUUUGCAAAUGGCAAGCAAAACAAGAAUGGCACAAUUCUGCGAUUAACAGCACGAUGCCAUCUAGAAUGCAACAAGAAACUAAGCUACUGCACUCUAAUAUAGCAAGAAAGCACAUGGCAGUGAUCUACUCAAGAUGCUUGACAAAAUAUGAACACUGAGAUAUGGCUAAAUCACACAAUAGAAGAUUCAAACAACCAUGGCAAAAGUGCAAAAGAUAACAUCAUCACAGACUUAGUGAAAAUACUAACAUGUCAGGAAUUAACAUCAGGAAGCAAUGUUUAGAGAAAGAUAACAACAUGCUACAGGAACAUAUCAUAGCAAAGAAAGGCAUCACAUGAAUAUACUCAAAGCAUAUAACAAAAGUCCCUUACUGACAAUAAGCCAAAAGGGCACAGAAAAUAUGAUGGCACCCAUGUAAACAUAGCAAGUUCCGUUAACAAAAUCAGACUUAGCAGAAAACUGGACAUGGCAAAAACAGAAAUAUGAAGGCCUCUUUGCGAGCUCGAUUCACUCAAUACAAGGCAUUGCAUGACAAACUAAGCAUACUACCAGUAAGAAGGCAUGUUCAAGAAGCUAACCAAGGCAAGAAAAAUCUCAUAGCAUGCAUGGAUCAACUACAACAACCUUGGCAAAAUUGAUUAACAUGUAAACAAUCUGCCAGGAACAUUUUAUAGCAAAAGUAGAGCAAGAUUGAACCCUGCUAGGGUACUCCAUAAAUGCAAAAAGGGACAUGGAUGGAUAGAGCAUAACCAUCUGUCAAAAUCAUCCUUACUGAACAUACUCAAAAGAAGCAUUGAUCACUCUCUAGCAACAUGAAUACAUCGCAUUAAAAUAACAACAGGGAAAUGACUUCGUGAACUUCUAAGUCCCUGAAAUCAGCAAUAUCACGAGAGCUACUUUGCAUGCUUGUGCUAGUCACCACAUUGAUCACAAAAAUACAUGGCAUACACCCCUAUAAACAUGGCAUGGCAUAGCCCAAAACACAUGUAGAGCUCAUGACCAUAUGCAUCACACAAUAAUCAUGACAAAAAUGACAAAUGCUCAAGAUCUGAUAAGAAACAGGAACUAACAUUAUGAAGCCCUCUUGCAAUAGUCAUUAGGGCAUCAAGAUAUACUCAAACAAGCAUGGCGCAAUGGAACAAAAUGAAGAGGACAACAAGAUGAACAUUUCGAUAUAUGGCACGCUCAAAACGGAGCUACGGGCAGAGAGUUAUGAUGCAAUGAACAGGGGCUCAGAAUGUAAGAAAAAAUGACUUAGAGAUAUUUCGGGGUCAACCUAGGGUUUGACCAGAUCCAGAUCUAGGUGCGGAAGUCGAGGCUCGUCAGAGAGGACGGGUCCGGGACGGAUCCCGCCGGAUCUAGUCGGGGGGAGGCCGUGUUGGAAAUAUGCCCUAGAGGCAAUAAUAAAAGUGUUAUUAUUAUAUUUCUUUGUUCACGAUAAUAGUCUUUUAUUCAUGCUAUAACUAUAUUAUCCGAAAAUCAUAAUACACGUGUGAAUACAUAGACCACAAUAUGUCCCUAGUAAGCCUCUAGUUGACUAGCUCGUUGUGAUCAACAGAUAGUCAUGGUUUCCUGGCUAUGGACAUUGGAUGUUGUUGAUAACGAGAUCACAUCAUUAGGAGAAUGAUGUGAUGGACAAGACCCAAUUCUAAGCAUAGCACAAAGGUCGGUUAGUUUGUUUGCUAGAGCUUUUCCAAUGUCAAGUAUCUCUUCCUUAGACCAUGAGAUCGUGUAACUCCCGGAUACCGUAGGAGUGCUUUGGGUGUACCAAACUUCACAACGUAACUGGGUGACUAUAAAGGUGCAUUACAGGUAUCUCCGAAAGUGUCUAUUGGGUUGACACGGAUCGAGACUGGGAUUUGUCACUCCGUAUGACGGAGAGGUAUCUCUGGGCCCACUCGGUAAUGCAUCAUCAUAAUGAGCUCAAUGUGACCAAGUGUUUGGUCAUGGGAUCAUGCAUUACGGUACGAGUAAAGUGACUUGCCGGUAACGAGACUGAACGAGGUAUUGGGAUACCGACGAUCGAGUCUCGGGCAUGUAACGUACCGAUUGACAAAGGGAAUUGCAUACGGGGUUUGAUCGAAUCCUCGACAUCGUGGUUCAUCCGAUGACAACAUCGAGGAGCAUGUGGGAGCCAACAUGGGUAUCCAGAUCCCGCUGUUGGUUAUUGACCUGAGGUCAUCUCGGUCAUGUCUGCAUGUCUCCCGAACCCGUAGGGUCUACACACUUAAGGUUCGGUGACGCUAGGGUUAUCAGGAAGACAAGUAUGUGAUUACCGAAUGUUGUUCGGAGUCCCGGAUGAGAUCCCGGACGUCACGAGGAGUUCCGGAAUGGUCCGGAGGUAAAGAUUUAUAUAUGGAAAGUGGUUAAACGGACACCGGAAAGUUUCAGUGGCAUACCGGUAUUGUACCGAGGCCACCGGAAGGGUUCCGGGGUCCACCGGGUGGGGCCACCCCUCCCGGGGGGCCACAUGGGCUGUGUGGGAGAGGGAGCCAGCCCCUAGUGGGCUGGGCGCGCCUCCCCACCUAGGCCCAUGCGGCUAGGGCAAGGGGAGGGGAAACCCUAAAGGGGGCGCCCCCCUAGCUUGGGGGGCAAGCCACCCUUUUCCCUCUCCCUUUGGCCGCCGCCCCCCUCUAGGGUUUCCCCUAGAGGGCCGGCCCCCUUGCCCCUCUCCUCCUAUAUAUAGAGGGGUGAGGGGAGGGCUGCUGUAGACAACUCAAGGCGCAGCCCCUCCCCUCCCCAACACCUCUCCUCCACCGUACGUGCUUGGCGAAGCCCUGUCGGAGUACUUCUGCACCAACUACACCACGCUGUCGUGCUGCCGUUGGAGCUGCCUUCCUCAACCUCUCCUUCCUCCUUGCUGGAUCAAGACGAAGGAGACGUCGUCCGUCCCGUACGUGUGUUGAACGCGGAGGUGCUGUCCGUUCAGCACUUGGUCAUCGGUGAUCCGAAUCACAACGAGUACGACUCCAUCAUCACCAUCCCCUUGAACGCUUCCGCACUCGAUCUACAAGUGGUAUGUAGAUGCAAACUCUUCCCCUUGACUCGUUGCUUAGAUGAACUCAUAGAUGGAUCUUGGUGAAACCGUAGGAAAUUUUUUAAUUUUCUGCAACGUUCCCCAACAGUGGCAUCAUGAGCUAGGUCUAUGCGUAGUUCUCUUUGCACGAGUAGAACACAAUUUUGUUGUGGGCGUGGAUCUUGUCAACUUACUUGCCACUACUAGUCUUUUCUUGCUUCAACGGCAUUGUGGGAUGAAGCGGCCCGGACCAACCUUACACGUACGCUUACGUGAGACCGGUUCCACCGAUUGACAUGCACUAGUUGCAUAAGGUGGCUGGCGGGUGUCUGUCUCUCCCACUUUAGUUGGAGCGGAUUCGAUGAAAAGGGUCCUUAUGAAGGGUAAGUAGAAGUUGACAAGAUCACGUUGUGGUUAUUCGUAGGUAAGAAAACGUUCUUGCUAGAACCCAAUUGCAACCACGUAAAAGAUGCAACAACAAUUAGAGAACGUCUAACUUGUUUUUGCAGCAAUUGUCAUGUGAUGUGAUAUGGCCAGAAGUUGUGAUGAAUGAUGAAUGAUAUAUUGUGAUGUAUGAGAUCAUGUUCUUGUAAUAGGAAUCACGACUUGCAUGUCGAUGAGUAUGACAACCGGCAGGAGCCAUAGGAGUUGUCUUUAUUUUGUAUGACCUGCGUGUCAUUGAAGAACGCCAUGUAGACUACUUUACUUUAUUUGCUAAACGCGUUAGUCAUAGAAGUAGAAGUAGUCGUUGGCGUGACAACUUCAUGAAGACACGAUGAUGGAGAUCAUGAUGAUGGAGAUCAUGGUGUCAUUGAAGGAAAUAUGCCCUAGAGGCAAUAAUAAAGUUAUUAUUUAUUUCCUCAUUUCAUGAUAAAUGUUUAUUAUUCAUGCUAGAAUUGUAUUAACCGGAAACAUGAUACAUGUGUGAAUACAUAGACAAACAUAUAGUCACUAGUAUGCCUCUACUUGACUAGCUCAUUAAUCAAAGAUGGUUAUGAUUCCUAACCAUUGACAUGUGUUGUCAUUUGAUUAAUGGGAUCACAUCAUUAGGAGAAUGAGGUGAUUGACAUGACCCAUCCCGUUAGCUUAGCACUUGAUCGUUUAGUAUUCUGCUAUUGCUUCCUUCAUGACUUAUACAUGUUCCUGUAACUAUGAGAAUUGUGUAACUCCCGUUUACCGGAGGAACACUUUGGGUACUACCAAACGUCACAACGUAACUGGGUGAUUAUAAAGGAGUACUACAGGUGUCUCCGAAGGUACAUGUUGAGUUAGCAUAAUUCGAGAUUAGGUUUUGUCACUCCGAUUGUCGGAGAGGUAUCUCUGGGCCCUCUCGGCAAUGCUCAUCACCUAAGCCUUGCAAGCAUGUAACUAAUGAGUUAGUUAUAAGAUGAAGUAUUACAGAACGAGUAAAGAGACUUGUCGAUAACGAGAUUGAACUAGGUAUUGGAUACCGACGAUCGAAUCUCGGACAAGUAACAUACCGAUGACAAAGGGAACAACGUAUGUUGUUAUGCGGUUUGACCGAUAAAGAUUUUCGUAGAAUAUGUAGGAACCAAUAUGGGCAUCCAGGUCCCGCUAUUGGUUAUUGACCAGAGAUGUGUCUCAGUCAUGUCUACAUCGUUCUCGAACCGUAGGGUCCGCACGCUUAAGGUUUCGAUGACAGUUAUAUUAUGAGUUUAUGUAUUUUGAUGUACCGAAGGUUGUUCGGAGUCCCGGAUAUGAUUGCGGACAUGACGAGGAGUCUCGAAAUGGUUGAGACAUAAAGAUUGAUAUAUUGGACGGAUAUAUUUGGACACCGGAAAGGUUCCGGAGAAGUUUGGAGCCCCGGGAGGUUACCGGAACCCCCUGGGAGGUAUAUGGGCCUUAUUGGGCCCAUGUAGGAAGAAGAGAGAAGGAGCAAGGGAGGGGGGCGCCCCCCCAAGCCCAAUCCGAAUUGGGGAGGGGGGCCGGCCCCCCCUUUCCUUUCUCCUUCCCCUCUUCCUAUUACUACUACUAGUACUACUUCCUAAUACUAGUACUCUUUCCUUCCCCCUCCAAAUAAGAUAAGGAAAAGAGAGGGAAACCUACUUGGAGUAGGUUUCCCCCUCCUCAUGGCGCGCCCCCCUAGGGCCGGCCACCUCCCUCCCUCCUUUAUAUACGGGGGUAGGGGGGCACCCUAGAACACACAAGUUGAUCAUUGAUCGUUCCUUAGCCGUGUGCGGUGCCCCCCUCCACGAUAUUACACCUCGGUCAUAUUGUAGCGGUGCUUAGGCGAAGCCCUGCAACAGGAGAACAUCAAGAUCGUCACCACGCCGUCGUGCUGACGGAACAUCCCCUCGGCACCUCUACUGGAUCGGAGAUCGAGGGUGCGUCAUCGAGCUGUACGCGUGUCAAGAACUCGGAGGUGCCGGAGUAACGGUACUUGGAUCGGUUGAACCGGAGGACGUACGACUACUUCCUCUACGUUGCGUCAACGCUUCCGCUUCGGUCUACGAGGGUACGUAGACAACACUCUCCCCUCGUUGCUAUAUCAUCACCAUGAUCUUGCAUGUGCGUAGGAAUUUUUUUUGAAAUUACUACGUUCCCCAACAGUGGCAUCCGAGCCUAGGUUUUAUGCGUUGAUGUUAUAUGCACGAGUAGAACACAAGUGAGUUGUGGACGAUAUAAGUCAUACUGCCUACCAGCAUGUCAUACUUUGGUUCAGCGGUAUUGUGAGAUGAAGCGGCCCGGACCGACAUUAUGCGUACGCUUACGCGAGACUGGUUUCACCGUUACGAGCACUCGUGCUUAAAGGUGGCUGGCGGGUGUCUGUCUCUCUCACUUUAGUUGAACCGAGUGUGGCUACGCCCGGUUCUUGUGAAGGUUAAAACGGAGUCUAUUUGACAAACUAUCGUUGUGGUUUUGAUACGUAGGUGAGAUUGGUUCUUGCUUAAGCCCGUAGCAGCCACGUAAAAUUUGCAACAACAAAGUAGAGGACGUCUAACUUGUUUUUGCAGGGCAUGUUGUGAUGUGAUAUGGCCAAGACAUGAUGCUAUAUUUUAUUGUAUGAGAUGAUCAUGUUUUGUAACCGAAGUUAUCGGCAACUGGCAGGAGCCAUCUGGUUGUCGCUUUAUUGUAUGAAAUGCAAACGCCCUGUAAUUGCUUUACUUUAUCUCUAAGCGGUAGCGAUAGUCAUAGAAGCAAUAGAUGGCGUAACAACAAUGAUGCUACGAUGGAGAUCAAGGUGUCGCGCCGGUGACAAUGGUGAUCACGACGGUGCUUCGAAGAUGGAGAUCACAAGCACAAGAUGAUGAUGGCCAUAUCAUAUCACUUAUAUUGAUUGCAUGUGAUGUUUAUCCUUUUUGCAUCUUAUCUUGCUUUGUUUGAUGGUAGCAUUUUAAGAUGAUCUCUCACUAAUUAUCAAGAAGUGUUCUCCCUGAGUAUGCACCGUUGCAAAAGUUCUUCGUGCUGAGACACCACGUGAUGAUCGGGUGUGAUAGGCUCUACGUUCAAAUACAACGGGUGCAAAACAGUUGCACACGCGGAAUACUCAGGUUAUACUUGACGAGCCUAGCAUAUACAGAUAUGGCCUCGGAACACGGGGACCGAAAGGUCGAGCGUGAAUCAUAUAGUAGAUAUGAUCAACAUAGAGAUGUUCACCAUUGAAACUACUCCAUCUCACGUGAUGAUCGGACAUGGUUUAGUUGAUUUGGAUCACGUAAUCACGCAGAUGACUAGAAGAGAUGUCUGUCUAAGUGGGAGUUCUUUAGUAAUAUGAUUAAUUGAACUUAAAUUUAUCAUGAACUUAGUACCUGAUAGUAUUUUGCUUGUCUAUGUUUGUAUGUAGAUAGAUGGCUCAUGCUAUUGUUCCAUUGAAUUUUAAUGCGUUCCUUGAGAAAGCAAAGUUGAAAGAUGAUGGUAGCAAUUACACGGACUGGGUCCGUAACCUGAGGAUUAUCCUCAUUGCUGCACAGAAGAGUUACGUCCUGGAAGCACCGCUGGGUGCCAGGCCUGCUGCUGAUGCAACUGACGACGUUAAGAACGUCUGGCAGAGCAAAGCUGAUGACUACUCUAUAGUUCAGUGUGCCAUGCUUUACGGCUUAGAACCGGGUCUUCAACGACGUUUUGAACGUCAUGGGGCAUAUGAGAUGUUCCAGGAGUUGAAGUUAAUAUUUCAAGCAAAUGCCCGGAUUGAGAGAUAUGAAGUCUCCAAUAAGUUCUACAGCUGCAAGAUGGAGGAGAAUAGUUCUGUCAGUGAGCAUAUACUCAAAAUGUCUGGGUAUAAUAAUCACUUGAUUCAACUGGGAGUUAAUCUUCCGGAUGAUAGCGUCAUUGACAGAAUUCUCCAAUCACUGCCACCAAGCUACAAGAGCUUUGUGAUGAACUAUAAUAUGCAAGGGAUGAACAAGACUAUUCCCGAGCUCUUCGCGAUGCUGAAAGCCGCGGAGGUAGAAAUCAAAAAGGAGCAUCAAGUGUUGAUGGUCAACAAGACCACUGGUUUCAAGAAAAGGGGCAAAGGGAAGAAGAAGGGGAACUUCAAAAGGAACAGCAAACAAGUUGCUGCUCAAGUGAAGAAACCCAAGUCUGGACCUAAGCCUGAAACUGAGUGCUUCUACUGCAAGCAGACUGGACACUGGAAGCGGAACUGCCCCAAGUAUUUGGCGGAUAAGAAGGAUGGCAAAGUGAACAAAGGCAUAUGUGAUAUACAUGUUAUUGAUGUGUAUCUUACUAAUGCUCGCAGUAGCACCUGGAUAUUUGAUACUGGUUCUGUUGCUAACAUUUGCAACUCGAAACAGGGACUACUGAUUAAGCGAAGAUUAGCUAAGAACAAGGUGACAAUGCGUGUGGGAAAUGGUUCCAAAGUCGAUGUGAUCGCGGUCGGCACACUACCUCUACAUCUACCAUCGGGAUUAGUUUUAGAGCUGAAUAAUUGUUAUUUGGUGCCUGCGUUGAGCAUGAACAUUAUAUCUGGAUCUUGUUUGAUGCGAGACGGUUAUUCAUUUAAAUCAGAGAAUAAUGGUUGUUCUAUUUAUAUGAGUAAUAUCUUUUAUGGUCAUGCACCCUUGAAGAGUGGUCUAUUUUUAUUAAAUCUCGAUAGUAGUGAUACACAUAUUCAUAAUGUUGAAGCCAAAAGAUGCAGAGUUGAUAAUGAUAGUGCAACAUAUUUGUGGCACUGCCGUUUAGGUCAUAUCGGUGUAAAACGCAUGAAGAAACUCCAUACUGAUGGACUUCUGGAAUCACUUGAUUAUGAAUCACUUGGUACUUGCGAACCGUGCCUCAUGGGCAAGAUGACCAAAACACCGUUCUCCGGAUCUAUGGAGAGAGCAACAGAUUUGUUGGAAAUCAUACAUACAGAUGUAUGUGGUCCGAUGAAUGUUGAGGCUCGUGGCGGAUAUCGUUAUUUCCUCACCUUCACAGAUGAUUUGAGCAGAUAUGGGUAUAUCUACUUGAUGAAGCACAAGUCUAAAACAUUUGAAAAGUUCAAAGAAUUUCAGAGUGAAGUAGAAAAUCAUCGUAACAAGAAAAUAAAGUUUCUACGAUCUGAUCGUGGAGGAGAAUAUUUGAGUUACGAGUUUGGUUUACAUUUGAAACAAUGUGGAAUAGUUUCGCAACUCACGCCACCUGGAACACCACAGCGAAAUGGUGUGUCCGAACGUCGUAAUCGUACUUUACUUGAUAUGGUGCGAUCUAUGAUGUCUCUUACCGAUUUACCGCUAUCGUUUUGGGGUUAUGCUUUAGAGACGGCCGCAUUCACGUUAAAUAGGGCACCAUCAAAAUCCGUUGAGACGACGCCUUAUGAACUGUGGUUUGGCAAGAAACCAAAGUUGUCGUUUCUCAAAGUUUGGGGCUGCGAUGCUUAUGUGAAGAAACUUCAACCAGAUAAGCUCGAACCCAAAUCGGAGAAAUGUGUCUUCAUAGGAUACCCAAAGAAGACAAUUGGGUACACCUUCUAUCACAGAUCUGAAGGCAAGAUUUUCGUUGCUAAAAUCGGAUCCUUUCUAGAGAAGGAGUUUCUCUCGAAAGAAGUGAGUGGGAGGAAAGUAGAACUUGAUGAGAUAACUGUAUCUACUCCCUUAUUGGAAAGUAGUUCAUCACAAGAACCGGUUCCUGUGACAACUACACCAAUUAGUGAGGAAGCUAAUGAUAUUGAUCAUGAAACUUCAGAUCAAGUUUCUACUGAACCUCGUAGGUCUACCAGAGUAAGAUCCGCACCAGAGUGGUACGGAAAUCCUAUUCUGGAAGUCAUGUUACUAGACCAUGAUGAACCUACGAACUAUGAGGAAGCGAUGAUGAGCCCAGAUUCCGCAAAAUGGCUAGAGGCCAUGAAAUCUGAGAUAGGAUCCAUGUAUGAAAACAAAGUAUGGACUUUGGUUGACUUGCCCGAUGAUCGGCAAGCCAUUGAGAAUAAAUGGAUCUUUAAGAAGAAGACUGACGCUGAUGGUAAUGUUACUGUCUACAAAGCUCGACUUGUUGCAAAAGGUUUUCGACAAGUUCAAGGGGUUGACUACGAUGAGACUUUCUCACCCGUAGCGAUGGUUAAGUCUGUCCGAAUCAUGUUGGCUAUUUCUGCAUUUCAUGAUUAUGAAAUUUGGCAAAUGGAUGUCAAGACUGCAUUCUUGAAUGGAUUUCUAGAAGAAGAGUUGUAUAUGAUGCAACCUGAAGGUUUUGUUGAUCUAAAAAGUGCUGACAAAGUGUGCAAGCUCCAACGUUCCAUUUAUGGACUGGUGCAAGCAUCUCGGAGUUGGAAUAAACGUUUUGAUAGUGUGAUCAAAGCAUAUGGUUUUAUACAGACUUUUGGAGAAGCCUGUAUUUACAAGAAAGUGAGUGGGAGCUCUGUAGCAUUUCUAGUUUUAUAUGUUGAUGACAUAUUAUUAAUUGGAAAUGAUAUAGAAUUUCUGGAUAGCAUAAAGGGAUACUUGAAUAAAAGUUUUUCUAUGAAAGACCUCGGUGAAGUUGCUUACAUAUUGGGCAUCAAGAUCUAUAGAGAUAGAUCAAGACGCUUAAUAGGACUUUCACAAAGUACAUACCUUGACAAAAUUUUGAAAAAGUUCAAAAUGGAUCAGGCAAAGAAAGGAUUCUUGCCUGUGCUACAAGGUGUAAAGUUGAGUCAAACUCAAUGCCCGACCACAGCAGAAGAUAGAGAGAAAAUGAAAGAUGUUCCCUAUGCUUCAGCCAUAGGCUCUAUCAUGUAUGCAAUGCUGUGUACCAGACCUGACGUAUGCUUAGCAAUAAGCUUGGCAGGUAGGUACCAAAGUAAUCCAGGAGUGGAUCACUGGACAGCGGUCAAGAACAUCCUGAAAUACCUGAAAAGGACUAAGGAUAUGUUUCUCGUAUAUGGAGGUGACAAAGAGCUAGUCGUAAAUGGUUACGUCGAUGCAAGCUUUGACACUGAUCCGGACGAUUCUAAAUCGCAGACCGGAUACGUGUUUUUAUUAAACGGUGGAGCUGUAAGUUGGUGCAGUUCUAAACAAAGCGUCGUGGCGGGAUCUACAUGUGAAGCAGAGUACAUAGCUGCUUCUGAAGCAGCAAAUGAAGGAGUCUGGAUGAAGGAGUUCAUUUCCGAUCUAGGUGUCAUACCUAGUGCAUCGGGACCAAUGAGAUCUUCUGUGACAAUACUGGUGCAAUUGCCUUGGCAAAGGAAUCCAGAUUUCACAAGAGGACCAAGCACAUCAAGAGACGCUUCAAUUCCAUUCGGGAUCAAGUCCAAGUGGGAGACAUAGAGAUUUGCAAGAUACAUACGGAUCUGAAUGUUGCAGACCCGUUGACUAAGCCUCUCUCACGAGCAAAACAUGAUCAGCACCAAGACUCCAUGGGUGUUAGAAUCAUUACUAUGUAAUCUAGAUUAUUGACUCUAGUGCAAGUGGGAGACUGAAGGAAAUAUGCCCUAGAGGCAAUAAUAAAGUUAUUAUUUAUUUCCUCAUUUCAUGAUAAAUGUUUAUUAUUCAUGCUAGAAUUGUAUUAACCGGAAACAUGAUACAUGUGUGAAUACAUAGACAAACAUAUAGUCACUAGUAUGCCUCUACUUGACUAGCUCAUUAAUCAAAGAUGGUUAUGUUUCCUAACCAUUGACAUGUGUUGUCAUUUGAUUAAUGGGAUCACAUCAUUAGGAGAAUGAGGUGAUUGACAUGACCCAUCCCGUUAGCUUAGCACUUGAUCGUUUAGUAUUCUGCUAUUGCUUCCUUCAUGACUUAUACAUGUUCCUGUAACUAUGAGAAUUGUGUAACUCCCGUUUACUGGAGGAACACUUUGGGUACUACCAAACGUCACAACGUAACUGGGUGAUUAUAAAGGAGUACUACAGGUGUCUCCGAAGGUACAUGUUGAGUUAGCAUAAUUCGAGAUUAGGUUUUGUCACUCCGAUUGUCGGAGAGGUAUCUCUGGGCCCUCUCGGCAAUGCUCAUCACCUAAGCCUUGCAAGCAUGUAACUAAUGAGUUAAUUAUAAGAUGAAGUAUUACAGAACGAGUAAAGAGACUUGUCGAUAACGAGAUUGAACUAGGUAUUGGAUACCGACGAUCGAAUCUCGGACAAGUAACAUACCGAUGACAAAGGGAACAACGUAUGUUGUUAUGCGGUUUGACCGAUAAAGAUUUUCGUAGAAUAUGUAGGAACCAAUAUGGGCAUCCAGGUCCCGCUAUUGGUUAUUGACCAGAGAUGUGUCUCAGUCAUGUCUACAUCGUUCUCGAACCGUAGGGUCCGCACGCUUAAGGUUUCGAUGACAGUUAUAUUAUGAGUUUAUGUAUUUUGAUGUACCGAAGGUUGUUCGGAGUCCCGGAUAUGAUUGCGGACAUGACGAGGAGUCUCGAAAUGGUUGAGACAUAAAGAUUGAUAUAUUGGACGGAUAUAUUUGGACACCGGAAAGGUUCCGAAGAAGUUUGGAGCCCCGGGAGGUUACCGGAACCCCCCGGGAGGUAUAUGGGCCUUAUUUGGCCCAUGUAGGAAGAAGAGAGAAGGAGCAAGGGAGGGGGGCGCGCCCCCCAAGCCCAAUCCGAAUUGGGGAGGGGGGCCGGCCCCCCCUUUCCUUUCUCCUUCCCCUCUUCCUAUUACUACUACUAGUACUACUUCCUAAUACUAGUACUCUUUCCUUUCCCCUCCAAAUAAGAUAAGGAAAAGAGAGGGAAACCUACUUGGAGUAGGUUUCCCCCUCCUCAUGGCGCGUCCCCCCUAGGGCCGGCCACCUCCUCCCUCCCUCCUUUAUAUACGGGGGUAGGGGGGCACCCUAGAACACACAAGUUGAUCAUUGAUCGUUCCUUAGCCGUGUGCGGUGCCCCCCUCCACGAUAUUACACCUCGGUCAUAUUGUAGCGGUGCUUAGGCGAAGCCCUGCAAUAGGAGAACAUCAAGAUCGUCACCACGCCGUCGUGCUGACGGAACUUCCCCUCGGCACCUCUGCUGGAUCGGAGAUCGAGGGUGCGUCAUCGAGCUGUACGUGUGUCGAGAACUCGGAGGUGCCGGAGUAACGGUACUUGGAUCGGUUGAACCGGAGGACGUACGACUACUUCCUCUACGUUGCGUCAACGCUUCCGCUUCGGUCUACGAGGGUACGUAGACAACACUCUCCCCUCGUUGCUAUAUCAUCACCAUGAUCUUGCAUGUGCGUAGGAAUUUUUUUGAAAUUACUACGUUCCCCAACAGUCAUGCCGGUGACAAGAUGAUCAUGGAGCCCCGAAGAUGAAGAUCAAAGGAGCUAUAUGAUAUUGGCCAUAUCAUGUCACUACUUUAUAUAAUUGCAUGUGAUGUUUAUUAUGUUUAUGCAUCUUGUUUACUUAGAUCGACGGUAGUAAAUAAGAUGAUCCCUUAUAACAAUUUCAAGAAAGUGUUCCCCCUAACUGUGCACCGUUGCUAAAGUUCGUCGUUUCGAAGCACCACGUGAUGAUCGACUGUGAUAGAUCCUUACGUUCACAUACAACGGGUGUAAGACAGUUUUACACAUGCAAAAACACUUAGGGUUAACUUGACGAGCCUAGCAUGUACAGACAUUGCCUCGGAACACGGAGACCGAAAGGUCGAACACGAGUCGUAUGGAAGAUAUGAUCAACAUGAGAAUGUUCACCGACGAUGACUAGUCCGUCUCACGUGAUGAUCGGACACGGCCUAGUCGACUCGGAUUGUGUAACACUUAGAUGACUAGAGAGAUGUCUAAUCUGAGUGGGAGUUCAUUCAAUAAUUUGAUUAGAUGAACUUAAUUAUCAUGAACUUAGUCUAAAACCUUUUGCAAAUAUGUCUUGUAGAUCAAAUGGCCAACGCUCAUGUCAACUUGAACUUCAACGCGUUCCUAGAGAAAACCAAGCUGAAAGAUGAUGGCAGCAACUAUACGGACUGGGUCCGGAAACUGAGGAUCAUCCUCAUAGCUGCCAGGAAACAAUUUGUCCUAGAAGGACCGCUAGGUGACACUCCCGUCCCAGAGAACCAAGACAUUAUGAAUGCUUGGCAGUCUCGUGCUGAUGAUUACUCCCUCGUUCAGUGCGGCAUGCUUUACAGCUUAGAACCGGGGCUCCAAAAGCGUUUUGAGCAUCACGGAGCAUAUGAGAUGUUCGAGGAGCUGAAACUAGUUUUCCAAGCUCACGCCCGGGUCGAGAGAUAUGACAUCUCCGACAAGUUCUAUAGUUAUAAGAUGGAGGAAAAUAGUUCUGUCAGUGAACACAUACUCAAGAUGUCUGGGUUGCACAACCGUAUGACCCAGCUGAAUAUUAACCUCCCUGAUGAGGCAGUCAUUGACAGAAUCCUUCAGUCGCUCCCACCAAGCUACAAGAGCUUUGUGAUGAACUACAAUAUGCAGGGGAUGGUAAAGACCAUUCCUGAAGUAUUUUCUAUGCUGAAGUCAGCAGAGGUUGAAAUCAAGAAAGAACAUCAAGUGUUGAUGGUCAAUAAGACCACUAAGUUCAAGAAGGGCAAGGGUAAGAAGAACUUCAAGAAGGACGGCAAAGAGGUUGCCGCGCCUGGUAAGCCAGUUGCCAGGAAGAAGUCAAAGAAUGGACCCAAGCCUGAGACUGAGUGCUUUUAUUGCAAGGGGAAGGGUCAUUGGAAGCGGAACUGCCCCAAAUACUUAGCGGAUAAGAAGGCCGGCAACACUAAAGGUAUAUUCGAUAUACAUGUAAUUGACGUGUACCUUACCAGUACUUGUAGUAACUCCUGGGUAUUUGAUACCGGUGCCGUUGCUCAUAUUUGUAACUCACAGCAGGGGCUGCGGAAUAAGCGGAGACUGGCGAAGGACGAGGUGAUGAUGCGUGUCGGGAACGGUUCCAAGGUCGAUGUGAUCGCCGUCGGCACGCUACCUCUACAUUUACCCACGGGAUUAGUUUUGAACCUUAAUAAUUGUUAUUUAGUGCCAAGUUUGAGCAUGAACAUUGUAUCUGGAUCUCGUUUAAUACGAGAUGGCUACUCAUUUAAGUCUGAGAAUAAUGGUUGUUCGAUUUAUAUGAGAGAUAUGUUUUAUGGUCAUGCUCCGAUGGUCAAUGGUUUAUUCUUAAUGAAUCUCAAGCGUAAUACUACACAUAUUCAUAGCGUGAAUACCAAAAGAUGUAAAGUUGAUAACGAUAGUCCCACAUACUUGUGGCACUGCCGCCUUGGUCACAUUGGUGUCAAGCGCAUGAAGAAGCUCCAUGCUGAUGGACUUUUAGAGUCUCUCGAUUAUGAAUCAUUUGACACAUGCGAACCAUGCCUCAUGGGCAAGAUGACCAAGACUCCGUUCUCCGGAACAAUGGAGCGAGCAACCAACUUGUUGGAAAUCAUACAUACCGAUGUGUGCGGUCCAAUGAGUGUUGAGGCUCGCGGAGGAUAUCGUUAUGUUCUCACUCUCACUGAUGACUUGAGUAGAUAUGGGUAUGUCUACUUAAUGAAACACAAGUCUGAGACCUUUGAAAAGUUCAAGGAAUUUCAGAAUGAGGUAGAGAAUCAACGUGACCGAAAGAUAAAAUUCCUACGAUCAGAUCGUGGAGGCGAAUACUUAAGUCACGAAUUUGGUACACACUUAAAGAAAUGUGGAAUCGUUUCACAACUCACACCGCCUGGAACACCUCAGCGUAACGGUGUGUCCGAACGUCGUAAUCGCACUCUAUUGGAUAUGGUGCGGUCUAUGAUGUCUCUUACCGAUUUACCGCUAUCAUUUUGGGGAUACGCUCUAGAGACAGCUACAUUCACUUUAAAUAGGGCACCGUCUAAAUCCGUUGAGACGACACCGUAUGAAUUGUGUUAGAGGGUGACGCAAAAAUAAACCGAUGAAGUGGGGGAGGGGAGGAAAAAAAUAUACGAAAAAAAACCUACAAAAAAACCAGCGAAAGUGGGAUGGGAUGAAAAAAAACCCGGAACGGAGACUACCAACUGCUGUAUUAGGAGUAGAGAUGUCUUAGUUGGUAGUCUCCAUUUCACGGUUAUUUUUCAUCCCACCUUUCCUGGAUUUUUUUCGUCCUCGCCGGCCUCCCCCGAUCCGAUCCGAUCUGCGGUAAAAAACGGACAACGAUGACUAGCGAUUCUCUUUGCACGAACAAAAAAUCGGACGACGCCCUAGCCUCCCUCGCAUGAAAAAACCCUCCUCUCGAUCCACCCCUCUCGUGCGACCGCUCUCUUUCCCUCUCCUCCCGAUGCGCCGCUGUCCCCAUCUCUUGCUCCACUGCCGCCGCCGCCCUGCCUCCCUCCCACUCAGCCGCCUCCACCGCUCCCACCCUUCUCCCCAUUGUUGGAUCCGUUUGCAUAUCAUCAAGGUUAGGGGCGAAGCUCCAUGUCCGCGACGCGCACAUGCUCAUCAAGGAAGCGGCUCCCGGAUCUGAGGUCGCGCGGCCAUGACGGAAGGUGCUCGAGGUGGCCGCCGAAGACCAAUCCCCCACCAUGUCUAGAAUCGCUUCCUCUGCCAUGUUCCACUGAGGAAGGAGGGGGCGGCACAGAGAGGUUCCUCACGCAGCUGUGCGGUCGACCACUAGGAGGCGGUUGUGUGGUGAGUGCCCUCAAACGCCGCACUCCCGGGCCGGAGGGAGUCCAGAUCCGGCACCUCACUAGGAUCACCGCAACACGGUGAGCGCACAUGCCUUGGGUCUCGGUCGCAGUGCAGUGUGUCACGCCCUGCAUUUUGUAAUAUGUCAUUUGCAUUAAUAAAGCAUGAAAAUUUGGACCAACAAAAACUUUUGAAUUAUUUGGCUUUUAUUUUGGAGUUGGUUUUCUCUGUGUGGUUUUUCAUGUGCUCUCUAAAGUCAACUACUCCACCUUAUAUACUUCAUCUCCCUACCCCAAACUUCUGCCCAAUGAUCAUGCCAUGUGUAUAGUUCAAUAUAGUAUUUUCUUACAAAAAUAAUUUGGCCAAAUAGUAUUUUCAAAAAAUUGUUUUCCAAAACCCCCUGAAUUGAGGUUUGCACUACAAGUACUUGAUUUGGGUAUGAAAAAUAUUUCAAAGAGUAUAAUUGAAACCUAUUAGAUAUAGGACUCCCAUAAACCACAAAAAUAUAAUUUAAGAAGUAAUUUCCCUAUUUUAUUUAAAGGCUUUUUAUUUAGGCCGAAAAUGGUCUUUAAUAGGUUAAAAUUAUUUAAAAGCUUCAAAAAUAUUUGAGAAAAAUCAGGGAAACUCAGUGGACAUAUAUUUUCCAUAUAUAAGAGUUUCAACACAUGGUAAUGUUCAAACUAUUGGACAAAAGCUCCCAAAACCAUUUCUACCCAUUUCAAGGAUUUGAAAUAUUUCUACAGGAAAUAUUUUCAUAAAAAUCCAAGGAAAAUCUAGCAAGUCACAAAUGCAUAUUGUGAUCACCUUGCAAAGCCUGGUCUCAAUUAAGGUCAUUUUGGUACCCAAAACCCUCUCUGUCCAAAAUCAAAUUUGAACAACUUUGUACUACCAACUUUCUCUCUUUGACCCCAACUUUCGUGAGCAUGUUCACAUGACCAAAUGAGGCUACCACACCAAGUGGUGCAUCAAGGGGAAGUGAUUUUCUCAGCUAGAUCUACACAAGUUCAUUUCUGCUAAUUUCUAGGGUUUACAAUAGUUGCAUUGGCAACUUUGCCCAAAUGAGCUCAAAAUUGGUGGAAGGCCCUAAUUAUAUGUGCCAUUUCACCGUGUGGAGUCUCAUGACAAAUGGAUAUCAUCUACUUGCCCAAACCAGUAUCAAACACCUUCUACAAUUUACCAAAAUGUCAUUUUGACAUCUUCCACUAAUCUCCAUUGGCUCAACUUUGUAUCACAGCUGCUCCUGACCCUCUUCUACCUCCAGUAACUUUCCCCUGGCCAUUGCUCAAUGAUUGAGGGGUGAAACACCCCCAUUUACCUCCCUGUAUAGCAGCUUCUCUCUCUCCCUCAACCUCCCUCCUCACUCUAGUGGCCACCCAGGGCAUCCAAAGCCCCUCCCCCUUUAUUUACUACACCCUAGAGCCACCAGACAUAUUUGGCCGCCCCCACCUGGCCUAAAAAAUUGUCGUGCCAGCCAUUUGCACGCUCUGGAGCGCGCUACAAUGCGCUCUGGCACUAUAGCCGCCCAUGGCCGAGUGCUUCCGGCCACCUCGGCUCUCCCCCUCACGCCCGACGAUGCUCCUCGACGUCUGCGUCACGCCACAGCCUGGCCCCCCUCCUCCUUCUCCCUCCUCUCACCCCAGCUCACACGCGCGACGACUGCCCAAGCGCACCAGUGAGCGUGCUCACACGUGCGGCACCUCUGACCCCCUGCUCCCUCUCUCUUCACUCCUCUCGCCCUAAACCAACCCCACGAGUACCCCAGACACCUCAUUGCGAGCCCCUGUGACCCGUAGCAACCGCAACAGGCUCGCUGGCGCAUGGGUCCUCGGUGGACCAUCACCCGCCUAUUUAAGGGCCUCCCUGAGCCCCCCUCUCCUCACCACUCGCUCUCUCACUCCCCUAAUCAUCCCCUUGCACCCCCAGUUCCUUUCCAGAGCCGCCCGAGCUCGAGCUCGAGCUCCACCGCUUCGGCUCACUAGAGUUCGUGAGGUAUAGGCCGUCCCCGCCUCUCCUUCCUCUCAAUCUGGAACCGCUGUAGCUCGCUGAUCCUUUCCCCCUUGUUUCCCCUCUCUGUAGCUGCUAGAAACGGCUGGAACCGCUGCCGCCCUAAGCCCUCCGCUGCGUGACCUUGUUGCCGGCGAACCAGGCCACCCCGACGACCGGUUACACCUCCACCCAAACGGCGACAUCACGCUGAGUCCGUCCCCGCCCUUGCCCAAGCUCGGCGUGCCCUGCAUCGUCACCGGUAAGCCUUGCCGCCGUCGGACGAGGGUUGACGACGACCCUGACAAGAGCCCCCGCUCGUCAGCCUCUCUAUCCUCUCCCUCUCCCGUGCCCUCUCUCACUGACGCUGGUCCCCCCCGUCAGGUUUAAAAACCUAGCGCGCGCGUGCGUCGGUUCGGCUGGGCCGCCACGCUGGCUGGGCCACUUCCAUGUGGCUUUCUGGCCCAGCAGGCACAGUGCCCCUUUUUCCUUUUUCUUUUCUGGUAAAUUCCCCAAAAUUCCACAGAGAUGAAUAUUUGUCCAAAUAAAUUAAUUCCAACUCCUAAAUUCCUGAAAUAUUACAACCUAUUUAAUGGGGCAACUUUCAUUCAAAUCCAACAAUCUUUUCUUCACUAUAAAUAUUUAAAUGUGACUUUUAGCAUUUAAAUAUACCUUUGUAAAUCCUUAGCACUGUUUCCACAACUCCAAACUUGAAACUAAUAAUUUUCCCCUUCUUAUUUUUCACCCUAGUAUUUAACAAAAAUGAGUUGAUAUUUUUCUGAGCACUUUGCUUUCUAUUUUAUUAUUGCCUUAUUUUUCUCGUUAUUAUUUUGCGACGAUAGAUUGCGUUGUUGACGAAGGAGUUGGACCAGAAGACUUUGAAGACCCAGAAGACUUUGCUGAGCCAGGCAAGCAGCCCUUUGACCAUGUCUAAGAAACCCUUUUUGUGCAUGUCAUAUGGCACUUUUAUUGCUUGCAUCAAAGUCAUAAUAAUGUGGUGACCGCUUGAGGUGGUUUGCCUCCGUGCUUUUCUCGUUGACACUUGCAUGAUGCAUGACCCUAUCUUUCUAUGAGGGUUAUGCGAGUGGGUGUACUUAGGGUGCUAAGUAGCUGCUACGCAAAUGGGAUGGGUAUAUGCAUGGUGAAGGAAACCAAGUUGUUUUCAAAGACUUUCAAAAACCCCGUCGGGUGCCACUAAUGCCCGAGGGAGAUGGUGAGCUAGGUUACCACUUGAUAAAGAAGUGGUGUACCGGAGCAAGUUGUGUGGGAGUGUUUUCGAAAACGGAUUAGAUUUAAGAUUUGUCGACUGUACCAACCUUACAUGCGCAACCACUCUACCCUUAUAUGGGAAAGGGCAUUAUUGAUUACCUAGGCCGAUACUAGCUUGGAGCCCACAUUACUAGUGACGGGAGAGUCGUUGUUGCGCUCUCUCAGGACAUAGUCGUGCCAGGUAGGGCGGCCAUGACUAUUUUUAUAGGGCACCGGACACACCGUUGGUACCCCGUGCCAGUGGUAUGUUAUGAAUAUGGGAGCGAGGCUCCACAAUUUUAAGAUGUGAAAUGUUGGGCACGGGGAUUACUGCCAAUCGAGUGGACUCUAUGUUAGUGUCGACUAGGGAAAGAUAGUGAUCGGGUGCUUAUCCCGGGUACUUGAGGUACCGCGGGUCAUGGAUGACAUGGAAGUUCCCCGGAUCUUGUGGGUAAAGUGUGCAACCUCUGCAGGGUGUAAAACUAUUCGAAUAGUCGUGUCCACGGUCAAGGACAGUUGGGCGGUGCUGCUUAAAAAGUGUCUAGAGUUUUACAAACCGUGUGUGUGUGUGUGUGUGUUGAUGCAAUGAUCAAGUUGGAAUGGUGUCCAACUCUGUUCAUGUUGAUAUCUGUAACUUGUUCAUACGGAUAUCUGUACUCUCAUGAUGCAUACUUUACAUGUUGAUAGAUCAUUUCAUUGCACUCAAAACUAGCUUUCUACAAACUACCUACUUGGUGCUAUAUCAUUGCAUUAUUGUGCCUUGUUCCAAUCAUGGGUUGCUUGCGAGUACAUUCAAAGUACUCAUUGGCUUGCCACUGGUUAUUUAAUUGGCCAGGCAUGGAAGAACAGGAGUUCAAAGAAGAGUUCUUUGGAGACGAACAUGCGAACUAGGACGUUUCCCAGUCAGAAUGCAUGUAGGGUUAAGGCAGAUGGCAUGGGUUCUAAUUAUCGACGAAGAUUUCCACUGCUUAAGUUUAUUUGGUAUUCAACCCUUGUGGCUUUAUCUAUGUAAGACUUGACCAUAAUGGUCAUAAUUUGUGUAAGACGGUAUGUAUGGAUGUAAAACUCUUGUUAUUCAACUUCUGUGUGUUCAGUGAGCAUUAAUCUCUGGGAUCACUGUACACGUGCAUUCAGUGAUCAUGACUCAUGAGUCGGGGUCCCCACAGAGCUGGUAUCAGAGCCAUCCUGACUAUAGGAAGCCUUAGUUAGCAUGGCCGUUAGUUAGGAUAAAACCCGUUUUGCAAAACCCUCUAUACUCCUCUUCUUUUCUAAGCUUACCAAACCCAGGAUAUAUUUCCAAAUUGACCUCUCCCAUUCAACCUUUGUAGAUGGCUAUCGUACCCAAAGACUUCCUGACCACCGGAUUUCUCGUGCUUCUCGAGGAUAGCCUCAAGAAGUGCCAUUUUCACCGAGCCCCCAUUUUCACCUACCAUGAGCAUUGGGUCAAUGACACCGAAACGGAGUAUCAUGUGGAAGUGAUCGUGAAGGCUAAUGACUCUCCAACAAGAUGGUUCUUCGAGGGACCCUAGAUGGCAACACUGGUUCUUGUCGUCGAGAUGGCAACCCUCAAGGCACUCACCCACCUCCGAGACCUUCUUCCCGAGAUGGCGGACGAGUUGGCAACCCGCUUCUUGCCUUAUCGGAAGGAGGGUGAGGAUGAGAGCAGCGCACCAGCUCCACCAUUGGAGGAAGGUCUUCCAUUCCGAUUCCAGACCUACUUCAGCCUUUGUGCCGAUAGUUUGGCACAACACUUGGCCUCGGAAUUAAUGGAGCGCAGAAAGGAACUUCAUGAGACCAAGGAACUUCUUUGCCAAGCACAAGGGAAGGCGGAUAGGAUCAAGAAAGAAGGUGCUCCCCAUGGACAACCCGUAGUCGCAUACCGAGGCGGAAGACCCCCAAAGGAUGGAGAACCACCACAUCAGCACCGCAUGAGCGCAAGGGAUUACCGCAAGCUCUUCACACCACCGGCAAAGAAACACCGUGUUGAGCUCCUCCACCCCCCACUCCUUCGAGCAAUGAAGGAAGUCAUGCUACUGAUGACGAGGAGGAGGACCCAGAAGAGCCAGACUACGCGACCGAGCAUUCCACCACUUAGGCAUCAUUUGCAACUCGGAUAUGCCAGUUCGUAAACCCUACAGUAGGAUAGGCCGUGUACCCCCUAUGUGAAGUCGAGUCCUUGUAAUGGUUUAGAUGAAACCAUGUAGUGUUGUGUUUGCUUUUGAUGUGUUUGAUGAACGUCGUACUUUCCUUUAGGAACUUGUAAGCGACUACAUCACCAUUUGGAUUUUAAUGAAUGUGUUUGGCCUUUUGGCCCUUGCAUGAAAACAAUUAGUGUCAUAUCGACCCCCUUCCUAGGCAUCCCAUCUAUAUUGCUUCCCCUCAUCUUUCCCAAUCAUGAGACCUUGACCGCUCCAACAGGAUACAUGUUGUAACACGUACUGGUACCUCUACCCAGCAGCAAGAAGCUGGAGCAGGAGCCAGUCAGGACCAAACCCAAGGACAAGCUCCGCCACCGCCACCACCUCCAAACAUGGACAUGGCUCAGCUUCUCCAAGCCUUUCGAGAGGAACGCCAAGCCAACACUGCAGCCCUCCAGAUGAUUGCUCAAGCUGUCAACCGCCAGCCGGCGGGGAACGGCAAUGGACGUUCCAUGUUGGCGGAGUUCAAGAAGCAUGCACCACCCACCUUCAUCGAGAGUGCUGAACCCCUGGAUGCAGACGACUGGGUCCGCACCAUUGAGGAUCUGCUGGAACUAGUCGUCUGCACUGAGGACCGUGAGAAAGUGGCAUAUGUUGCUCACUGUCUCGGGGGAACUGCUGAUACGUCUCCAACGUAUCUACUUUUCCAAACACUUUUGCCCUUGUUUUGGACUCUAACUUGCAUGAUUUGAAUGGAACUAACCCGGACUGACGUUGUUUUCAGCAGAAUUACCAUGGUGUUAUUUAUGUGCAGGAGCAAACGUUCCCGGAAUGACCUGCAACUUCACGGAGCCAAUUUUCAGAAAAUAAGAAAAAUACCUGCAAAAGAUGAAGGCCAGGGGCCCCACCACUUCUCCACGAGGGUGGGGGCGCGCCUGCCCCCCUAGGGCAUGCCCCCCUACCUCGUGGGCCCCCUGUUGCCUCUCCGACUCCAACUCCACCUCCAUCUAUCGAGUUUCGGGGAGAAAAAAAUAAGAGAGAAGAAAUCAUCGCGUUUUACGAUACGGAGCCGCCGCGAAGCCCUAAAACCUCUUGGGAGGGCUGAUCUGGAGUCCGUUCGGGGCUCCAGAGAGGGGAAUCUGUCGCCAUCAUCAUCAUCAACCAUCCUCCAUCACCAAUUUCAUGAUGCUCACCGUCGUGCGUGAGUAAUUCCAUCGUAGGCUUGCUGGACGGUGAUGGGUUGGAUGUGAUCUCUCAUGUAAUCGAGUUAGUUUUGUUAGGGUUUGAUCCCUAGUGUCCACUAUGUUCUGAGAUUGAUGUUGCUAUGACUUUGCUAUUCUUAAUGCUUCUCACUAGGGCCCGAGUGCCAUGAUUUCAGAUCUGAACUUAUUAUGUUUUCAUCAAUAUAUGAGUGUUCUUGAUCCUAUCUUGCAAGUCUAUAGUCACCCAUUAUGUGUUAUGAUCCGUUAACCCCGAAGUGACAAUAAUCGAGAUACUUACCGGUGAUGACCGUAGUUUGAGGAGUUCAUGUAUUCACUAUGUGUUAAUGCUUUGUUCCGGUUCUCUAUUAAAAGGAGGCCUUAAUAUCCCUUAGUUUCCAUAACGACCCCGCUGCCAUGGGAGGGUAGGACAAAAGAUGUCAUGCAAGUUCUUUUCCAUAAGCACGUAUGACUAUAUUCAGAAUACAUGCCUACAUUACAUUGAUGAACUGGAGCUAGUUCUGUGUCACCCUAGGUUAUGACUGUGACAUGAUGAACCGCAUCCGGCAUAAUUCUCCAUCAUUGAUCCGUUGCCUACAAGCUUUCCAUAUAUUGUUCUUCGCUUAUUUACUUUCCCGUUGCUAUUGCUAUCAUCACUAUAAAAUACCAAAAACAUUGUUUUACUACCAUUACCUUUUGUUACCGUUAUCACUAUUAUCAUAUUACCUUGCUACUAAACACUUUGCUGUAGAUAUUAAUUUUCCAUGUGUGGUUGAAUUGACAACUCAGCAGCUAAUACUUGAGAGUAUUCUUUGGCUCCCCUUGUGUCGAAUCAAAAAAUUUAGGUUGAAUACUUUACCCUCGAAAACUGUUGUGAUCCCCUAUACUUGUGGGUUAUCAAGACUAUUUUCUAGCACCGUUGCCAGGGAGCAUAGCUCGAGUCACUUGGGAUUUAUAUCUGCUUAUCAUUAUGAAGAACUUGAGAGAUCCAAAAACCAAGAUCUAUCUCUCAACUACGAGGGGAGGUAAGGAACUGCCAUCUAGCUCUGCACUUGAUUCACCUUCUGUUAUGAGUAAGUUUGCGACACCUACACCUGCUUCUGCUAUUCGUUCUGAUAUGUCACAUGUUAUUGAUGAUGCCACUUCUGCUAUGCAUGAUACUUAUGGUGAAACUACCUCUAUGCCUGAUACUACUAUGCCACUUAGUGAUUUUCUUGAUGAACAACUUGCUAGGGCUAGAGAAAUUGAAAAUAUUGAAUCUGAUGAUACUGAUGAAAGUGAUGAUGAAGAAUCACUUGUUAUUCCUAAGGGUUAUGUUUUUGAUCAAGAAGCUUAUUUAGCUAUUUUAGCUUGUGAAAAUAGAAAUGAACUCAAAAGAUUAUUAGCUAAAUGGAGUAAGCAAUCUCUAAAUGCUAGAAUGAAACCCGACCCUGCUUUUGCUACUUCACCUAUCUUUGUUACUGAUAAGGAUUAUGAAUUCUCUGUUGAUCCUAAUAUAAUUACUUUGGUUGAAUCUGAUCCUUUUCAUGGUUAUGAAUCUGAAACUGUUGUGGCACAUCUCACAAAAUUGAAUGAUAUAGCCACCCUGUUCACUAAAGAUGAGAGAACUCGCUACUUUUACAUCCUUAAAAUGUUUCCGUUCUCAUUAAAGGGUGAUGCUAAGAUAUGGUUUAAUUCUCUUGAUCCUGGUUGUGUGCGUAGUCCCCAGGAUAUGAUUUAUUACUUCUCUACUAAAUAUUUCCCUACUCAUAAGAAACAAGCUGCUUUAAGGGGUAUAUAUAAUUUUGUGCAAAUUGAAGAAGAGAGUCUCCCACAAGCUUGGGGGGGGGGGCUUCUCCAAUUACUUAAUGCUUUGCAUGAUCAUCCUCUUAAGAAAAAUGAAAUACUUGAUAUCUUUUAUAAUGGACUAACCGAUGCCUCCAGAGAUUACCUGGAUAGUUGUGUUGGUUCUGUUUUCAGGGAAAGAACACCAGAUGAAGCUGAAAUUCUAUUGAAUAAUAUGUUGACAAAUGAAAAUAAUUGGACACCUCCGGAGCCAAUUCCUGAGACUAUCCCUAAACCAACUCCGAAGAAGAGGGGUAUUCUAUUUCUCAGUCCUGAAGAUAUGCAAGAGGCAAAGAAAUCUAUGAAAGAAAAAGGUAUUAAAGCUGAAGAUGUUAAGAAUUUACCUCCUAUUGAAGAAGUACAUGGUCUUAAUUUACCGCGUGUUGAAGAAACAUAUAAUCUUAAUCCAUUACCUAUUGAAGAACCUCAUGGUCUUGAUAAUCCGACACAGGUAGUAAAGGUAAAUUCUCUCUAUAGAUAUGAUAAAGCUGAAAUCCCAUUUACUAAGUUUGCUAGACCAUGCUUAGAUGAGUUUGAUAAAUUUAUGGCUAAGCAAGAAGAAUUUAAUGCUUAUUUUGGUAGACAAUUGAAAUACAAUUCAAAUAUGCUUGAACACUUGGGUGAUUAUAUGGCUAAUGUUAAAAGUGAACUUAAACUUAUUAGUAAACAUGCUUCUAUGGUUACCACUCAAGUAGAACAAGUACUUAAAGCUCAAAAUGAUUUGCUCAAUUAAUUGAAUAGUAAAGAUAAUGAUAAUGUUGUUAGAGUGGCUACUAGAACUGGUAGAAUGACUCAGGAACCUUUGUAUCCUGAAGGCCGUCCUAAGAGAAUUGAGCAAGAUUCUUAGAGAAAUAAUAUAGAUGUACCUAGUUCUUCUAAAAAGAAGAAAAAGAAAAAUGAUAGGACCUUGCAUGCUUCUAGUGAACCUAUUGUUGAAACACCUGAGAAUCCAAAUGAUAUUUCUAUUUCUGAUGCUGAAACUCAAUCUGGUAAUGAACCUGAAACUAGUGAUAAUGUUAAUGAUAAUGUUCAUAAUGAUGCUCAACCUAGUAAUAAUAAUGACAUAGAAAUUGAACCUGCUGUUGAUCUUGAUAACCCACAAUCAAAGAAUCAACAUUAUGAUAAAAAAGACUUUGUUGCUAGGAAACAUGGUAAAGAAAGAGAACCAUGGGUUCAGAAACCCAUGCCUUUUCCUCCCAAACCAUCCAAGAAAAAGGAUGAUGAGGAUUUUGAGCGCUUUGCUGAAAUGAUUAGACCUAUCUUUUUGCGUAUGCGAUUAACUUAUAUACUCAAAACAAAUCCUUAUGCUAAGUACAUGAAAGAUAUUAUUACAAAUAAAAGAAAGAUACCGGAAGCUGAAAUUUCCACCAUGCUUGCUAAUUAUACUUUUAAGGGUGGAAUACCAAAGAAACUUGGAGAUCCAAGAGUACCCACUAUACCAUGCUCCAUUAAAAGAAACUAUGUUAAAACUGCUUUAUGUGAUCUUGGAGCCGGUGUUAGUGUUAUGCCUCUCUCUUUAUAUCAUAGACUUGAUUUGAAUAAGUUGACACCUACUGAAAUAUCUUUGCAAAUGGCUGAUAAAUCAACUGCUAUACCUGUCGGUAUUUGUGAGGAUGUGCCUGCUGUAGUUGCAAACAUUACUAUUUUAACAGACUUUGUUAUUCUUGAUAUUCCCGAGGACGAUAGUAUGUCUAUUAUUCUUGGAAGACCCUUUUUGAAUACUGCAGGGGCUGUUAUUGAUUGCACUAAAGGAAAUGUCACUUUUCAUGUUAAUGGUAAUGAGCACACGGUACACUUUCCGAGGAAUCAACCUCAAGUACAUAGUCUCAACUCUAUUGGAAAAAUUCCAUCGAUUAUAUUUGGAGGUUUUGAAUUUCCUCUUCCUACUGUCAAGAAGAAAUAUGAUAUUCUUAUUAUUGGGGAUGUGCAUAUCCCCAUUGAAGUAACAUAGUGUUAUUCAAAAUUUCUCUGGUUCCAUGUUAUUCGGAAUGAGUUCGUUAACAAGACUUGAUCAACCUUCUUAGUGGAUUCCUUUUGAUGAUCAUGAGAUGGAUGAAACUAGAAGGCACAACCUUCUGUACCCCACUUUUACUUUCUGUUGUUUAUAUUAAAUAAAAUAAAAAUAAAUAUUUUUCUGUUUGUUAUCUGAUUAUUCGUGCAAUAUAAAAAUACCUCGAAAAUAAAAGUUCUCCAAAUGCCCUGAAAUUUAAAUAUGAUUUUUUUCUAGAAUAUUUGAGAAUAUUUGGCACUAAGAACACAGCAGGGGGUCAACCACCUGCCCACGAGGGUGGAGGGCGCGCCCUACCCCCCUGAGCAUGCCCCCUGCCUCGUGGGCCCACGGUGGCCCUCCUCCACUUAUCCUUUCACACAUACACUUCUUCUUCCUCCCCCAAACACGAAUAUCCAGCUCAAGCACGAGUUCUAACUCACUCUGCUGCCACUUUCGAUCUCCUUGCUCAAAGCACCUCUCACAAAACUGCUUGGGGAGAUUGUUCCUUGGUAUGUCACUCCUCCAUUGGUCCAAUUAGUUUUUGUUCUAGUGCUUUAUUCAUUGCAAAUUUUUGCUGCUUAGGUGACCCUGUUCUUGAGCUUGCAUGUCUAAUUUAUAUGGUCUAAAGUAGUUUUGAUGCAUGAUAUAGGCCCUAGGCACUUGUAGGAGUAGUUGCUAUCAAUAUUAUUGAGUUUGGUUUACUUUUAUUUUGAAGUUACUAAGAAUUUUCAGAAUUUUUCAGAUAAAGAAAAAUGCUUAGGAAAAUGUUCUAAGGUGGUUCUUCAAGGAAGUAAGGACCCAGGCUUGGAAUGCGUGAUGCUGAUGAAGAGCCACCAAGAGACGCUCCAGUGCGUCCUUGUGAAUGGCCUUCUGAGAACUUUAUGGAUCGAGUGGGAAUUAAGGAAAAAUUCAACACAUAUUUGCGUAACGCUGAUCUUGUGAGCUUCGAGGAAGAGAAGUGCAGCCAGUAUCACAACAUCACCAGUACCUUUGUGAGAGGUUUGAAUUUUCAACUUCAUGUAAUUCUCCAACUGUCAUGUUUGAUCUUUAUGAUAAAUCUCACACUAUGGACUUAGAGGAUUUUACCACUGCAUGCAAACUUCCACAAUGGGGUAGUAUAAGGGAUCCUCGCAAAUCUGAAUUUAGAGAUUUUCUUGCUAGCAUAACUGUGGGAGAAUCUAGAGAUAUUACACAAGCUAACAUAGGGAGCAUCCACUUUCCUGCUACACAUUAUUUUGCUCUCUUCAGAGGUAGAUGCAUAAAUGGUAAAGAUGAGGCAUGUCACAUGUGUGUCCCCGAUCUCAGUAUUCUUAGGAGUGCUGUGUCAGGAGACAAAUCAUAUAAUUUGGGAGCCAUUGUUGCACGUAGGUUGCAUCUUAACAGACUUAAUGGAGAUUUCUUUGGUGGAAUCAAUGCAACCCGCAUAGCUAAUUUUCUUGGUAUAGCCAUACGCGAAGAUGAUAUUGAAUUACCUCCUGCUUAUCUAGAUUUUAAUGCUAUGGUUCACCACCAGUUUGUCGAGAGGAACAAAUCACCUCUCCAGUAUCGACUAAUCUUUGACAGACGCCGUGUUGUCCGUAUUACUCUCCCUGCCCCUGCCUUCUUUGAUUAUCAGGCAAGGGGAGGAUAUACUAUUACCAGAGAGGAGGCAGAUGAGUACGAGAGGAGAGAGGAGGCCGCUCGUCGCCACGCUGCAACUCAGCAGGCGAUAGCCGCUGCAUCUCAGUAUGACCCCAGUUACUAUUAUGGAUAUCUGCCAGGCCAGUCGUGGCCAUAGACCAACUUAGGCCAAAAGCCUAAGCUUGGGGGAGUACGUAUUUCCCACCGACAUUACAUUUAUGUUCACACACUCAUUGCUAGAUGUCGGUGCUCAUACUUUUUCAUUGUAUCAUCCAUGCUAGUUUAUUUUCCUUUUUUAUGCUUUCUUCUUGUGUGUUUAAUAAACCUUAAGAAAAAACAAAAAAAAUUAGUUGUAGCUUUUAAUCAGUUUAAUUUCCAUGCUUGUAGUAGUAAUUAAAAAGAAAACCCAAAGAUAUUUCAUGUUCUUCUUUUGCUUGUUGGGAGCUUUCCCGUGUAAAUAGUUUUAUUUAUUUUCUUUUCUUUGGGGGUCGAUAGGAGAAGACCAUGAUUAAAUUGUUGAAGUGGAUCUUAUAUGCAUUAUUGUUUAUCUGACAAAAGAGCCCGUAUUGCCUUGUCUUCUCCUGUUUAUUGAAUGCUUGCAGAUUCCAGCUUAGUCUAAUGCACGUGCACUAUUAUUAUUAUUCGCAUCGUUCGGUCGUUCAAGUGAAAGGCAAUUAUGAUGAUAUAUGAUGGACUGGCUGAGAUGAGAAAAGCUGGUAUGAACUCGACCUCUUUUGUUUUUGUAAAUAUGAUUAGUUCAUCAUUCCUGAUUCAGCCUAUUAUGAAUAAACAUGUUUGAAAUGACAAUUAGAGAUCAUAGUUUCUUGUGCCAUGCUUGAUUAGCUAUGAGUUAUAAUGGUUUACCUUGCGUGCCAACAUGCUAUUAAAAUGGUUAUGAUGUGGUAUGAUAGGUGGUAUCCUCCUCUGAAUGAUUUAAGUGACUUGACUUGGCGCAUGUUCACGCAUGUAGUUAAAACAAAAUCGACAUAGCCUUCACUAUAUUUAUGUUCAUGGUGGAUUAUAUCCUACUCAUGCUUGCAUUCGGUGUUGAUUAAUUUUAAUGCAUGUUCAUGAUUGUUGUCGCUCUCUAGCUAGUUGCUUCCUAGUCUUUUGCUAGCCUUCACUUGUACGAAGCGGGAAUACUGCUUGUGCAUCCAAUCCCUUAAACCCCAAAUUUAUUCCACAUGAGUCCACUAUACCUACCUAUAUACGCUAUCCACCUGCCGUUCCAAGUAAAUUUGUAUGUGCCAAACUCUAAACCUUCAAAUAAAUAUCCUGUUUUGUAUGCUCGAAUAGCUCAUGUAUCAACUAGGGUUGUCUGUAUCUUCCAUGUUAGGCGGGUUAUUCUCAAGAGGAGUGGACUCCGCUCCUCACUCACGAGAUAAAUGGCUGGUCACCGGGAUGCCCAGUCCCAUGCUUUAUGCAAACUAAAUCAAAAUAAUUGCAAACAAAACUCCCCAUGGGACUCUUGUUAGUUGGAGGCACUCGUUGUUUCGAGCAAGCCAUGGAUUGAUGCUUGUUGGUGGAAGGGGGAGUAUAAACUUUACCAUUCUGUUUGGGAACCGCCUGUAAUGUGUGUAGCAUGGAAGAUAUCCACAUCUCUUGGUUGUUAUAUUGACAAUGAAAGUAUACCGCUCAAAAUAUUAUUCACCUCUGUUUCAAAACCGAGCUCUGGCACCUCUACAAAUCCCUGCUUCCCUCUACGAAGGGCCUAUCUAUUUACUUUUAUGCUGAGUCAUCAUCCUCUUAUUAAAAAGCACCAGUUGGAGAGCACUGCUGUCAUUUGCAUUCAUUAUUGUUAGUUUACAUUGAGUAUGACUUGACUGGAUCUCUUUUACCAUGAAUUACAAUGUCUAGUCAGUCCUUGGUCUUUAAAGGUGCUUUGCAUUUAUGUUUUGCGGUCUCAGAAAGGGCUAGCGAGAUACCAUCUUGUUAUAUCAUAUUAUGAUUGUUUUGAGAAAGUGUUGUCAUCCGAGAUUUAUUAUUAUUGCUCGCUAGUUGAUUAUGCUAUUGAUAUGAGUAAACUUGAGACCUAUGCGUUAUUGUGAAUGUGGUUAGUCAUAAUCUUUGCUGAAAACUUGAAUGCUGGCUUUACAUAUUUACAAGAACAAGAGCAAACAGAGCUUGUAAAAGUUUUUCUUUAUCACUUUCAGUUUGUCAACUGAAUUGCUUGAGGACAAGCAAAGGUUUAAUCUUGGGGGAGUUGAUAUGUCUCCAACGUAUCUACUUUUCCAAACACUUUUGACCUUGUUUUGGACUCUAACUUGCAUGAUUUGAAUGGAACUAACUCGGACUGACGUUGUUUUCAGCAGAAUUACCAUGGUGUUAUUUAUGUGUAGGAGCAAACGUUCUCGGAAUGACCUGAAACUUCACGGAGCCACCUUUCAGAAAAUAAGAAAAAUACCUGCAAAAGAUGAAGGCCAGAGGGCCCACCACCUCUCCAUGAGGGUGGGGGCGCGCCUGCCCCCAGGGCACACCCCCUACCUCGUGGGCCCCCUCUUGCCUCUCCGACUCCAACUCCACCUCCAUAUAUUGAGUUUCGGGGAGAAAAAAAUAAGAGAGAAAAAAUCAUCACGUUUUAUGAUACGGAGCCGCCGCCAAGCCCUAAAACCUCUCAGGAGGGCUGAUUUGGAGUCCGUUCGGGGCUUCAGAGAGGGGAAUCCGUCGCCAUCUUCAUCAUCAACCAUCCUCCAUCACUAAUUUCAUGAUGCUCACCGCCGUGCGCGAGUAAUUCCAUCGUAGGCUUGCUGGACGGUGAUGGGUUGGAUGGGAUCUAUCAUAUAAUCGAGUUAGUUUUGUUAGGGUUUGAUCCCUAGUGUCCACUAUGUUCUGAGAUUGAUGUUGCUAUGACUUUGCUAUGCUUAAUGCUUGUCACUAGGGCCCUAGUGCCAUGAUUUCAGAUCUGAACCUAUUAUGUUUUCAUCAAUAUAUGAGUGUUCUUGAUCCUAUCUUGCAAGUCUAUAGUCACCCAUUAUGUGUUAUGAUCUGUUAACCCCGAAGUGACAAUAAUCGGGAUACUUACCGGUGAUGACCGUAGUUUGAGGAGUUCAUGUACUCACUAUGUGUUAAUGCUUUGUUUCGGUUCUCUAUUAAAAGGAGGCCUUAAUAUCCCUUAGUUUCCAUAAGGACCCCGCUGCCACGGGAGGGUAGGACAAAAGAUGUCAUGCAAGUUCUUUUCCAUAAGCAAGUAUGACUAUAUUCGGAAUACAUGCCUACAUUACAUUGAUCAAUUGGAGCUAGUUCUGUGUCACCCUAGGUUGUGACUGUUACAUGAUGAACCGCAUCCGGCAUAAUUCUCCAUCACUGAUCUGUUUCCUACGAGCUUUCCAUAUAUUGUUCUUCGCUUAUUUACUUUCCCAUUGCUAUUACUAUCAUCACUACAAAAUACCAAAAACAUUGCUUUUACUACCAUUACCUUUUUUUACCGUUAUCACUACUAUCAUAUUACCUUGCUAAUAAACACUUUGUUGUAGAUAUUAAGUUUCCAGGUGUGGUUGAAUUGACAACUCAGCUGCUAAUACUUGAGAGUAUUCUUUGGCUCCCCUUGUGUCGAAUCAAUAAAUUUGGGUUGAGUACUUUACCCUCGAGAACUGUUGCGAUCCCCUAUACUUGUGGGUUAUCAACUGCCUGAGCCUGGUGGGAUGGAUCCAAGGUCAUGCAUGGUGGGCAAAACAUCACUUGGAAUGACUUCAAGGCAGAAUUCCGCAAGGCCCACAUUCCUUCCGGAAUUAUGGCCAUCAAGAAGUGUGAGUUCCAAGCCUUGAAGUAAUGAAGUAGCACUAUCAAGGAGUACAUGCAGAAGUUCAGUGUUCUGUCAAGGUAUGCUCCUGAAGAUGUCAGCACAGAUGCUGCCAAAAGAGAGCGCUUCAUGGAAGGCCUUAACCAGACUCUGCAGUACUCGCUUGUUGUGUGUGACUGCCCAACCUUUCCGGAUCUGGUGAACAAGGCACUCAUGCUUUAGGACAAGCGACAUGCUUUGGAUGUUACCCGUAAGCGCAAGAUGAUCAACAAGGGUAACUUGUAACACCCCGGAUGUAACUUUCCCAAUUUGUACUCCAACUCUUGCCGUUUCCGGCAUUAAGUUAUUUUAUUUUCUCGGGUUCGGGUUUUUGUCUCCGUGUGUUGUAUCGUUGUCAUGCAUCUCAUAUCAUGUCAUCAUGUGCAUUGCAUUUGCAUACGUGUUCCUCUCAUGCAUUCGAGCAUUUUCCCCGUUGUCCAUUUUGCAUUCCGGCGCUUCGUUCUCCUUCGGUGGUCAUUUCUACCUUUCGAUCGUGUGUGGAGAUUAAACAUUUCCGGAUUGGACCGAGACUUGCCAAGUGGCCUUGGUUUACUACGGGUAGACCGCCUGUCAAGUUUUGUACCAUUUGGACUUCGUUUGAUACUCCAACGGUUAACCGAGGGACCGAAAAGGCCUCGUGUGUGUUGCAGCCCAACACCCCUCCAAUUUGGCCCAAAACCCACCUAAACCUGCUCCAUCAUCUAGAGCGUUCGAUCACGAUCGCGUGGCCGAAAACCGCACCUCAUUUGGACUCUCCUAGCUCCCUCUAUGCCUAUAUAAAGGCCUCUCCCCGAAAUCCGGAUCCCCCUCGUUCUAAACCCUAAAAAAUCUACCGCGCCGCGCCGGACAUGUCCGUGCCGGCCGGACAAGCAGCCACUACCGCCCGCGGCGAACCAGGGCACGCCACGUGGCGGCUCCUGCCCACGCCACCGCCGAGGCCCGCCGGCCCGAAGCCGGCCCUCUCCCCGCACCAACCGGGCCGCGCCCCGCGCCCGCUAGCGCCGCCNNNNNNNNNNNNNNNNNNNNNNNNNNNNNNNNNNNNNNNNNNNNNNNNNNNNNNNNNNNNNNNNNNNNNNNNNNNNNNNNNNNNNNNNNNNNNNNNNNNNNNNNNNNNNNNNNNNNNNNNNNNNNNNNNNNNNNNNNNNNNNNNNNNNNNNNNNNNNNNNNNNNNNNNNNNNNNNNNNNNNNNNNNNNNNNNNNNNNNNNNNNNNNNNNNNNNNNNNNNNNNNNNNNNNNNNNNNNNNNNNNNNNNNNNNNNNNNNNNNNNNNNNNNNNNNNNNNNNNNNNNNNNNNNNNNNNNNNNNNNNNNNNNNNNNNNNNNNNNNNNNNNNNNNNNNNNNNNNNNNNNNNNNNNNNNNNNNNNNNNNNNNNNNNNNNNNNNNNNNNNNNNNNNNNNNNNNNNNNNNNGCCGCCUCGCCGACCGCCGCCACAUCGCCGACUUCCGCCUCGGCCGAGCCCCGCCUCCGCCGUCCACCUUGUCGCCGGUGGAAGUCCGGCCACCGCCCCGCUCCGGCCACUUCUUCCUCGCCCGCCGCCGCCGUCUAUAGGGAUCCCGGCGAGUCUCCGGCGAGAUCCGCCGCCGCCUCGGGAAGCGUGCGAUCCAGAUCUGAGUUUUAUCUCCUCGGGCUGACGUUUUCUCCCGAAACCCUAAUCCAUAUGCCCAUGUUCAUCGUGUCGUAUCUCCGCAUCCGUACCUCCGUUUUUGGCAUAUAGCAUAUCAAAGUGUUCAUCUCAGAGAGUACAUCAUUUCAUUCCAUUGCAUCAUUUUCAUUUGAGUUCAUCUUGAUGCCCGAAAUACUGUUAGAAGAGGGCUACUUGAGAUAAUUGUCAGAUCUGCUACUCCAUUUAGAUAUUUGUCAUUUUUGCCAUGAUUAUUGUGUGCAUGAUAUGCCCAUGGGUUCUACAUAUGUUUUGUUUAGGGUUUUGUCAUCUUUCCAAAGGUGCAACCCAUGUAUUUUUGUGAUGUGUGUGUUGACUAGCACAAGCUUGCCAAGUGGUGCACUUGAUAAUGAUGAUUUCAGGGACUUAGCAUUUCCACUAAGUCCUUGAUCUGAUUGUCUCAUGUUGUCAUAUGUUCAUGUUGUUUCCUAGCGAUCCGUGCCUCUUUUGAGGAUGAUCAGUAAGGAUGUUUUGUUAAUCUUGUAGUGCUCUAUCCAUCCAUGUCUUUGUUUGCAAUUAUGGAGCACCCUAGCUUGAGUCAAUCGAGCUCUACUUUUGGCUACUUUGUGAAUCUGGGCAGAUUGUCAACUUGUUUGCAAUUUUGCCGAUGAUGUUGUAGUUGAUCCAUGCAUGCUAUGCUAUUGAUAUUGCCAUGUCUAGCUUGCAUUUUGUGUUUUCUUGAUAGAUGUAUGCUUAGCUUAUCAUGACUUGCUCCAUGUUGAGUGCAUCGAGCUCGUAAACAUGCCUACUUGAGAUCUGUUUUCAGCAUGCUCCAGUUUUCACUAAGUCUGUGAUCUGAUUAUGUUUUUGCCAUGUUCACAUGCUUGUAAUUGUAUUUUCUCAACCCUUUUGGCUCAAGGUCACUAAGGGACUUUUGUUAAGCGCUUUGAGUAGCUCCAUUUCAUGCUUUACUUUGCCAUGUUCAGGUCCUGUAGCAUGUAGUUUUGUGGCUCCGAAGUGUGCUACCUGAUCUGAAAUUCCAGACAAGUGUUAAUUUCAGUAAGUCUGAGAUCUGUUUGUCAUAUGCAUUUUUGCCAUGCUUGUUUGAACCUGUUAAUGGAUGAAUUGGCCGUAGGUCAGUGCUAGACUUUUGUUAAGCAUCUUGGAUGCAUCCCUGCUAUGUAUUUUGUUGCCAUGUUUGGGUGCUGUAGCAUGUUCAUCUCAUUGCAUUUAGAUGGCUACUUGCUAUAAAUCGCAGACCGGUGCCAUAUUUGAAUCGCUUGCCAUUUCCAAACCGUAACUCCGUUUCUGACGUUGUUUAUAUCGUUUUCAAGCGCUUUCAUCUCAUCUUUCCAUUGUCACACUUGGAUUCCCAAGUUGAGGCCAGGAUCAUGCGUUCUUUGUCAAAUCUUGCAUAUGCAUCCCGCAUCGCAUCCCGCAUAGCAUAUCAUCAUUGCAUCAUAUUGUUUGAUCCUUGCACGUGGUUGAUUGUGUCCUUGUUGAUUGUUUGUCUUGUUUGGGUAGAGCCGGGAGACGAGUUCGCUAACGAGGAGCCCGUUGAGUUUGCUUUUGAGGAUCCAGUCAACUCUGACAACUGUGCAGGCAAGAUGAUCAUACCCUCAAAAUCACUACUAUCUUUGCUAUGCUAGUUUGCUCGCUCUUUUGCUAUGCCAAUGCUAUGAUGCCUACCACUUGCUUUCAAGCCUCCCAAAUUGCCAUGUCAAGCCUCUAACCCACCAUGUCCUAGCAAACCAUUGAUUGGCUAUGUUACCGCUUUGCUCAGCCCCUCUUAUAGUGUUGCUAGUUGCAGGUGAAGAUUGAAGGCCGUUCCUUGGUGGAACUUUUAUUUACUUGUUGGGAUAUCAUUAUAUUAUCUUGUUAUCUUAAUGCAUCUAUAUACUUGGUAAAGGGUGGAAGGCUCGGCCUCUCGCCUAUUGUUUUGUUCCACUCUUGCCGCCCUAGUUUCCGUCAUAUCGGUGUUAUGUUCCUGGAUUUUGCGUUCCUUACGCGGUUGGGUUAUAAUGGGAACCCCUUGAUAGUUCGCCUUGAUUAAAGCUUUUCCAGCAAUGCCCAACCUUGAUUUUACCAUUUGCCACCUAGCCUCUUUUUCCCUUGGGUUUCCAGAGCCCGAGGGUCAUCUUAUUUUAGCCCCCCCGGGCCAGUGCUCCUCUGAGUGUUGGUCCCACCGAGCGAUGUCUGGGGCUACCAGGGGCAACUCUGGGCUGGCCUACCCGACGUCUGGCUCAUCUGAGUGUGCCCUGAGAACGAGAUAUGUGCAGCUCCUAUCGGGAUUUGUCGGCACAUUCGGGCGGUGUUGCUGGUCUUGUUUUAACCUGUCGAAGUGUCUUGAAUAACCGAGGUACCGAGUCUGAUCGGAACGUCUCGGGAGGAGGUCUAUUCCUUAGUUGACCGUGAGAGCUUGUCAUGGGCUAAGUUGGGACUCCCCUGCAGGGAUUUGAACUUUCAAAAGCCGUGCCCGCGGUUAUGGGCAGAUGGGAAUUUGUUAAUGUCCGGUUGUAGAUAACUUGAACCUUAACUUAAUUAAAAUGAAUCAACUGAGUGUGUUACCGUGAUGGCCUCUUCUUGGCGGAGUCCGGGAAGUGGACACGGUGUUGCAGUAAUGUUUGCGCGGGUUGUCCUCUAGUUUCUCGCUCGCGCUUUGCCUCCUCUUCUCGCUCUCUUUUGCGAAUAAGUUAGCCACCAUAUUUUCUAGUCGCUUGCUGCAGCUCCACAUAUAUUUGUACCUUGCCUUACCUAUAAGCUUAAAUAGUCUUGAUCGCGAGGGUGCGAGAUUGCUGAGUCCCUGUGGCUCACAUAUUAUUAUUACACCAGAUGUAGGGCCUAAUGAUUCUGCUCCAGGAGACGCGUUUGAGCUCCAGUGGGAGUUCGACGAGGACUCUCAACGUUACUAUGUUUCCUUUCCUGAUGAUCAGUAGUGGUGCCCAGUUGGGGGUGAUCGGGACCGUGUCACUUGUUGGGUUAUCUUUUAUUUUGGCGCUGUAGUCGGGCCAUGAGUGUUUGGUUGAUGUAAUGUUAUUUAUGUACUUGAUUGACGUGGCGAGUGUAAGCCAACUAUGUUAUCUCCCCUUUUAUUAUCUAUAUUACAUGGGAUGUUGUGAAGAUUGCGUAACUUGUGACAUGUGCCUUCAAUGCGAUUAUGCCUCUAAGUCGUGCCUCGACACGUGGGAGAUAUAGUCGCAUCGAGGGUGUUACAUAACUCCAGCAACCAGAAGCCUUACCCGUGGCAGCCAGCCCCGGUCAAACCAACCUAUCAGCAACCAAGAGCCCUUUUGCACCCCGCACCAACUAUCAGCCUUAGCAGUAUGCCAACCCCAGGCUAGCUUACAACAACCCCAAUAACAAUGCCGUCAAUAGCAGCAACCCCAAUCAAGCCACUUGCUUUGGAUGUGGUCAGCCAGGACACUAUUCCAAGAAUUGCCCCAACAAGAAGCCCGAUGCCCCGCGCCCCAAUACGCAGAACCCAGGACAAGGCCGCGGAAUGCCACCAAGGAACCAAGCUCCCCGCAACGCGCCCAACAAUGGCAAGGGUCGUGUGAAUCAUGUCACUGCAGAAGAAGCCCAGGAAGACCCGGACAUCGUGUUGGGUACGUUCCUUGUUAACUCAACACCUGUAACUGUCUUGUUUGGUUCUGGAGCCACGCAUUCCUUUGUCACCCAAGAGUUUGCAUUAAAAAGUGGCAUGACCCCUACACCCCUGAAUAACCCUAUGGUGGUACAAACCCCCGGAGCAGAGAUGAGAGCCAAGGUAGGCUGUAAGGGAGUCAGAAUCGUCAUUAACGGGGUAGACUUCCUAGAAGACCUUAUUGUCUUAAGAUCACAAGGCUUGGAUGUGAUCUUAGGAAUGAAUCGGCUCAUCAAGCACCAAGGCUUGUUAGAUUGUGCCAACCGGACUGUCACUGUGACCAAUGACCAAGGAGUCGAAGUUAAAUUUGCCUCCAACCCCUCCUCUGCUCAAGCCACCCAAGUCAACUGUCUGCUGAAGUUGGAUUGGAGCAAGUGCCGGUAGUAUGCGAAUACCCCGAUGUCUUUCCUGAUGAGCUACCGGGAAUGCCUCCUGACCGAGACAUUGAGUUCAUCAUCGAGCUCAUGCCCGGAGCAGGACCCAUCUAUAAGAAGCCUUAUAGAAUGGGAUCAAAAGAGUUAGCAGAGUUGAAGAAGCAACUGGAAGAGCAGUUGAGGAAGGGAUUUAUCCGUCCUAGUGCCUCCCCUUGGGGAUCACCUGUUUUGUUUGUGGCAAAGAAGGACGGUACCAUCCGCUUGUGUAUUGACUACUGCUACCUCAAUGAAGUAACAAUCAAGAACAAGUAUCCACUUCCCAAGAUUGAAGAUCUGUUUGAUCAACUCAAUGGGGCCAAGGUGUUCUCCAAGAUCAACCUCAGAUCUGGGUACUACCAACUGAAAAUCAGACCCCGAGAUAUUCCUAAGACGGCAUUUGUAACCCGAUAUGGCAUGUAUGAAUGCACCGUCAUGUCCUUUGGAUUGACCAAUGCCCCAGCUUACUUCAUGUAUCUCAUGCAUAAGGUCUUCAUUGAAUAUUUAGACAAGUUUGUUGUCGUCUUCAUUGAUGGCAUUCUUGUCUUCUCAAAGACAGAAGAAGAGCACGAGGAACACUUGAGGAUGGUCCUAGACAAGCUUCGAGAGCACCAAAUGUACGCCAAGUUCAGCAAGUGCGAAUUUUGGCUGCGUGUAGUUGGAUUCUUGGGUCAUAUUUUGACCGAAGAAGGAUUGUCGGUCGAUCCCGCCAAGAUUGAAGUCGUGACUGAAUGGCAAUCCCCAAGCAAUGUGAAGGAAGUCAGAAGCUUCCUCGGACUCGCAGGAUAUUACUGAAAGUUCGUUGAAGGAUUCUCAAGCAUUGCCCGACCCAUGACCCAGCUCUUGAAGAAGGACAAGACGUUUGAAUGGACGCCGAAGUGCGAAGAAAGCUUCCAGGAGCUAAAGAAGAGAUUGUCCACCGCCCCAGUUCUGGCCACACCUGCUAUUCACAAAGAAUUUGUGAUAUAUUGUGAUGCCUCACAAACCGGACUAGGAGGUGUUCUGAUGCAAGAGGGCAAAGUUGUAGCUUACCUUUCAAGACAACUACGGCCUCAUGAGGAGAACUAUGCUACUCAUGAUCUUGAGUUAGCAGCAGUAGUUCAUGCCCUGGAGACAUGGUGACAUUACCUCCUAGGGAAGCGGUGUGAGAUAUACACGGAUCACAAAAGUCUGAAGUAUAUUUUCACUCAGAAGGAAUUGAACAUGAGGCAGAGAAGAUGGCCAGAACUGAUCAAGGAUUAUGACCUCAGUGUUCAAUACCACCCUGGGAAGGCUAAUGUGGUAGCAGAUGCGUUAAGCAGAAAGGCUUGUUCCUUGAAUGCUAUGAUUAAGGAAACGCUACCCGCCUUGUAUGAAGAACUUGAAAGCUUCGGGUUGGAACUGGUUGCACCAGGAUUCUUGGCCAACCUCGAAGUUAGGCCUACCCUGAUGGAUGAUGUUAAGGAAGCUCAGAAGGGACACGAGAGUAUUGAAGGCAUCAAGAGGAAGAUCAAGGAAGGCCCCAGGAUUCUCAGAGGAUGAGAAAGGAAUUGUGUGGUUUAGGAAUCGCAUUUGCGUACCCAACAAGGUUGAGCUCAAGAACUUCAUCUUGCAAGAAGCUCAUGACACCCCGUAUUCCAUCCAUCCUGGAGGGACCAAGAUGUAUCAAUACCUGAAGGAAAGAUUUUGGUGGCACUCGAUGAAAAGAGAGAUUGCCACCUAUGUUGCAAAGUGUGAUGUAUGCCAAAGGGUCAAGGCUGAUUAUCAGCGACCUGCUAGAUUGCUCCAACCACUCAAGGUUCUCAAGUGGAAAUGGGAUAAAGUCGAAAUGGAUUUCAUCACUAGACUACCUAGGUCAAACAAGGGACAUGACUCCAUCUGGGUCAUAGUCGACCAUUUGACCAAAGUAGCCCAUUUCAUUCCUGUUAAGACUACCUAUGAUGGCAACCGGCUGGCAACUCUAUACAUCAACAGAAUCGUAAGCCUUCAUGGUGUUCCAAGGAGAUUGUGUCAGAUCGAGGAACCCAGUUUACCUCAAGGUUCUAGAAGAAGUUCCAAGAGGCCAUGGGAACCAAGUUGUCCUUUAGCACUACUUUCCAUCCACAGAACGGAGGUCAGACGGAACGAGUGAAUCAGAUACUCGAAGACAUGCUCCGAGCCUGUGUCUUAGCAUAUGGAGCUAAGUGGGAAGAUUGCCUACCCUUCACCGAGUUCUCCUACAACAACAGCUACCAGUCCAGUCUUCAGAUGGCACCGUUUAAGGUGCUAUAUGGAUGGAAGUGCCGCACUCCCCAAAUUGGUCCAAGACCGGAGAAGGACUAGUCUUUGGGCCCGAUAUCCUCCAUGAAGUGGAAGAGCAAGUCCAACUUGUUAGAGAGUGUUUGAAGACUGCCAAGUCAAGACAGAAGAGCUACGCCGACUCACGUCGUCGAGACAUGACCUUCCGAGUUGGAGACCAUGUCUAUCUCCGGGUCACACAUCUCAAGGGAACCCAGCACUUCCAUGUCAAAGGAAAGCUCGCACCAAGAUAUAUCGGCCCCUUUAAGAUCACUGAACGGCAAGGAGAAGUGGCUUACCAGUUGGAACUGCCACCUGAACUAUCUGAUGUGCACAACGUAUUCCACAUGCCACAACUCCGGAAGUGUCUCCAAGUUCCAGACAAGCCUGAUCUUUACAAGGACGUCGAUCACCAAGACAUUGACCUUCAGCCUAAUUUGACCUACCGUGAGAGGCCCAUCUGCAUUUUGGAUGAGGCUGAACGACGCACUCGAAGCCGCACCAUCAAGUAUUUCAAGGUCCAGUGGAGCAACCACACUGAAGCAGAAGCAACCUGGGAACGUGAAGACUACCUUAGAUCCGAGUUUCCCGAUCUCUUUUAAAGCCUAGUUUAGGAACCUCGGGGACGAGAUUGUUGUCAGGGGGGUAGGUCUGUCACACUCUGCAUUUUGUAAUAUGUCAUUUGCAUUAAUAAAUCAUGAAAAUUUGGACCAACAAAAACUUUUGCAUUAUUUGGCUUUUAUUUUGGAGUUGGUUUUCUCUGUGUGGUUUUUCAAGUGCUCUCUAAAGUCAACUACUCCACCUUAUGUACUUCAUCUCCCUGCCCAAACUUCUGCCCAAUGAUCAUGCCAUGUGUUAGUGCAAUGUAGUCUUUUCUUACAAAAAUAAUUUGGCCAAAUAGUAUUUUGAGAAAUUAGUUUUCCAAAAACCCCUGAAUUGAGGUUUGCACUACAAGUACUUGAUUCGGGGUAUGAAAACUAUUUCAGAGUAUAUUUGAAACCUAUUAGAUAUAGGACUCCCAUAAACCACAAAAAUAUACUUUUAAAAGUAAUUUCCCUAUUUUAUUGAAAGGCUUUUUCUUUAGGACGGAAAUGGUCUUUAAAAGGUUAAAAUUAUUUAAAAGCUUCAAAAAUAUUUGAGAAAAAUCAGGGAAACGCAGUGGACAUAUAUUUUCCAUAUAUAAGAGUUUCAACACAUGGUCAUGUUCAAACUAUUGGACAAAACCUCCCAAAACCAUUUCUGCCCAUUUCAAGGAUUUGAAAUAUUUCUAAAGGAAAUAUUUUCAUAAAAAUCCAAGGAAAAUCUAGAAAGUCACGAAUGCAUAUUGUGAUCACCUUGCAAAGCCUCAUCUCAAUUAAGGUCAUUUUGGUUCACCAAAAUGACCCAAAACCCUCUCUGACCAGAAUCAAAUUUGAACAACUUUGUACUACCAACUUUCUCUCUUUGACCCCAACUUUUGUGAGCAUGUUCACAUGACCAAAUGAGGCCACCGCACCAAGUGGUGCAUCAAGGGGAAGUGAUUUGCUCAACUAGAUCUACACAAGUUCAUUUCUGCUAAUUUCUAGGGUUUACAAAAGUUGCAUUGGCAACUUUUUCCAAAUGAGCUCAAAAUUGGUGGAAGGCCCUAAUUAUAUGUGCCAUUUCACCCUAUGGAGUCUGAGGACAAAUGGAGAGCAUCUACUUGGCCAAACCAAUAUCAAACACCUUCUGCCACUUUACGAAAAUGCCAUUUUGACCUCUUCCACUAAUCUCCAUGGGCUCAACUUUGUACCACAGCUGCUCCUGACCCUCUUCUACCUCCAGUAACUUUCCCCUGGUCAUUGCACAAUGAUUGAGGGGUGAAACACCCCCAUUUACCUCCUUGGACAGCAGCUUUUCUCUCUCCCUCAACCUCCCUCCUUACUCCAGUGGCCACCCAGGGCAUCCAAAGCCCCUCCCCCUUUCUUUACUACACCCUAGAGCCACUAGAUAUAUUUGGCCGCUCCCACCUGGCCUAAAAUAAUUGCCGUGCCAGCCGUUUGCACACUGUGGAGCGUGCUACAGUGUGCUCUGGCACUGAAGCCGCCCACGGCAGAGCGCUUCCGGCCACCUCGGCUCUCCCUCUCACGCCCGACGAUGCUCCUCGUCGUCUGCGUCACGCCACAGCCUGGUCCCCCUACUCCUUCUCCCUCCUCUCGCCCUAGCUCGCACGCGCGACGACCGCUCGAGCGCACCAGUGAGCGUGCUCACACGCGCGGCGCCUCUGACCCCCUGCUCCCUCUCUCUUCACUCCUCUAGUCCUAAACCAACCCCACGAGCACCCUAGACACCUCUUUGCGAGCCCCCGUGACCCGUAGCAACCGCAACAGGCUCGCCGGCGCACGGGUGCUUGGUGGACCGUCGCCCGCCUAUUUAAGGGCCUCCCCGAGCCCCCCUCUUGUCACCACUUGCUCUCUCACUCCCAUAAUCAUCCCCCUACACCCCCAGUUCCUUUCCAGAGCCGCCCGAGCUCGAACUCCGCCCCUUCAGCUCGCCGGAGUUCAUGAGGUACAGGCCGUCCCCGCCUCUCCUUCCUCUCAAUCUGGAACCCCUACAGCUCGAUGAUCCAUUCCCCCUUAUUUCCCCUCUCUGUAGUUGCCGGAAUGGCUGGAACUGCCGCCGCCCGAAGCCCUCCGCCGCAUGACCUCGUCGCCGGUGAACCAGGCCACCCCGACGACUGGUUCCACCUCCACCCGAACGGCGACAUCACGCUGAGUCCGUCCCUGCCAUUGCCCAACCUCGUCGUGCCCUGCAUCGUCGCCAGUAAGCCUCGCCGCCGUCAGACGAGGGUUAACAACGACCCUGACAAGGGGCCCCGCUCGUCAGCCUCGCUAUCCUCUCCCUCUCCCGCGCCCUCUCUCACUGACGCCGGCCCCCGCCCUUUAGGUUUAAAAACCUGGCGCGCGCGCACAUCGGCUCGGCUGGGCCGCCUCGCCGGCUGGGCCACUGCCCUAUGGCCGUUUUGGCCCAACAAGCAUAGUGCCCCUUUUCCCUUUUUCUUUAUGGUAAAUUCCCAAAAAAUCCACAGAGAUGAAUAUUUGUCCAAAUAAAUUAAUUCCAACUCCUAAAUUCCUGAAAUAUUACAACCUAUUUAAUGGUGCAACUUCCAUUCAAAUCCAACAACCUUUUCUUCAAUGUAAAUAUUUAAAUGUGAUUUUAAGCAUUUAAAUAUACCUCUGUAAAUCCUUAGCACCUUUUCCACAACUCCAAACUUGAAACUAAGAAUUUUCCCCUUCUUAUUUUCACCCUAGUAUUUAACAAAAAUGAGUUGAAAUUUUUCUGAGCACUUUGGUUUCUGUUUUAUUAUUGCCUUAUUUUUCUCGUUAUUAUUUUGCGACGAUAGAUUGCAUUGUUGACGAAGGAGUUCGACCAGAAGACUUUGAAGACCCAGAAGACUUUGCUGAGCCAGGCAAGCAGCCCUUUGACCAUGUCUAAGAAACCCUUUUUGUGCAUGUCAUAUGGCACUUUUAUUGCUUGCAUCGAAGUCAUAAUAAUGUGGUGACUACUUGAGGUGGUUUGCCUCCGUUGCUUUUCUCGUUGAAACUUGCAUGAUGCAUGACCCUACCUUUCUAUGAGGGUUAUGCGAGUGGGUGUAGUUAGGAUGCUAAGUAGCUCCUACGCAAAUGGGAUGGGUAUAUGCAUGGUGAAGGAAACCAAGUUGUUUUCAAAGACUUUCAAAAACCCCGUCGGGUGCCACUAAUGCCCGAGGGAGAUGGUGAGCUAGGUUACCACUUGAUAAAGAACUGGUGUACCAGAGCAAGUUGUGUGGGAGUGAUUUCGAAAAUGGAUUAGAUUUAAGAUUUGUCGGUUGUCCCAACUUUACAUGCGCAACUACUAUACCCUUAUAUGGGAAAGGCCAUAUUGAUUACCUAGGCCAAUACUAGCUUGGAGCCCGCAUUUCUAGUGACGGGAGAGUCGUUGUUGUGCUAUCUCAGGACGGGGUCAUGCCAAGUAGGGCGGCCGUGACUGCUUUUACAGGGCACCGGACACACCGUUGGUACCCCGUGCCAGUGGUAUGUGAUAAUAUGGGAGCGAGGCUCCACAAUUUUAAGAUGUGAAAUAUUGGGCGCGUGGGUUACUACCAAUGGAGUGGACUCUAUGUUAGUGUCGACUAGGGAAAGAUAGUGAUCGGGUGCUUACCCCGGGUACUUGAGGUACCGCGGGUCGUGGAUGACACAGAAGUUCCCUGGACCUUGUGGGUAAAGUGUGCAACCUUUGUAGAGUGUAAAACUAUUUGAAUAGCCAUGUCCACGGUCAAGGACAGUUGGGUGGUGCUGCUUAAACUAUGUCUAUAGUUUUACAAACCGCGUGUGUGUGUUGAUGAAACUAAUUGGGUUAAGUCAGAUGACUUGACGCAAUGAUCAAGUUGGAUUGGUGUCCAACUCUGUUCAUGUUGAUAUUUGUAACUUGUUCAUACGGAUAUCUGUACUCUCAUGAUGCAUACUUUACAGGUUGAUAGAUCAUGUCAUUGCACUCAAAACUAGGUUUCUGCAAACUACCUACUUAGUGCUAUAUCAUUGCAUUAUUGUGCCCUAAUCCAAUCAUGGGUUGCUUGUGAGUACAUUCAAAGUACUCAUUGGCUUGCCAGUAGUUAUUUAAUUGGCCUGGCAUGGAAGAAUAGGAGUUCGAAGAAGAGUUCUUUGGAGACGAACAUGCGAACUAGGACGUUUCCCAGUCAGAAUGCAUGUAGGGUUAAGGAAGAUGGCAUGGGUUCUACUUAUCGAUGAAGAUUUCCGCUGCUUAAGUUUAUUUGGUAUUCAGCCCUUGUGGCUUUACCUAUGUAAGACUUGACCAUAAUGGUCAUAAUUUGUGUAAGACGGUAUGUAUGGAUGUAAGACUCUUGUUAUUUAGCUUAUGUGUGUUCAGUGAGCAUUGAUCUCUGGGAUCACCGUACACGUGCAUUCGGUGAUCACGACUCAUGAGUUGGGGUCCCCACAAUACGUGUUCUUGGCCUGCGCGUCAUACGCAUGGAUUGUGUCCGCACUAGAGGGUGCGCACGAGGAGAUGAGAUGAUAUCAGUUUGGCACAGUAUAAUCCUCAGUUCAGACUUCGAGCUCCAGCUCGACUGGAAAAUGGGACGCAAGAAAUGCCCUCAUUAGCAGCCCGGCACGGCGGUGGUUUCCUUGCCUAAGGAAAUCAGGCGUGGGGUACGGUGUUCCAUUUACGUAUUCAUAUUUCAGUGUAAUUAGCAUCCAUGUUCUUAAUUCUUAUUUCUCCAUUUACAAAUAGUUUUAGGGAAUAACUAAAUACUACUGAUUUUGAAACAAAUAAAAUUAUUUAAACUAAGACCAAGUGUAGCUUGAUUCUCCUUUUAGUUUCUAACAGAGCAAGGAAUUAGUUUUGUAUGUAAAAGCAGAAUAAUCAGACUUGUAGAACCAUACACAACAUAGAAAUAAUAACCAUACAUUUAUAACCUGGGGAAAAUAACCAUUCAUUUAGUUUUGUACUUCUAUCACUUUACUCGCUCACAAUUUAUUUUAGCCGUAAACAAGUUUUCUAGGUUUCUAACCGAGCUGACAUGGUGAUUCUUUAUAUAAUGCUUUCUACUUCUAAAGAAGGGGAUUUCUUAGGCCCUUUCAGUCGUUGUCGGGGAUAUACCCUACACCCGGCCAGACUUGGCGACUCACUAAUGACCCGCCCUGACUUGGCGACUCACGAAGUGACCCGCCCGGAUCUCUCGACUCAUUGAAGACCCGGCUAGGCCUAGUCACUUAUUGGUAACCUAGCAGUCGGGUCAGAGGAGCGACAAGACCCUUUGGCCCAGAAGGCAGCUCAAGGGAAGGCCGACUUAUGUUCUUGUGGGCCGACUUAAGAUGAAAGCAUAAGGAAUAUUCUCCUACAAAGGAAGCAAGACUAGGAGUCCACUUGCAAUAGAGUAAUCCUAAUCCUACUAGGACUAGUCAUGUAACCCACCCCUUCAACUUAUAUAAGGAGGGGCAGGGCACCCCAAGAGGGAUAGGUUUUCACAAGUUAGGGUUAGACAGACAAGUCUAUAGCUCUUGAGAUAGAGCACCCUUGUAACCGUGAUCAUCAUCAUCAAUAUCAAUGAAGAAGGAUGUAGGCUUUUACCUCCACUGUGAGGGGCCGGACCUAGGUAAAACCUCGCGUCUCUCGAUUUCGACAAACUCCUUCAAGCUACUACAUAGAUGCGUUGGCCUUACGACUAAGUCCGGACACUAAGGACAUCUGUCUUGACAAUUUCAUGACAGUUGGCGCCCACCGUGGGGCCUGCGCACGGUGGUGCUGAGUUCUUGGAUGGAUUUCUCUCACGGAUUGAGAAGUUUGCAAUUUUUCCAAUGAAGAAGAGCUAGUUUGAAAGGAUCUACCUCAUAAGUUAGGGUUUCGUCGUAAGCGCCGCCGCACACGUUUGUGGUGAUCCAUCCAAGGAUGAAUCGAUAUCUGCUACGGCCGAGACUGUCGUUUUCUCCAGAAACCUAUUUCGCCAGUGCUGGUACACUGAGGCAUGAGCCACAAGUUGUUCUUCGACGAGAUCAAGACCAAAUUAUUUCCGACCAUGUACAUCUACCUGGAAAUCUGCUUGCUGUCAAUUCCGAGGUUGGAGGACCGGCGAGUGUCCGCUGCGGCAUAAAAAAGGAAAAAAAGGGGGAAGACCAUGACCCGCAAAAGGACGUGGACAUGGGUACGGUUUCGGCCCUAUCUAGAGUCGCCCACGCCUCUCCCUCCUACGGCAGCUCGGCCACAAGCCGGCCUCGCCGGCCGCCGCUGUUCGCCUUCGACACCUCCGUCUCCGCCGCCUUAGCAGUAGCGGGCUGAGCCGCCGCCUGCCACGACUCGCCUGUACUGCCGCCUCGCUCUCCAUGGCCCUGCCUGCGCUCCGCCGCGGCCGGCUCCGCGUCGCUGCUGCUCCGGGCCAGGUUCCGCCUCGCGCGCCCUGCACUACAUCAUGCUUCAUCACGCCCGCAUCGUUUCAGCCGAUUUGGCGCGUUCUGCUCCGCUUGCUGGCCUCCCCAUCGCCAUCGGGUCGGCGUGUACCCCAGCACUGCCCACUAGCUCGCACGCACGCCCUCUUCGCUAGCGCCGCCGCUGGAGAACCUCCCUACGCUGUGAGCCGCCAAGGCUCCUAUUUCAAGCUGGGCCGCCAGGUCACCGCCGACAUCGUGCUUUUGCCUCUACCUCGUGAGCCGUAGCCUCCAUCGCCGGCUGUUUUUGUCGCUGUGCCUGCGAGCUCCCCCUCUCUAUGUGCUUAAAAUCUUGAAGUUUUGCUUGUUUUACCUUCCUAUGCUAGUUGAUUCUUGUUCCCAUAAGUUCUUUGCUCACAAAAUCCCUAGGCAUAGGAAGUGGGUUAGGUUUAAAUGUGCUAGUCAUAUUCUCCAUGAUGCUCUCUUUAUGUUUCAAUUCUUAUCUUUUAUGUGAGCAUCAUUGAAAUCAUCAUGCCUAGCUAAAAGGCAUUAAAGAAAAGCGCUUGUUGGGAGACAACCCAAAAUUUACCCUUACUGUUUUUGUGUGUUCACAUGAUUAAGUUACUGUAGUAAUCAUGUAGUAUAGAUUUUUUUUUCAAUAAAGUGUCAAGUAAGACCUUUGGGAAGACUUGGGUGAAAGUUAAUGUGAUCUUGCUGUAAUAAACAGAAACUUUGCGCUCACGAGAUUAGCUGUCAUUAUUUACAGAAGAGUGAGUUUGAGUUGCUUCUUUUUUCAGAAGAUUAAUAGACAAAUUCCUCACGUCCACCAAUUUAUUUCAUAAUUUGUGGAGUAGCAGAAGUAUGGUUGCUGUUCAGAUCAUUACAGACUGUUCUGUUUCUGACAGAUUCUGUUUUCAUUGCAUAGUUUGCUUGUUUUCUAGUUUCUAUGGCUUAUAUUUCUCAAUAUAAAUUGUAGAAAUGAUAUGGUACAGUAGGCAUUGUGUGAGAACAAUUAUGAACCUUGUCUUUGACAUUACCAAGGUGCAUGGUUUACUCUUUAUCAUACUAACCUAUCUCAUGAAGUUCCGUUAAGUUUUGUGUGAUUGAAUUUUUCAAGCUUUGGGUGAGAUGUUGAUAUGAGGAGAAUAAGGAGUGGAAAGACUCUAAGCUUGGGAAUGCCCAAGGUAAUAUUCAAGGAAUACUCAAGCUCCUAAGCUUGGGGAUGCCCCAGAAGGCAUCCCCCCUUUCGUCUUCAAAACUAUCGGUAUACCUUACUCGGAGCUAUAUGUUUAUUCGUCACAUGAUAUGUGUUUUGCUUGGAGCGUAUUUUCAAUUUUACUUACUGUUUGAAUAAAAUCAUUGGAUCUGAAAUCUUGAAUGAAAAAGAAUCCUCCAAUUGCUAGUUAAUUAUUUGACUACUCAAUGUUCUUCACUUAUAUAUUUUUGGAGUAGUUUGUUGUUUACUCACGUGCUUCACAUAUAUCCUAUGAGUAAAUGGUUGAAUGAAUUGAAUAUCAUAAAUCUUAAUUUAAAUAUGUUUCAUAUGCUUAUACCAUGGGGAGUAAUUACUUCACACAUAAUAAGUAUAAGUGGUAAAUUUAUUGAAAGUUAGCAAACGCAGAAUUGGUCACUUGAACAAUUCAUGAAAGAAUAUUAAAGGAAGAGAGAUUUCACAUAUAAAUAUACUAUCUUGGACAUCUUUUGUAAUUGUGAGCACUCAUUAAAAUAUGACAUGCUAAAAGGUUGAUGUGGGACAAGGAAGACAACUUAAUGGGUUAUGUUUUCCUAUAUCUGAAAUGCUAUAUUUUCUUGGAUCAUCCAACAUGUUGAGCUUGCCUUUCCUCCUCAUGCUAGCCAAAUUCUUUGCACCAAGUAGAGAUACUACUUGUGCUUCUAAAUAUCCUUAAACCCAAUUUUGCCAUGAGAGUCCACAAUAUCUACCUAUGGAUUGAGUAAGAUCCUUCAAGUAAGUUGUUAUUGCUGCAAGGAAUAAAAAUUGCUCUCUAAAUAUGUAUGAUAUAUUAGUGUGGAGAAAAUAAGCUUUAUAUGAGCUUGUGAUAUGGAAGAAAUAAAAGCGACAGACUGCAUAAUAAAUGUCCCUAUCACAAGUGGCAAUAUAAGGUGACGUUCUUUUGCAUUAAGAUUUUGUGCAUACAACGAUAAAAGCGCAUGACAACCUCUGCUUCCCUCUGCGAUGGGUCUAUCUUUUACUUUUACCUUCUACCCUUAUACAAGAGUCAUGGUGAUUUUCACCUUUCCUUUUUUAGACUUUUUCCUUUGGCAAGCACUUUGUGUUGGAGCGAUCCGGAUAUAUAUAUCCACUUGGAUGUAGGUUUUCAUAAAGUAUUAUUGUUGACAUUACCCUUGAGGUAAAAGGUUAGGAGGCGAAACUAUAAGCCCCUAUCUUUCUCUGUGCCUGAUUAAAACUUUGAACCCAUAAAUAUCACGUGAGUGUUAGCAAUUCUGAAAGAUUAAAUGAAAGUUGAGUAUGUGGAUGAUAACCCACAAGUAUAGGGGAUCGCAACAGUUUUCAAGGGUGGAGUAUUGAACCCAAAUUUAUUGAUUCGACACAAGGGGAGCCAAAGAAUAUUCUUAAGUAUUAACCGUUGAGCUGCCAAUUCAACCGGACCUGGAAGACUUAAUAUCUGCAGCAAAGUAUUUAGUAGCAAAGUAAUAUGAUAUUAGUGGUAACACUAGGAAAAGUAACAGUACAGUUUUGUAGUGAUUGUAACAGUGGCAACAGAAAAUUAACUAAGCAAAGAACAAAAUGUGAAAAGCUCGUAGGCAUUGGAUUAGUGAUGGAUAAUUAUGUCGGAUGCGAUUCCUCAUGCAACAGUUAUAACAUAGGGUGACACAGAACUAGCUCCUGUUCAUCAAUGUAAUGUAGGCAUGUAUUCCAAAUAUAGUCAUAUGUGCUUAUGGAAAAGAACUUGCAUGACAUAUUUUGUCCUACCCUCCCGUGGCAGCGGGGUACUAUUGGAAACUAAGGGAUAUUAAGGUGUAACAUCCCAAAUUUUCAAUUUGGAAUGUUAUACAUCAGAUCAUCAUGCAUAUCAUAUUUUAUUUUGCUUUUGGUUUUGAUCCUAGAAAAUCCUAAGAAACUCAAGGACCCACGGAGAGAGUUGGGGAUUUCGUUAUUUACAUAUUUGAGUUUUCUCAAAUUGUGUAAACAGGAUCAUUUGAUUUUAUUUAUUUUAUCAUCAAUUAUUUCUAUUACAAAAAUAUGAGAGAGGGAAUAAAAUGACUUUCCCAAAAUAUAGAGAUAUUGAGGAUUUAAUAAAAAAAUCAAAUAAGUUUUAUUUCGGAGUUUUUCGGUAUUUUAUUUAUGCGCGUUUUUCAAAAUUUAGUUUAGGGCCCAAAUAAAUGUUCACUUUAUCGGGCUUGAUUUUAGAAGCCCGGGAAAAUUUAUUUCGUGAUUUUUGGAGUCCGUUUAGUAGUUCUUUUUAUUUUUCUUCCGAGCGGAAUUAUUAAAAAAAACAGCGGAACCGACUAUGGGCCGUACUCGGCCAGGACACCGCUGGCCGGGGCCUUUAUAAGCCGGGGCAAGCUAGCCCAAAGGCCAGCCGCCCCGAAACCCUAACCCUAGCCGAGCCCUGCCCCGCCGCCGCCGCCGCUGCCGCCGGCCGCCGACGCCGCCCCACCGCCGAUCCGCCGAAGCCGCGCGCCGCCCAAGGUUCGCCGCCCUCGAAAUCCGUGCUGUUAUAAAAAAAUUCCGUUCGUCGUUUUUCUUUUCCGUCGGAUUUUUCCGCGGUUAUUUUCUGAUCGCGAUAUCUGAUCCGAUUUUCGUUUUAGUAUAACUUUUCGCUCGUUUAUCGGAAUCAGGCGAUUCAAGCGCCUGGAGUUUCGUCUCGAAACCCUCUUUCCGAAUAAUCAACUUAAACAAGUUUUUGCUACUGUAAAAUUUGACUUAGAUCCAGAUUACUAGAACGAAGUUGUUUUCUUUCGCCGUUUGAUUUCUUUUGCUUCGUUCGAUUUGAUUCUUUUUGCAAACCAGGGUUCUUAAGUUGAACUUUCUGGUUAGAUCUUCUAUGUGAGUUUUACCCGUGCAUUAGAUGAGUACUUAUUGUAUGCUUGUUUGUUUGUCUGCGAUAGAAUACCCGGAGUGUGCUGCCUGUUACUUUGAAUCUCUAGGUUUCGCGGAUCAUCAGCAAGGCAAGUAACACUUUGAUCAUACCUUUUUCUACAACCUAGUUUUAUUGCAUUAGAUCAAUCCUCACACAUUGCAUGAUUAGGAUCUAAUUUAAUUGUGGGAUGGGGAGUAGAUGAGGUAGUACCCAUUACCUGUUUAUUUAUGAAACCUUUGGGAGUUACUUCUACGUUUGCUUAUUAUGCCAUGCUAUGCUAGUAGACGUGGAUUGGGUGAGUGAUAUCCAUGACAGAUGUGAGAUUGAUAAUUAAUGGUUUAUCUAAGGUGGCAACUUAAACACACAUCUGGGUGGAUUGAGGCACCUGGUUUCCAGGACUUGCCUGUUUUUCUUUUGGACCGCCACCCAGGCUCAAAGGGAUCAUGAGAUUAUUCAUACUAGAAACUUCCGUGUGUAGCCACAAGCCAUUAUGGGCUCUGGCAUAGUUGAUUAAGUUGUGCGAACUCUUACAGUGGUAGACUAGCAGAUGUAGGGGAUGUAGGUGGUACGGUCUACCCGAUCGUAAGGUGCUAGCGCUUCUGAAAGACUAUGUCUCGGUCAUCCGUUUCUCAAACACCAUGUAGUGCGAGAAAACAAACGGAGGCGAUCGAGUCUUGUGGGGAAAAGUGCGCAAACCUCUGCAGACUGUAAUAAACUAAUCAUGGUUAGCCGUGUCCCCGGUUAUGGACAUCUUGAGUAUCUAGUACCUGAAUUUUCAUGUGAAUCUCAACAUGUUACUCUAAAGUUAAUUUUUGUUGGGUUAAUGAUGCUUAAUUGGGAUUGAGAAUGCUGUCAACCAUUCUCAAUGUUUAAUAACCACCAUGAUAGUAAUUAAAUUUAUUCCUUUGAAGUAGGGAAAAAUUGGCUUUAUGCAAAAACUGUAACCAUAGAGCUUUCCACCAGCCAAAUAUGCAUAUAGUAUAGCUGUUGCAUUCCAUUACUCUCUAUGUGUUACCUUGCCAGCAUAGUCCAUGUGCUGACCCGUUUUCGGGCUGCAACGUUAAUGUUGCAGACUUUUCAGACGACGAUUAAGGAGUUUCAGGUCGUGGUUCUAUACUCAGUGAUGCCGUUGGAGUUGAUGGACUCACCUAUGUUCCAAGCCUUCCGCUAUUAUCGUUAUUAGAUGGCCUUAAGCCAUAUUUAUUGUAAUAAGUUCUCUUUUGAGACAUUUGAUGUAAUAAGUGUGUGAUUGCUACUCUACUAUAAAUCCUUCGAGUACUGUGUGGUGUCAGCUUUACUGAUCCAGGGAUGACACCGGAGCACAGAGAUCACACUGUUUGAGGUCUGGUCGCUACAUAAGGCCUCCUUUUAAUAGAGUACCGGACCAAAGCAUUAACACUUAGUGAAUACAUGAACUCCUCAAACUACGGUCAUCACCGGUAAGUAUCCGAUUAUUGUCACUUCGGGGUUAACGGAUUAUAACACAUAAUAGGUGACUAUAGACUUGCAAGAUAGGAUCAAGAACACACAUACAUUCAUGAAAACAUAAUAGGUUCAGAUCUGAAAUCAUGGCACUCGGGCCCUAGUGACAAGCAUUAAGCAUAGAAAGUCAUAGCAACAUCAAUCUCAGAACAUAAUAGAUACUAGGGAUCAAACCCUAACAAAACUAACUCGAUUACAUGAUAAAUCUCAUCCAACCCAUCACCGACCAGCAAGCCUAUGAUGGAAUUACUCACACACGGCGGUGAGCAUCAUGAAAUUGGUGAUGGAGGAAGGGUGAUGAUGACGAUGGCGACGGAUUCCCCUCCCCGGAGCCCCGAACGGACUCCAGAACAGCCCUCCCGGGAGAGAUUAGGGCUUGGCGGCGGCCCCGUAUCGUAAAACGCGAUGAAUCCUUCUCUCUGAUUUCUUUCUCCCCGAACGUGAAUAUAUAGAGUUGGAGUUGAGGUCGGUGGAGCACCAGAGGCCCCACGAGGCAGGGGCGCGCCCCCACCCUCGUGGACAGGGUGUGGGCCCCAUGGCCUUGAUUCUUUCGCCAGUAUUUUUUAUAUAUUCCAAAAAUAUUCUCCGUUGGUUUUCAGGUCAUUCCGAGAAAUUUUAUUUCUGCACAAAAAUGACACCAUGGCAAUUCUGCUGAAAACAGCGUCAUUCCGGGUUAGUUCCAUUCAAAUAAUGCAAGUUAGAGUCCAAAACAAGGGCAAAAGUGUUUGGAAAAGUAGAUACGAUGGAGACGUAUCAACUCCCCCAAGCUUAAACCUUUGCUUGUCCUCAAGCAAUUCAGUUGACAAACUGAAAGUGAUAAAGAAGAACUUUUACAAACUCUGUUUGGUCUUGUUGUAAAUAUGUAAAGACAUCAUUCAAGUUUUCAGCCAAGAUUGUGAACUAACCAUACUCACAAUCACAUUUAGGUCUCAUGUUUACUCAUAUCAAUGGCAUAAUCAACUAGCGAGCAAUAAUAGUAAAUCUCGGAUGACAACACUUUCUCAAAACAAUCAUAAUAUGAUAUAACAAGAUGGUAUCUCGCUAGCCCUUUCUGAGACUGCAAAACAUAAAUGCAGAGCACCUUUGAAGAUCAAGGGCUGACUGGAAAAUGUAAUUAAUGGUAAAAGAGAUCCAGUCACAGUCAUACUCAAUGUAAACUAAUAAUAAUACAUGCAAAUGACAGCGGUGCUCUCCAACUGGCGCUUUUUAAUAAGAGGAUGUUGACUCAACAUAAAAGUAAAUAGAUAGGCCCUUCUUGGAGGGAAGCAGGGAUUUGUAGAGGUGCCAGAGCUCGAUUUUGAAAUAGAGAUGAAUAAUAUUUUGAGCGGUAUAUUUUCAUUGUCAACAUAAAAACCGAGAGAUCUUGAUAUCUUCCAUGCUACACACAUUAUAGGCGGUUCCCAAACAGAAUGGUAAAGUUUAUACUCACCCCCCCACCAACAAGCAUCAAUCCAUGGCUUGCCUGAAACAACGGGUCCUCCAACUAACAACAAUCCUGGGGGAGUUUUGUUUGCAAUUAUUAUGAUUUGAUUUGACCAUGGGACUGGGCAUCCCGGUGACCAACCAUUUUCUUGUGAGUGAGGAGCGGAGUCCACUCCUCUUGAGAAUAACCCGCCUAGCAUGGAAGAUAUAGACAGCCCUAGUUGGUACAUGAGCUAUUGGAGCAUACAAAAUAGAAUUUCAUUUGAAGGUUUAGAGCUUGACACAUACGAAUUUACUUGGAAUGGCAGGUAGAUACCGCAUAUAGGAAGAUAUGGUGGACUCAUAUGGAAUAACUUUUGGGGUUUAUGGAGUUGGAUGCACAAGCGGUAUUCCCGCUUAGUAGAAGUGAAGGCUAGAAAGAGAUUGGGAAGCGACCAGCUAGAGAGCGACAACAGUCAUGAACAUGCAUUAGAAUUAAUCAACACUGAAUGCAAGCAUGAGUAGGAUAUAAUUCACCAUGAACAUAAAUAUCGUGGAGGCUAUGUUUAUUUUGUUUCAACUACAUGCGUGAACAUGUGCCAAGUCAAGCCAGUCGAAUCGUUCAAAGGAGGAUACCACCCUAUCAUACCACAUCACAACUAUUUUAAUAGCAUGUUGGCAUGCAAGGUAAACCAUUAUAAACUUCGAGCAAAUCAAGCAUGGCAUGAGCAACUAUAAUCUCUAAUUUUCAUUGCAAACAUGUUUAAUUCAUAAUAGGUUGAAUCAAGAAUGAUGAACUAAUCAUAUUUGAAAAAACAAGAGAGGUCGAGUUCAUACCAGCUUCUCUCAUCUCAAUCAAUUCAUCAUAUAUCGUCAUUAUUGCCUUUUACUUGCACAAUCGAAUAGUGUGGAUAAUAAUAAUAGUGCAUGUGCAUUGGACUAAGCUGGAAUCUGCAAGCAUUCAAUUUAAGGGAGAAGACAAGGUAAUAUGGGCUCUCUAUUAGAUCAACAAUAAUGCAUAAAAGAGCCUCUCAACAUUUUCAUUAUGGUCUUCUCCUCUCGACCCCCAAAGAAAAGAAAAGAAACAAAACUAUUUACAUGGGAAAGCUCCCAACAAGCAAAAGAAGAACAAGAAAACUUUUUGGGUUUUCUUUUUAAUUACUACUACUACAUGCAUGGAAAGUAAACUAGCUAAAAGCUACAACUAAUUUUUUUGGUUUUCUUAAGGUUUUUCAAACACACAAGAAGAAAGCUUAAAAAUAAAUUAAACUAGCAUGGAUGAUACAAUGAAAAAGUAUGAGCACCGACAACUGGCAUGAGUGUGUGAACAUGAAUGUAAUGUUGAUGAGAAAUACAUACUCCCCCAAGCUUAGGCUUUUGUCCUAAGUUGGUAUAUGCCAACAGAUCAAAACUUCCUUGUCGGGUGUACUGAGGAGGGUCCUCGGGGUGCCACUGGUUGGCGAUCUCCUCCGGAUCCCACUGAUAAACAGACUCACGGUGAGGAUCAAAUAGUGGCUCCGUCUCUGGAGCUGAUGUCAGGCUCUGGUAUGCCUGAACGGCCUCUGGCAGAACAACGUACGUGCCUGAAAAUAUGUUAAACAUAGAGGGAGCAGGCAAGGUAAUAGUCUCAAAGUAGUUCUUAUCAAAUAUCAGUCUAUAGUUAGGCAUCUUCUUCUUAUUCUUAACAAUAGAAUCAUGUGCUACCAUACUCUUAUAGUCUAGAAAAAUAGGAGGCAGCAACUUUUCCUCUUUCUCAUAAUGCCUAAUAGGUAUGUUAAAGUGUGCAGCAAGGCGCGAAGCAAAGAUGCCUCCAAAGAUGGGACCCUUUGUAUGGUUCGGAUUUAACUGCUUAGCAACAAUAGCGCCUAAACUAAAAGUGGUAUCACGAAACAAAGCAUGGCGGAAAAAAAAUUCUGGGGCACUAAGGUUUCCACAGUUCACGUGACCAAUUAAGAAUCUACAAGCAAAUAUUGCAAAGUAACGUAGAACAGGAAAAUGUAUGCUAGUAAUUCUUGCAUCAGAAACCUUCCUCGUCUCCCCUAUAGCGAUCAUAUCAAUAAACCCUUCCACAUCAUCACUAUGUGGUUCCUGUAUGCUGCCAUCGAAGGGCAACUUGCAAACCCCACAGAAGUUGUAAAGUGACAUCUCCUUAUACUCAUCAUACAAAUAAAAGUCCAUAGAAGGUGGCGACCUCCUAGCAUGGAAAUUAAAAUUUUGCACCAAAAUAUUAGUGAGUAGGAGAUACUGUUCGAGCUGGUCGUGGAGGAAGUUGGUGAGGCCUGCAUUCUCAGCCAAAUAAUAAAAAUAUUCAUCAAUCCCGGUUUCUCUCAAGAACUCAUCAAAAGGCCAUUCACACGGCCGAACCUCCGUAGUACGAGGGAGAUUAUACAUGGGCUUCUUAUUCUCUUCACUUUGCUUAUCCUUCGAGCUUCGGCUCAAUGAGACCCUCAACAAUCUCUUCAUCAUUUCUUGUGAAAAAUUUCUGAAAAUUUUUAGUAACUUGAAAUAAAAGUGAACCAAACUCAACAAGAUUGAUAGCAACUACUCCUACAAGUGCCUAGAGGCUAUAUCAUGCAUUAAAACUACUUUUGACCACAUAAAUUUGACAUGCAAGCUCAAGAACAGGGUCACCUAUGAAGCAAAAAUUUGCAAUAAAUAAAGCACUAGAACAAAAACUAAUUGGACCAUUGGAGGAGUCACAUACCGAAGAACAAUCCCCCAAAGUAGUUUUGUGAAUGGAGCUUUGAGCAAGGAGAUCGAAAAUGGCACCAAGAUGAGCUAAAACUCGGGUUUGAGAUGGUGGAUGAUUUUUUCUAGAGGAAGACGAAGUGUGUGGGUGCAAGAAUAAGUGGAGGGGACCCACAUGGGGUCCACGAGGCAGGGGGGCGCCCAGGGGGUAGGGCGCGCCCUCCACCCUCGUGGGCACAUGGUGGGUCCCCCUGGUGUGUUCUUAGUGCCAAUAAUUCUUAAAUAUUUUUGAAAAAAUCAUAUUAAAUUCUCAGGGCAUUUGGAGAACUUUUAUUUUUGGGGUAUUUUUUUAUUGCAAUGAUAAUUCAGAAGACAGCCAGAAAAUACUAUUUUGGUUUUAUUUAAACUAAAUAAUAGAAAGUAAAAGGAGGGUACAGAAGGUUGUGCUUUCUAACUUCAUCCAUCUCAUGCUCAUCAAAAGGAAUCCACUAACAAGGUUGAUCAUGUCUUGUUAACAAACUCAUUCCAAAUUGCAUGAAACCGGAGAAAUUUCGAAUAACACUAGGUUAGCUCAACUGGGAUAUGCACAUCCCCAAUAAUAAUAAUAUCAUAUUUCUUCUUGACAGUAGGAAGAGGAAAUUCAAAACCUCCAAUAAUAAUUGUUGAAAUUUUUCCAAUAGAAUUGAUACUAUGGACUUGAGGUUGUUUCCUUGGAACAUAUGCUCAUUACCAUUAACAUGAAAAGUGACAUUGCCUUUGUUGCAAUCAAUAACAUCCCCUGUAGUAUUCAAAAAGGGUCUACCAAGGAUAAUGGACAUACUAUCAUCCUCGGGAAUAUCAAGAAUAACAAAUUACAUUAAAACGGUAACGUUUGCAACCACAACAGGCACAUCCUCACAAAUACCGACAGGUAUAGCAGUUGAUUUAUCAGCCAUUUGCAAAGAUAUUUCAGUAGGUGUCAACUUAUUCAAAUCAAGUCUACGAUAUAAAGAGAAAGGAAUAACACUAACACCGGCUCCAAGAUCACAUAAAGCAGUGUUAACAUAGUUUCUCUUAAUGGAGCAUGGUAUAGUUGGUACUCCUGGAUCUCCAAGUUUCUUCGGUAUUCCACCCUUAAAAGUAUAAUUAGCAAGCAUGGUGGAAAUUUCAGCUUCUGAUAUCUUUCUUUUAUUAGUAACAAUAUCUUUCAUGUACUUAGCAUAAGGGUUCAUUUUAAGCAUAUCAGUCAAACGCAUACGCAAAAAGAUAGGUCUAAUCAUUUCAGCAAAGUGCUCAAAAUCCUCCUCAUCCUUUUUCUUGGAUGGUUAAGGAGGAAAAGGCAUGGGUUUUUGAACCCAUGGUUCCCUUUCUUUACCAUUCUUCCUAGCAACAAAGUCUCUCUUAUCAUAACAUUGAUUCUUUGAUUGUGGGUUAUCAAGAUCAACAGCUAGUUCAAUAUCUACAUCAUUAUAAUUGCUAGGUUGAGCAUCAACAUGAACAUCAUUAUUAACAUUAUCACUAGGUUCAUGUUCAUUGCCAGAUUGUGUUUCAGCACCAGAAAUAGAAAUAUCAUUGGGAUUCUCAGGUGUGUCUACAACAGGUUUAGUAGAAGCAUGCAAAGUCCUAUCAUUUUUCUUUUUCUUCUUCUUAGAAGAACUUGGUGCAUCAACAUUAGUUCUCUAGGAAUCUUGCUCAAUUCUCUUAGGGUGGCCCUCAGGAUACAAAGGUUACUGAGUCAUUUUACCCCCUCUAGUCAUAACUCUAACAACAUUAUCAUUUUUUUAUUAUUUAAUUCAUUGAGCAAAUCAUUCUAAGCCUUAAGUACUUGUUCUACUUGAGUGGUAACCAUAGAAGCAUGUUUACUAAUAAGUUUAAGUUCACCUUUAAUGCUAGACAUAUAAUCACUCAAGUGUUCGAUCAUAUAAGCAUUGCGUUUCAAUUUUCUACCAAAUAAGCAUUGAAGUUUUCUUGUUUAACAAUAAAAUUAUCGAACUCAUCUAAGCAUUGGCUAGCAGACUUAUAACAAGGAAUAUCACCUUCAUCAAAUCUAUAGAGAGAAUUCACCUUUAGUACCUGUGUCGGGUUAUCAAGACCACGUAUUUCUUCAAUAGGUGGUAAAUUCUUAACAUCUUCAGCUUUAAUACCCUUUUAUUUCAUAGAUUUCUUUGCCUCUUGCAUAUCUUCAGGACUAAGAAAUAGAAUACCCCUUUUCUUCAGAGUUGUCUUAGGAGUUGGUUCAGGAAGUGUCCAAUCAUUUUCAUUACUCAACAUAUUAUUCAAUAGCAAUUCAGAUUGAUCAACAGUUCUUUUCCCUGAAAACACAACCAGCACAACUAUCCAGGUGGUCUCUGGAAGCAUCGGUUAGUCCGUUAUAAAAGAUAUCAAGUAUUUCAUUUUUCUUGAGAGGAUGAUCAGGCAAAGCAUUAAGUAAUUGGAGAAGCAUCCCCCAAGAUUGUGGGAGACUCUCUUCUUCGAUUUGCACAAAAUUAUAUAUUUCCCUUAAGGCAGCUUGUUUCUUAUGAGAGGGGAAAUAUUUACCAGAGAAGUAAUAAAUCAUAUCCCGGGGACUACACACACAACCAGGAUCAAGAGAAUUAAACCAUGUUUUAGCAUCACCCUUUAAUGAGAAUGGAAAUAACUUAAGAAUAAAGUAAUAACGAGUUUUCUCAUCAUUAGUGAACUGGGUGGCUAUAUCAUUUAAUUUAGUAAGAUGUGCCACAACACUUUCAGAUUCAUAGCCAUAAAAAGGAUCAGAUUCAACCAAAGUAAUUAACUCAGGAUUGACAGAGAAAUCAUAAUCCUUAUCAGAGAUACAGAUAGGUGAAGUAGCAAAAGUAGGGUCAUAUUUCAUUCUAGCAUUCAAAGAUUUUUCAUUAAGCUUAGCUAAUAAUUUCUUAAGAUCAUAUCUAUCAUUGCAAGCUAAGAAGUCUCUAGCAGUUUCUUCAUCCAUAACAUAGCCCUCGGGCACAACAGGCAAUUCAUAUCUAGGGGGAGAAUCUUCAUCAUCACUUUCAUCAAUAUUAUCAGUUUCAAUAAUUUUAUUCUCUCUAGCCCUAGCAAGUUGCUCAUUAAGAAAUUCACCUAGUGGCAUAGUAUUAUCAAGCAUAGAAGUAGUUUCAUCAUAAGCAUCAUGGAAAGCAGAAGUGGCAUCAUCAAUAACAUGCAACAUAUCAGAAUGAAUAGUAGGAGUAGGUGUCGCAAGUUUACUCAAAACAGAACGUGAAUCAAGUGCAGAGCUAGAUGGCAGUUCCUUAUCUCCCCUCGUAGUUGAGGGAAAAAUCUUGGUUCUUUUAUCUUUCAAGUUAUUCAUAGUGAUCAGCAGAUAGCAGACUAAGGCAUAGCCUAGUGGUGGGAAGGGGCUGAUGCCUUCCCACCCACCCAGGUUCAAGGCAUGGUACUUGCAAUUUGGGUUUGUUGCACCAAUUAUACUGUAAGGGGUUCCCUUACAGUCUUUCUGUCAAAAAAAAAUAGUGAUCAGCAAAUAUAAAUACCAAGUGACUCAAAGAAUAGAGCUAUGCUCCCCGGGAACGGCGCCAUAAAAUAGUCUUGAUAACCCACAAGUAUAGGGGGUCGCAACAGUUUUUGAGGGUAGAGUAUUCAACCCAAAUUUAUUGAUUCGACACAAGGGGAUCCAAAGAAUAUUCUCAAGUAUUAACAGUUGAGUUAUCAAUUCUACCGCAGUUGGAAGACUUAAUAUCUGCAACAAAGUAUUCAGUAGCAAAGUAAUAUGAUAGUAGUGGUAACUGUAGCGACCCGACCCGAAUGGAUCAAGUCUCUGUGCUUAAGUGUCAUCCCUGGAUCGGUAUGCUGACACACACAGUACUCGAGGAUUUAUAACAGAGGUAAAUCACAUGUAUAAGUAACGUAAAUACUAUUACCUCAAUCCAAAAAGCGGAAGUAACAAGGUUGUGGAUUCCCAUCAACACCAACGGCAAAGUUGAGUGUAGAAAUCGUAACCCUAACGUAUCACUUACUCGUCGUAAGAUAAUCCUGCAACAUGAGACGUUGCAGCCACAAAGGGUCACAUUGAAUGUACUGGCAAAUUCACACCAUAGAGAGAGAUGAUGAACAAUGGCUAUCACUACAUGCAUAUAUGGCUGGUGGAAAAGCUCUAUGGUUGUAAGGUUUUUGCGAAAAGCCAAUUUGUCCCUACUUUAAAGGAAUAAAUUUUAUUUAACUAUCAUGGUGGUUGUUGAACAUUGAGAAUGGUUGACAGCAUUCUCAAUCCCAAUUAAAUAACAUCAUUAAACCCAACAAACUUAAUUUAAAGUAACAUGAUGAGAUUCACAUGAUAAUCCAAGUACUAGAUACUCAAGAUGUCCAUAACCGGGGACAUGGCUAACCAUGAUUAGUUUAUACACUCUGCAGAGGUUUGAGCACUUUUCCCCACAAGACUCGAUCGCCUCCGUUGGCUUUCUCGCACUACCUGGUUUUUGAGAAACGGAUGACCGAGACAUAGUCUUUCAGAAGCGCUAGCACCUUACGAUGGAUAGACCGUUACACCUACUUUCCCCUACAUCUGCUAGUCUACCCUGUAAGAGUUUGCACGACUUAGUCAACUAUGCUAGAGCCCAUAAUAGCUUGUGGCUGCACACGGAAGUUUCUAGUAUGAAUAAUCUCAUGAUCCCUUUGAGCCUGGGUGGCAGUCCAUAAAAAAACAGGCAAUCCUGGUCUACCCAGGUGCCUAGACAGGCAAUCCUAGAAUAAUCAGGUGCCUCGAUCCACCCAGAUGUGUGUUUAAGUUGCCACCUUAAGUAAACCAUUAAUUAACAAUCUCACAUCUGUCAUGAAUACUCUCAAAACCCAAUCCACGUCUACGUGCAUAGCAUGGCACUAUAAGCAUAACGUAAUAGUAACUCCCAAGGGUUUGAUAAUAAGCAGGUAAUAGGUACUACCUCAACUACUUCCCAUCCCACAAUUUAAUUAGAUCCUAAUCAUGCAAUUUUGGAGGUUUGAUCUAAUGCAAUAAAAACUGGGUAUGAAAGGGAUAUGAUCAAAGUGUGAACUUGCCUUGCUGAUGAUCCGCGAAACCUAGAGAUUCGAAGUAACACGCGGCGCACUCCGGGUAUUCUAUCGCAGACAAACAAACAAGCAUACAAUAAGUAUUCAUCUAAUGCACGGGUAAAACUCAAAUAAGAGAUCUAACCAGAAGGUUCAACUUAAGAACUCCGGUUCGCAAAAAGAAUCAAAUCAAACGAAGCAACGAAAGUCAAACUGCAAAAGAAACAGGCUUCGUUUACUAUUUUGGAUCUAGGGCAAUUUUUACAAUGGAAAUUUUUUUUUAAUUUGGUUAAACGGUUAGAGGGUUUCGAGACAAAACUCCAGGCGCUUGAAUCGCCUGAUUCCAAUAACCGAGCGAAAAGUUAUACUAAAACGAAAAUCGGAUCAGGAAUCACGAUCAGAAAAAUUGCGGAUUUAAUCCGAGAAAAAGAAAAACGACGAACGUUCGCUAGAAUGAAGAAAAGGACGAACGCUCGCUAAUUAAAUAAAUCGGAAAAACCGAUCUAUUUAAAAAAACCGAAACUAAAAAAAACCACGACUUUUUUUUAGUUUCGUUUUUUGAAAUAGAUCGGUUUUUCCGAUUUAUUUAAUUAGCGAGCGUUCGUCCGUUUGUUCAUUCUAGCGAACGUUCGUCGUUUUUCUUUUUCUCAGAUUAAAUCCGUGAUUUUUCUGAUCGCGAUUCCUCAUCCAAUUUUCGUUUUAGUAUAACUUUUCGCUCGGUUAUCGGAAUCAGGCGAUUCAAGCGCCUGGAGUUUUGUCUCGAAACCGUCUAACCUUUUAACCAACUUAAACAAGUUUUUGCCACUGUAAAAAUUGCCCUAGAUCCAGAAUAGUAAAUGAAGCCUGUUUCUUUUGCCGUUUGACUUUCGUUGCUUCGUUUGAUUUGAUUCUUUUUGCAAACCGGAGUUCUUAAGUUGAACCUUCUGGUUAGAUAUCUUAUUUGAGUUUUACCCGUGCAAUAGAUGAAUACUUAUUGUAUGCUUGUUUGUUUGUCUACGAUAGAAUACCCGGAGUGCGCCGCGUGUUACUUCGAAUCUCUAGGUUUCGUGGAUCAUCAGCAAGGCAAGUUCACACUUUGAUCAUAUCCCUUUCAUACCCAGUUUUUAUUGCAUUAGAUCAAACCUCCAACAUUGCAUGAUUAGGAUCUAAUUAAAUUGUGGGAUGGAAAGUAGUUGAGGUAGUACCUAUUACCUGCUUAUUAUCUAACCCUUGGGAGUUACUAUUACGUUAUGCUUAUAGUGCCAUGCUAUGCACGUAGACGUGGAUUGGGUUUUGAGAGUAUCCAUGACAGAUGCGAGAUUGUUAAUUAAUGGUUUACUUAAGGUGGCAACUUAAACACACAUCUGGGUGGAUUGAGGCACCUGGUUAUUCCAGGAUUGCCUGUCUAGGCACCUGGGUAGACCAGGAUUGCCUGUUUUUUUAUGGACCGCCACCCAGGCUCAAAGGGAUCAUGAGAUUAUUCAUACUAGAAACUUCUGUGUGCAGCCACAAGCUAUUAUGGGCUCUAGCAUAGUUGAUUAAGUUGUGCGAACUCUUACAGGGUAGACUAGCAGAUGUAGGGGAAAGUAGGUGUAACGGUCUAUCCAUCGUAAGGUGCUAGCGCUUCUGAAAGACUAUGUCUCGAUCAUCCGUUUCUCAAACACCAGGUAGUGCGAGAAAUCCAAUGGAGGCGAUCGAGUCUUGUGGGGAAAAGUGCGCGAACCUCUGCAGAGUGUAUAAACUAAUCAUGGUUAGUCGUGUCCCUGGUUAUGGACAUCUUGAGUAUCUAGUACUUGGAUUAUCAUGUGAAUCUCAUCAUGUUACUUUAAAUUAAGUUUGUUGGGUUUAAUGAUGUUAUUUAAUUGGGAUUGUGAAUGCUGUCAACCAUUCUCAAUGUUCAACAACCACCAUGAUAGUUAAAUAAAAUGUAUUCCUUUGCAGUAGGGAAAAAUUGGCUUUUCGCAAAAACCUUACAACCAUAGAGCUUUUCCACCAGCCAUAUAUGCAUGUAGUGAUAGCCAUUGUUCAUCAACUCUCUCUAUGGUGUGAAUUUGCCAGUACAUUCAAUGUACUGACCCUUUGUGGCUGCAACGUCUCAUGUUGCAGGAUUAUCUUACAACGAGUAAGUGAUACGUUAGGGUUGUGAUUUCUACACUCAACUUUGCCGUUGGUGUUGAUCGGAAUCCACAACCUUGUUACUUCCGCUUUUUGGAUUGAGGUAAUAGUAUUUACAUUACUUAUACAUGUGAUUUACCUCUGUUAUAAAUCCUCGAGUACUGUGUGUGUCAGCAUACCGAUCCAGGGAUGACACUUAAGCACAGAGACUUGAUCCAUUCGGGUCGGGUCGCUACAGUAGCGGUAGCAAAAGUAACAGUAGCGGUUUUGUAGUGAUUGUAACAGUGGCAAUGGAAAAGUAACUAAGCAAAGAACAAUAUGUGAAAAGCUCAUAGGCAUUGCAUCAGUGAUAGAUAAUUAUGUCGGAUGUGAUUCCUCAUGCAAUAGUUAUAACAUAGGGUGACACCGAACUAGCUCCAGUUCAUCAAUGUAAUGUAGGCAUGUAUUCCAAAUAUAUUCAUAUGUGCUUAUGGAAAAGAACUUGCAUGCCAUCUUUUGUCCUACCCUCCCGUGGCAGCGGGGUCCUAUUGGAAACUAAGGGAUAUUAAGGCCUCCUUUUAAUAGAGUACCGGACCAAAGAAUUAACACUUAGUGAAUACAUGAACUCCUCAAACUACGGUCAUCACCGGUAAGUAUCCCGAUUAUUGUCACUUCGGGGUUAACGGAUCAUAACACAUAAUAGGUGACUAUAGACUUGCAAGGUAGGAUCAAGAACUCACAUAUAUUCAUGAAAACAUAAUAGGUUCAGAUCUGAAAUCAUGGCACUCAGGCCCUAGUGACAAGCAUUAAGCAUAGCAAAGUCAUAGCAACAUCAAUCUCAGAAUAUAAUGGAUACUAGGGAUCAAACCCUAGCAAAACUAACUCGAUUACAUGAUAAAUCUCAUCCAACCCAUCACUGUCCAGCAAGCCUACGAUGGAAUUACUCACGCACGGCGGUGGGCAUCAUGAAAUUGGUGAUGGAGGAAGGUUGAUGAUGACGAUGGCGAUGGAUUCCCCUCUCUGGAGCCCCGAACGGACUCCAGAUCAGCUCUCCCGAGAUAGAUUAGGGCUUGGCGGCGGCUCUGUAUCGUAAAACGUGAUGAAUCCUUCUCUCUGAUUUUUUUCUCCCCGAACGUGAAUAUAUAGAGUUGGAGUUGAGGUCGGUGGAGCACCAGGGGCCCCACGAGGCAGGGGGUGCGUCCAGGGGGUAGGUGAGCCCCCACCCUCGUGGACAGGGUGUGGGCCCCCUGGCCUUGAUUCUUUCGCCAGUAUUUUUUAUAUAUUCCAAAAAUAUUCUCUGUUGAUUUUCAUGUCAUUUCGAGAACUUUUAUUUCUGUACAAAAAUAACACCAUGGAAAUUCUGCUGAAAACAGCGUCAGUCCGGGUUAGUUCCAUUCAAAGCAUGCAAGUUAGAGUCCAAAACAUGGGCAAAAGUGUUUGGAAAAGUAGAUACGAUGGAGACGUAUCAGUGGAGUUUGCUGAAUCAAAGCUCUUACGUAGACCCUUCCCAAAAAAAUAUGAAUUGCAAUGGUUUGAUGACUAGGAGCACGAUUUGUUAGUUUUCAAGAAAGUUUAUGAUCUAUACUUUAACAUGUGAAUAGCUUGAUACUUGAUCAUGAGAAGUUUCAUGAGUUGAGCUACUGUUAUGAUAUAUAAUGAUGAUAGAAAAAGUGAUUGGAACUAUCAUUGAUCAAACUUAUGCACUUGCUAGCAUUCACACUUCAUAAAUUAUUUCUUUUAUCAUUUACCUACUCGAGGACGAGCAGGAAUUAAGCUUGGGGAUGCUGAUACGUCUAUAAAGUAUCUAUUAUCUAUGAAGUAUUCAUGCCAUAUUUACAAUAGUUUUAUAUGAUUUUGGUAUGAUUUGAUUAGAACUAACCCGUACUGACGCUGUUUUCAGCAGAACUAUCGUGGUGUUGUUUUUGUGCAGAAAUAAAAGUUUUCGGAAUGCGCUGAAAAUCAGUGGAGAUUUUUUCUGGAGAAUAUAAAAAAUACUGAAACAAAGAGUUACCGGAGGGGAGUCCCGUGGGCCCCACGAGGGUGGGGGGCACGCCCCUGUGCCUCAUGGACUUCCCGUGGGGCCUCCUGACUUGUUCUCAAUGCCAACCUCUCAUAUAAAAACCCAAAACUCUAGAAAAUAACCUAGAUCGGAAGUUCCACCGCCGUAAGCCUGUGUAGCCACGAGAUAUCAAUCUAGGCCCUCUCUGGCACCCUGCCUAAGGGGGCCAUCAUUACCGGAGGCCAUGGAGGAGGAUCCCGGAGGGGCCAUCAUCGCCAUGAAGGCCAAGGACCAGAGGGAGAACUUCUCCCCAUCCAGGGGGAGGCCAUGGAGGAGGAAGCACAAGGGGGAGAACCUCCCCUCCUCUCUCUCAGUGGCGCCAGAGUGCCAUCGGGAGGGGAAUCAUCGCCGCGGUGAUCAUCUUCAUCAACAUCACCAUCACCAUCCUCAUCUCUUUUACGCGGUCCACUCUCCCGCACCCCGCUGUAAUCCCUACUUGAACGGUGCUUUAUGCCACAUAUUAUGAUCCAAUGAUGUGUUGCCAUCCUAUGAUGGUUUGAGUAGAUAUCCUUUGUCUUUGGGUUGAUUGAUGAUCUAGAUUGGUAUGAGUUGUAUGUUUUAUUUUGGUGCUGUCCUAUUGUGCCCUCCGUGUCGCGCAAGCGUCAGGGAUUCCUGCUAUAGGGUGUUGCAAUAUGUUCAUGAUUUGCUUAUAGUGGGUUGCUUGAGUGAUAGAAGCAUAAAUCUGAGUAAGGGGUUGUUGCGUAUGGGAUAAAGGGGACUUGAUAUGUUAAUGCUAUGGUUGGGUUUUACCUUAAUGAUCUUUAGUACUUGCGGAUGCUUGCUAGAGUUCCAAUCAUAAGUGCAUAUGAUCCAAGAAGAGAAAGUAUGUUAGCUUAUGCCUCUCCUUCAUAUGAAAUUGCAAUGACGACUACCGGUGUUUUUAACGAUUGCCUAGGAUAAUUCCACACACCGGCCCGUCAUUAUUCCACACUCGCUAUUUAUAAUAUUUAGUAAUAUAUUCUAACUUUAUGAUAAUAGCACCUACUUUUAUAUUUUAGCUCUCCGAUACCAUGCAAAGUUAUCCUCUCCAUACCCACAACGUAGUUUUAUUUCUCGUUUCUAGUUGGAAGCAGACGUUCGGUGUACGAAGAGUCGUAUCAGUGGCAGAUAGGACUUGAGAGAAUAUUGAUCUUACCAUUAGCUCCUUAUGGGUUCGAUACUCCAUACUUAUCACUUCCACCAUUGGGAAUUUCUAUGAUGAUUCCCUGCACUUGGGGAUUAUCAAGCUCUUUUCUGGCGCCGUUGCCGGGGAGCAAUAGCGUGGGGUUGAUAUUCUUGUGUGUGCUUGUUUGCGUUCUUCACUAAGUAGAUUUUUUUCCUUUUUGUUUAGUUGUGGGUGAAACAUACAUUUUUUUAAAGAAUGAAAAUACAAAAAAAUUACUUGCCUCUCAUGCCUAAAAAGUUUUUCAAUAAGAGAAGUGAUUGGAAGGUUGUGCAUUGGAGAAGUGAUUGGAAGGUUGUGCAUUGGAGAAGUGAGGGUCGACCUUGAACACUUGUGUUCAUGCUCAUGGAAACAAUGUAGAAUUUUUCAUGGAAGUUUCUCUGAAAAUAAUUAUCCCCUUGUAUAUAUCCAUUGUAUUAUAAAAAUAAUUAGCCAAGCUUUGGUUUUCAGAUGAUUAGAUUGCUUGUUUACUAUGUGCAGUACAAAAACAGAAACUUUGGCUAUAGCACGUGAAUUUAAUUUUUUUUACUAGAAAGUCAAAUGGGUCUGAAACUUUUUGAACAUUACUUCUAUAAAAUUUUUAUAAAUUUUCAUAUGUUUUUAAAUUUUUUUCAAUUUACAGAAGUUAACUAAACUUCCAGAUUAGUACAGACUGUCCUGUUUUUGACAGAUUCUGUUUUCUAUGUGGUGAUCACUUAUUUUGAUGAAUCUAUGGGUAGUAUCGGGGGGUAUGAACAAUGGUGAAGUUGGAAUACAGUAUAUAAAGUGCUAAUAUUAAAUUGGAAUGAAUUUGCAAUAGUACCUAAAGGUAGUGAUUUGCUUUAGUAUACUAACGGAUCUCACAAAGUUUUUGUUAAGUUUUUGUGGAUGAAGUGUUCGAAGAACGAGGAGUUACCGAUGUGAGAAGAAUAAAGAGAGGCAAGAGCUCAAGCUUGGGGAUGCCAAAGGAACCCCAAGUAAAUAUUCCAAGGAUACUCAAGCAUCUAAGCUUGGGGAUGCCCCGGUUGGCAUUCCAUCUUUCUUCUUCAACAAUUAUCGAUAUACCUCGGUUUUUGUUUUGAUCACAUGAUUUGUGUCCUUUGUGUUUUUGUUUCUCCUUUAAGAACCAUGCUAGUAUGAGAUAGCCCUUCAUUUAUGUAUAGAAUGCUUCAUGUGCUUCACUUAUAUCUUUUAAGUAUGAUCUUAUAGAAUUGCUCUUUGUGCUUCACUUAAAUCUUUUGAGUAUGGUUUUGUAGAAUGCUCCAUGAACAUCACUUAUAUCUUUUGGAGUAUGAAUAAUACUAUAAUCUCAAGUGGGGUUGGAAGAGUGUCAACUUUAGGAAUUAGUGAUCCCACUAUUUUGGAGGGUGUUGAAUCUUAGUGUGAUAUUUAUGAAAGUGGAUUUGGAAGGGUGUCAACUUUAGUUAGUAAUGAUGCCACUAUUUCGGAAGAGGUUCCAAUUGAUUAUGAGAACAAAGCUGCUAUCUAUGAUGAUUAUUGUGAUGGCAUGUAUGCUAUAAAUAAUAAUGUUAACCAUGAAACUUGUCAUCAUGAUUUUAAUUUUCAAUUGGAUUAUGCCUCACAUGACCGUUAUUUUGUUGAGUUUGCUCCCGUUAUUCUAAAUGAGAAAAAUUUUGCUUAUGUGGAGAGUAGAAAAAUUUCUAUGCUUGUAGAUCAUGAAAAGAAUUCUUUAUGUGAUGGUUAUAUUGUUGAAUUCAUUCAUGAUGCUACUGAAAAUUAUUAUGAGGGCGGAAUAUAUGAUUGUAGGAGUUGCAAUAAUAUCAAGUUUCCUCUCUAUGUGCUUAAAGUUUUGAAGUUAUCCUUGUUUCGCCUUCCUAUGAUAGUUGAUCCUUGUUCAAAAUUGUGUGCUAAAAAAAUCCCUAGGCAUAGGAAGUGGGUUAGGUUUAAAUGUGCUAGUCAUAUUCUUCAUGACGCUCUCUUUAUGUUCUAAUUCUUAUCUUUUAUGUGAGCAUCAUUGAAAUCAUCAUGCCUAGCUAAAAGGCGUUAAAGAAAAGCGCUUGUUGGGAGACAAACCAAUAUUUACCCUUACUAUUUUUGUGUGUUCACAUGAUUAAGCUACUGUAGUAAUCAUGUACUAUAGCUUUUGUUUCAAUAAAGUGCCAAGUAAGACCUUUGGGAAGACUUGGGUGAAAGUUAAUGUGGUCUUGCUGUAAAAAACUAAAACUUUGCGCUCACGAGAUUAGUUGUCAUUAUUUACAAAAGAGUGUGUUUGAGUUGAUUCUUUUUUCAUAAGAUUAAUAGAAAAAUUCCUCAUGUCCACCAAUUUAUUUCAUAAUAUUUUGAGUAGUAGAAGUAUGGUUUCUGUUCAGAUCAUUAUAGAUUGUUCUGUUUCUGACAAAUUGUGUUUUAUUGCAUAGUUUGCUUGUUUUCUAGUUUCUAUGGCUUAUAUAUCUCAAUAUAAAUUGUAGAAAUGAUAUGGUACAGUAGGCAUUGUGUUAGAAAAAUUAUGAACCUUGUCUUUGACUUUCCCAAAGUGAAUGGUUUACUCUUUAUCAUAGUAACCUAAUGAAGUUCCGUUAAGUUUUGUGUGAUUGAAGUUUUCAAGCUUUGGGUGAGAUGUCGAUAUGAGGAGAAUAAGGAGUGGAAAGACCCUAAUCUUGGGGAUGCCCAAGGUACCCCAAGGUAAUAUUCAAGGAAGACUCAAGCGCCUAAGCUUGGUGAUGCCCCGGAAGGCAUCCCCUCUUUCGUCUUCAAAACUAUCAGUAUACCUUACUCGGAGCUAUAUUUUUAUUCGUCACAUGAUAUGUGUUUUGCUUGUAGCGUAUUUUCAAUUUUACUUGCUGUUUGAAUAAAAUCAUUGGAUCUGAAAUCUUGAAUGAAAAAGAAUCCUCCCAUGGCUAGUUAAUGAUUUGACUACUCAGUGUUCUCCACUUAUAUCUUUUUGGAGUAGUUUGUUGUUUACUCACGUGCUUCACAUAUAUCAUAAAUCUGAAUUUAAAUAUGUUUCAUGUGCUUAUACCAUGGGGAGUAAUGACUUCACACAUAAUAAGUAUAGAUGGUAAAUUUAUUGAAAGUUAGCAAACGCAGAAUUGGUCACUUGAACAAUUCAUGAAAGAUUAUUAAAGGAAGAGAGAUUUCACAUAUAAAUAUAAUAUCUUGGACAUCUUUUGUAAUUGUGAGCACUCAUUAAAAUAUGACAUGCUAAAAGGUUUAUGUGGGACAAGGAAGACAACUUAAUGGGUUAUGUUUUCCUAUAUCUAAAACGUUGUAUUGUCUUGGAUCAUCCAACAUGUUGAGCUUGCCUUUCCCCCUCAUGCUAGCCAAAUUCUUUGCACCAAGUAGAGAUACUACUUGUGCUUCUAAAUAUCCUUAAACCCAGUUUUGCCAUGAGAGUCCACCAUAUCUAACUAUGGAUUGAGUAAGAUCCUUCAAGUAAGUUGUCAUUGCUGCAAGCAAUAAAAAUUGCUAUCUAAAUAUGUAUGAUCUAUUAGUAUGGAGAAAAUAAGCUUUAUACAAGCUUGUGAAACGAAAGGAAUAAAAGCGACAGAAUGCAUAAUAAAGGUCCCUAUCACUAGUGGCAAUAUAAAGUGACGUUAUUUUGCAUUAAGAUUUUGUCCAUCCAACCAUAAAAGUGCAUGACAACCUCUGCUUCCCUCUGCGAAGGGCCUAUCUUUUACUUUUACCUUCUACCCUUAUACAAGAGUCAUGGUGAUUUUCACCUUUCCUUUUUACACUUUUUCCUUUGGCAAGCACUUUGUGUUGGAGCGAUCUGGAUAUAUAUAUAUAUCCACUUGGAUGUAGGUUUUCAUAAAGUAUUAUUGUUGACAUUACCCUUGAGGUAAAAGGUUGGGAGGCGAAACUAUAAGCCCCUAUCUUUCUCUGUGUCCGUUUAAAACUUUGAACCCAUAAAUAUCACGUGAGUGUUAGCAAAUGUGAAAUAUUAAAUGACAGUUGAAUAUCUGGAGAUUGUUGAAUCAAAUCUCUUACGUAGACCCUUCCCGAAAUAAGAUGAAUUGCAAUUGUUUGAUGACUAAGAGCACGAUUUGUUAGUUUUCAAGAAAGUUUAUGAUCUAUACUUUAACAUGUGAAUAGCUUGUUACUUGAUCAUGAGAAGUUCAUGAGUUGAGCUACUGUUAUGAUAUAUAAUGAUGCUAGAAAAAGUGAUUGGAACUAUCAUUGAUCAAACUUAUGCACUUGGUAGCAUUCACACUUCAUAAAUUAUUUCUUUUAUUAUUUACCUACUCGAGGAUGAGCAGGAAUUAAGCUUGGGGAUGCUGAUAUGUCUCCAACGUAUCUAUAAUUUAUGAAGUAUUCAUGCCAUAUUAAUAAUAGUUUUAUAUGAUUUUGGUAUGAUUUUAUUAUAACUAACCUGGACUAACAUUGUUUUCAGCAAAACUACCGUGGUGUUGUUUUUGUGCAGAAAUAAAAGUUCUCGGAAUGCGCUGAAAAUCAAUGGAGAUUUUUUCUGGAAAAUAUAAAAAAUACUAGAACAAAGAGUUACCGGAGGGGAGUCCCAUGGGCUCCACGAGGGUGGGGGCGCACCCACAACCCUGGGGCGCGCCCUGUGCCUCGUGGACUUCUUGUGGGGCCCUCUGACUUGUUCUCGACGGCAACCUCUCCUAUAAAUACCCAAACCUCUAGAAAAUAAUCUAGAUCAGAAGUUCCACCGCCGCAAGCCUCUGUAGCCACGAGAAAUUAAUCUAGGCCCUCUCUGGCACCCUGCCGGAUGGGGCCAUCAUCAUCGGAGGCCAUGGAGGAGGAUCCUGGAGGGGCCAUCAUCGCCAUGAAGGCCAAGGAGCAGAGGGAGAACUACUCCCCAUCCAGGGGGAGGCCAUGGAGGAGGAAGCAUAAGGGGGAGAACCUCUCCUCUCUCUCGGUGGCGCCAGAGUGCCAUCGGGAGGGGAAUCAUUGCCACGGUUAUCGUCUUCAUAAACAUCAACAUCAUCAUCUCUUUUACGCGGUCCACUCUCUCGCACCCCACUGUAAUCCCUACUUGAACAUGGUGCUUUAUGCCACAUUUUAUUAUCCAAUGAUGUGUUGCCAUACUAUGAUGUUUUGAGUACAUAUCCUUUGUCUUUGGGUUGAUUGAUGAUCUAGAUUGGUAUGAGUUGUAUGUUUUAUUUUGGUGUUGUCCUAUUGUGCCCUCCGUGUCGCGCAAGUGUGAGGGAUUCCCGUUGUAGGGUGAGAUGGUGAGAUGUCCCAAUGUGAGAAGGAUCCGUCACGAGCCCUUUCAUGGUUUGAAAUCUACGCAAGAGUGAAGGUGGGGCCAAUUACUUGUGCUGCAACCUUUGAUCGUUCUUCAGAAAUAAAUUUAGUAAUGCAUUGAAGCUAGCGAUAGUAGAGCAUCCAGACCUAUGUAAGCUCACAUGGCAUGGAAAAUUUGUGACAAUAAAACAUCAAGUAGAGGUGCCUUUUGGAUUUUGUGGAUUUACCGAUUCGGUUUUAUGUGAUGUUCUUCCAUAUCAUAAAUAUGUGUGUAGCUUGAUACUUGGUGGAUCUUGGAUAAAAAAGAGGGAGCUGCAGAUUGAUAAAUCUGGCAAUUUUUCUUGGAGGAAAUUUAAGUUUCUUUGUCAAGGUCAGUGGGCCUAUUUUGAAGCAGACUCUUCCAAACAAUAUUUCGAGGAUCGUAAGAGGCGAGACCGUGCACAGGCUGCAACUGAUGCAAAGAAACAACAAGAGAAGAUGGUGUUGUUAGAAAAAUAAAAAAGGUUGAGGAUGGUGCCAUUGUUACUAAAAACAUUUCUGCACAUGAGGAGAAAAAAGAGAAGGUGGUAGUACCAAUGAGUGGGUUGAAUAUACAACUUACAUCAAGGGUACAUCAUGCAAGUUAAAAAUUGAUCGUGGUAGCUGCACUAAUGGCAUUAGCAAGAUGUUGGUGGAUAAGCUUGGUUUGUCGACAUGGCGAUAUUAUGAACCAUAUCAUUUGGAGUGGUUGAACAAUUGUGGGCAUCUCAAAAUUACACAUAAGGCACGUGUAACAUUUUCUGUUGGGAAGUAUGUCGAUGAGGUGGAAUGCGAUGUUUUACCAAUGGAAGUCUACAGUUUGUUACUAGGCCGGCCUUGGCAAUUUGACAGCAGUGCGCAACAUGCUGGAAGGACCAACAUAUACACUUUUAUUCAUAAUGGGAAGCAAAGGGCACUUAAAUCAAUGAAUGAAAAAUUAAUUCGCUCUGAUGUGCUAUUGACAGUGCAAAAGAAGAGGGCUCCCAAGAACAACAUGAAACUAAAGAUGGUUUCUCUUCAAGUGGAGUAGGAUGAUGUUCUUUCAGUAAACAAGGUCUCUAAAGAUACCACGAAGUAGUGGAUGACUUCGUUUUAAGAGGAAGUGGAUGAUGUGCCCAUCAACGUCAGUAUUAUUGCUGAGAAGACAUGCUCGACCAUAUAUAUUGGUCCAUGUGAAUUGCAUGUUUCAAGAUAUAAUCUUCGACAUGUGUUGUAGAUUGGUUCAUUUUGCAUUGAGGUUCCACCAAUUGAACCGAAGAAAGCUAUGGUGAAUCCAAACUUCAGGACUCCUCCAAAAUGAAUUCAUGUAGGCGUUUCUCCUGAUCGGUGAUCCAUAUAGAAACUCCAAGGCGUACAACAAAAAGUAUUUUUGUUUAUUUAGUACUAGGAAAUACGCAUGUGCGUCGCAACGGGAGAUAAACUAUCACAUUAUGCAGGUGUGGUAAAUAUAAAAAAGCCUGAAUCAAAUGCAAGGAUGAGAUAAGGACUUUUAAAAUGUCAUUUCACAAACUAUGUCUGAGUGAUGUCAUGAUGAGAUAGAGGACAUUUGGCGAGAGAAUGCAAAUCUCAGCGUGUGAUGAUUGCUACUGAAGAUGGUGGGUAUGAGUCCGCUAGCGACUAUGAUGAGGAGACUUUGGCUCUUAUUACACAUGAAGAACACGGUGGAGAUGAUUCUGAUCAUGAGAUGCAAUACAUGGCUGCUGAAGAUGCUAACAGGUAUGAAUGUUUAGUUGCUCAACGUGUUUUGAGUGUGCAGGUUACACAAGCUGAGAAAAAUCGGAGGCAUAAUUUGUUCCAUAUGAAGGGAGUUGUGAAGGAACAUUCUAUUCGCGUCAUCAUAGAUGGAAGGAGCUGCAACAACUUGGCUAGCAUGGAGAUGGUGGAGAAUAUAUCUCUCACCACAAGACCGCAUCCACAUCCUUACUACAUCCAAUGGUUCAACAACAGCGGCAAGGUUAAGGUAACACGUAUUGUUCAUGUGCACUUUAGUAUCUCUACAUAUGUUGAUUAUGUUGAUUGUGAUGUGGUUCCUAUGCAAGCAUGUUCCUUAUUACUUGGUAGACCAUGGUAAUUUGAUAAAAAAUUCUAUACACCAUGGUAGAAACAAUCAGUAUACUCUUGUUCGUAAGGACAAAAAUAUUACUCUGCUUCCUAUGACUCCUGAUUCCAUUUUGAAAGAUGAUAUUAAUAGAGCUAAUAAAGCAAAUCAGGAGAAACAUAAGAGUGAAAAUCAGAUUGUGGCAAAAGAAUUUGAGCAAAAAAAUGAAGCCUAAUAAUAAACCAUCUAGUAUUGCUUCAGAAAUUAAAUUGAAAAAUGCAUGUUUACUUGCCACCAAAUCUGACAUUGAUGAUCUAGAUUUCAGCAAAUCUGUUUGCUAUGCUUUUGUGUGCAAAGAGGCGUUAUUUUCUUUCGAGGAUGUACCUUCCUAUUUGCCUCCUACCGUCACUAAUAUUUUGCAGGAGUUCGCUUGUAGCGACCCGACCUCAGACGGUCAAGCCUCUGUGUAUCUGUGCCAUCCCUGGAUCGGUAUGCUGGCACACACAUCACAUCAAUGUAUAUAUCAAAAUGCAAUCACAUGUAUAAAUAACGUAAAACUGAUAUAUACCUCAUAAGUCUCAGCGGAAACAAAUAUUCGGGUGUGGAGUCCCAUCAACGCCAUCGGCAGGUUGAGUGUAGACCGUAACCCUAUGACAUAACUCCUACUCGUCGGAAGAAACAUAUCUGCAACAUGAGACGUUGCAGCCGUGUAGGUCAGUACAUUGAAUGUACCGGCAAGAUCAGAAUAAGAGAAAACAAAUGAUAAACUAUACUAUAUGCAAUAUGGCUUUGUGGUUCUGUAUCUGAGUUUUGUUUGCAUAAAAGAUGGUUCUAUUUUCCCUACAACAAAGGAAUAUCGGGAGUCUAUACUACGGAGUUUUCUGUCAUGACAUGGUUCCGCCAACCGAUGUCUCAUAGCCCAAAUCAUCAUAAGUUGCCCACGAUUAAUUUAGCAGUCCAGUGUUGAGAGUUCCGAGAUAGAUCCAAGUCCAGAGGCUCAAAUUGUCCGUAACCGGGGACACGGCUAAUCGAUUAGGUUUUAACCCUCUGCAGAGGUUUGUACACUUUACCUGGAAGAUUCGAUCCCUCUCUUUACAUUCUCGCACUUCAGGGUGUUUGAGAACAAUAUGACCGAAACAUGGUCUUCCGAAGAGUUCCUCUGAUCACUGUCCGGUGCUCAUCCAAUCCUACCGUAGUUCUACAUCUGCUAGCACUGUCCCAGCCAGAGUCACAACUAAGGUCAACCAAGCCAGAGCCCAUAGUGACUUGCGGUUGCACAGGUAAGCUUCCGGGCAUGAAGUAUUCUUCCGUCUCUUUGAGUCUGAGUGAAGCUUUCCGCAAGAUGUCAUGGCGCUUCUCCAUGCAUCCCGGCCAACCACUGGUUUCUCCAGGGUGCCCGUCAACCGUCCUUCAUCCAGUAGUGUGUAUUGAAUUCUUGUCUCGAGUCUCGAAAUCUUGAAGAGUACUGAAGAUGCAGUCCUUGCAGAUGCCAUCAUGAAGUUGUCGUCUUUGACGUAAAGUCCUUCAUUCUCACACCACUCCCGAGCACUCAUACCAAACCCCGUCUACUACAACGUAGCAUUAAAACUAUAUACAUCUCGGGCUUGGUAACAGGGAGGUGGGUUCCUACCUCAUGCAUUCCACUCAACUACAAGAAUCAAUAUCACUACUGGAGAAGUUGUUGCAUGGAUGACACUAAAUGCAAUAAAAAUAUAGGUAUGAAAAACAUGGUCAAAGUGAACUUGCCUGGUAUUACUUGAUGAAGAUAAUAAUAACGCUCUCAGAAACUUGAUAAGAUUAUAUGCAACUCUCCGAUGAAAUCUAUAAUAAUAAACAUGGCAUUCACAUAAGCAAUCAUUCUAUCACCCAAAAUAACAAUCAAAACAACAAGGAAACUCAAAUAUAGAACUCAAACCAAUUCCAAAGAAAACUCGAGGAAAACAAAAUCAAGGUUUUCAUCACUUCAAGCAACAACAAAGAAAUAGUUUUAUCCUACUAAUACUUUUCUUAACAGAACCAAAACAAGGGUUUUGCUAACUAACAUAAAGGAAAACAGCAUAUAUAGUAGGUGCAAAAGAAUCACAUCAAUAUCUAUUAUAGAACUCCUGUUAUGCCUAAAACAAAACUAUUAAGAAAAUAAAAUAAAACUUUUUAUUUUGCUGUAAGUAAAUGGUCACCCUCUGUAACUACAGAAACUAAUCAAAAAUAAAAUAUAACAUAGGUAAAAUAUAGAUUUAAAAAUAACUAGAACAGCAGAAAACAACAGCAAACUAAAUAAACUAGAAAAACUUGUUUUCGCAUAGAAACUAUUUUUAAUAAAGACUAUAAAUGCCCAAAUAAAUUCCUACUGGUAUGCAAGGUUAAAACAAAUCAGUGACAAAAAGAAUCACUAAAAUAAAAUAAUCCUAACUCAAUUUAUAGCAGAAAAACGAAUCUGACUAAACUAAUAUAACACAAUUUUUAAAAACCUAAACAUGGUCGAAUCUAAUUUUCUACAGCAACUAUAGGAAAUUUCCAAACUAGAGUAAAAAGAAUCAACUAAAAAUAUUAAAUAACUUAAAAGAUAUAGAUUUUUCAAGAUUGGAACUAUUCUGUUUUAAAAACAGAAACUAAAAUAAAACUAAAACAACUAACGCGCUAACGGGCCGAAACAGUGAGCGCUCUAAAACUAUCUAACGCGCGAGCGAUCUUUAACUGAACCGUAAAUGGGCUAGCAGAAUAAACCGAUCGGGCCGGUCUACCUAAACCUAGUAAAUAAACCGGAAACAAACCGUGAAAUAAAAUCGGUCUAAAAAAACUACCCAUUCGCGAGUCUAAUCUAAGCCGUACAUGCGAGAUCUAAUGGUGGAGGAGGGGAGAGGGGCUCACCGCGGCGGCGGCGGUGCAGUCCGGUGAGGUCGACGGCGGUGGCGGCUUCGGAUGCGGCCGGGGAAGGUGCUCCGGUUGCUCCCGAGCUCCGGAGUUUUGCUCCCGAGACGGAGACAACGACGAGGAGGCGAUUGGCAAAGGCGGCGGAGCUCGAAGGUGGCUAACGGUGGCGGAACGGGCGACGGCGUGCAACGGCGGCUUCAGAUUCCAGCGAGCCAAAGCGGCUGCGGUGAGGCGAGAGGGGGAGGGGUCUAGGGGGGAACGGGGUGCGGCGGGGCUGGGCUAUUUAUAGGAGGGUUCGGGCGGCAACAGAGGCAAGGGACAGGCGCGUCCCGGAUCUCCGGCGAGAUCCCGGCGAGGUGGGGAGAGGCGCGAGCCGAAGGAAGGCGACCGCGGGGAUGGCGGGAUCGGUCGGUGGGACCGACCUGCCUGUGAGAGGGAGGUGGCGGAAACGGAUCGGUUGGUCGAUCCGUUCGAGAUUAGGGCGCGGCGCUCGCGGGAUUGGGCCGGAUCUGUUGCUGGGCCACGCGGCGGUUUCCUAUUAAAAGAAAACUUUCCUAAUUUUGAUUAUCUAGCGAAGAGAAAAAGUAAUAAAAGAUAAUAAAUAAACUUUCCUAUAUACAUAUUAUAUAUCAAAAUCUUCAUAAAAAGAUUUCCUAAAAUGUGAACAUAUUUUAAGAGACAAAUAAAAUACAUAUAAAUUCACAAAAUUCAAACAGUGCUGCCGUUGCAAUAAAGCACAAUAAAAAUCAUUUUUUAAAAUAUCAAAAUUAUUUCAAAUUUAACUUUCUCCAUUAUUUCUAAUGUAGGGAAUCAUUUUACCCUAUUUUCCAUAUAGUUUAAUUUUGGAGAAAAAUAUUUUGAAAUGAAACCAAAUAACUCCAAAUGGUUUUGAAUUUAAAAUUCAAACCAUCUUCAAACUUCCAACUCAUAUUUCAUAUACUUGGAAGAAGUCAUGUUUUCUUCACUCAAGGUUAUUGUGAUGAAAUGAAUUUGAAUUUCAUUGAUAUCAAGUGCAAGGAUGAAAGUUUGGGAAGUCAUUUCAUUCCCUCUCAUUUAACUUUCAAAAAAAAUUCACAUUUCACUCAAUCAAUCACUCAUCAAUCAAUCAAACAAUCAUAUAUUUUAAUUAUUAUAACAUUCCAAAAAUUAGAAUUUUGGGAUGUUACAAACUACCACACUUAAAAUGAAUCUCGUCCUCGAGAUUCGAAGAGGCUAGCAAGAAAAGGUUAGGGUUGGGGGUCUUCUAGCAAAUCUUUUGGCCGGAAAGGUCACGGGUGCUACCACACUUAAAAUGAAAUGCACUAGUUCAUCCAUAAAUCAUAUUAUUUUCAUAUCAUAUCUUUUAUUACCUCCUUAACCAUUUUUCAUAAAUCCAAAUUCCAAAGAAAUACUUUAUUACAAAUGCCGCCAUCCACAUGGUUUGGUAUGGUCAAGCAUUACUUCCCACUUUAUUCAUUUUUCCUCCUUGAGGAUUCUUCAGUCCCACUGGAAUUGUGCGACAUGCGCCUUGAAAUCUUCAACCUUCUGUUUCAUUGUGGUGGCCUUGAGCUUCAUUUCCAUCAUCUCUGCAUGCACUUCUCUUAGGUAUUCCUGAGUAUAACGGAGUCUUGCUUCAAGUAUAUCUCCGAUCUGGCAUAUGGCUUCCAUGGCUGCUUCACGAACAACGUCGAAGAAAGUUGCUUGUGGUACACGUGAGAUGAAAAAGUACUGCCCCAUUGUCUUUGGGCAAACUCCUUUCAUUCGGUGGAGGUGUACCUCCACAUACCAAAGUUCCACUCCCUUUUGCAUGAAGGGGUAGCCUUUGUAGACUGCAUCUCCUUCAAGGUGAAUAUGCUUCAUCAUGUCCUUCAGGAUCUUCGGGUAAUCAUGAUCACUUGUUAGGGUCAUGAUCGUUUCCGGACCUUUAAGGAAAGAUUCAUAAAGGGUCGUCAUCUGCGGUUGUAAAACAAAAAUGGUGCUCAGAAUAAGGUACAUAUCUCCUUGGGUACACAUUCAUAUCAUCCAAACAAAACUUCAAACUCAAUUUCCAACAUCCAGUUUAUGCAUCACAACUCAUUUUCUUCCAUGUUCACCCAGAAUAUUAAUUUCCAAGAUAAAACAUAACAACUCCUUAAAACCUUUCAGCAUAUGACAUAUCAACUUUAUUGAGUCAUGAAUUAUUACAAUCUCUGAGUAAUCUAUUACAUAACUCAACCCGGCAUUCUCAUGAAAAAGUGUUUUCCUUACUACCCUUAUUACUGAUAUCAACAUCUCCACUACUCAGCUCUAGCUUUCUCAUGAUUUGAACAAUCCCUAGCAAAAUGUCCCGCUUCCUUGCAACGAAAACAAAUAACUUCCGGCAUGUCUCGAGGCUUCUUGGUGAUGGUGCCUGCUCCUUGAGUUCCUUGCUUCCUUUCGAGACAAUCAUUGGCAUAAUGCCCGACGUCCUUACAUUCAAAACAGGUAAUAUGACUCUUGUCCCUCUUUGCAGAAAUUGGGUUGUUCUGAGGGUGUCUUUGUUUUCUCUUCCUGGUUUUCUUCGUUCUGAUCAAAUGCUCUAUUCCCCGUGGAUCAAACUCCACUGCUUCUGUCGGGAAGUAUCCCAGAUACUCUUUUCUUUCCUUGGUGCAAUACUGUGAAAAAUGUCCUUCUUCUCCACAUGAAUAACAGGCAUUGGAGUAAAAUCUAUUGAGGCUUUCUCCAUCAGGGUCUUCAACACUUUCCUUAAUCACAUGUUCUUUCAUAACUUCUCGGAAGGCUUCUGUCAUUCCUUCUUCUUGCCUCUGAAUAAUUUGUUGCAUCGUGGUGUAAAUGUGACACUGAGCUGGGUAGUGGGUGGUUUCUUCACACAAGAAACAAGUCACCUGACUAGGGCAUUCCUCAGCUGGGUGUUUCUCCUCACAAUGAGGGCAUCCAUCCUUGUGUUCCUCCUUGGUGUGUCCUAUUUCUUCGCAAAUCUUGCAGGCACAAGGUUUAUUUCUUGGGAUAUCAUGGUGCUUCCGGAUAAGACGAGAUCUUGUCAGAGUCUUCUUGAAUUCUUCCCAAGUCCUUGCUCCAUUCCAUCCCUGUAUAGCUUGAUGCAUCUGCCACCAUGUUGCAGCACUUCCUUCAAAGCACUGAAUAGCAUACGAUACUUCAUUCUUCCUUGAAACCAAAUUGCUCCCGAAGUGAUUCUCCAUGUUCUGAAUCCAUAGCUCUGCCUCCGGCUGGGUUUUCGGUCCAGAGAAUACCAGUCCAACUUCAUUCAUCAUCUACUGGGUCCAAGGGUUUUAGGGUGAGAUAAGAGAGAGGUGGGGAGGAAUAUACACAAUACAAACAAUAGUUUUGAAAAUGGGUUUUAUUUGGGGCUGUCGGAAAAACAUCAAACAAAUGACAGCUCACAAAUCGUCGCAUCUAACGUAAGUAUAUAACAUGGGUUUGGUCUUCUAAAGGUCAAAUAAUUCUUCAGAUUCUUCAAGUCUUCGGAGUCUUCAACUGUUGUAGCUUUAACUCUUCUAAUGCAUGGUGAAAUCCUAUUUACUCCGAAAUGGUCAUCGGUUGUCCGAUAUCUUGUCCUUCUUGGAGCGGCUUUAGUUGAUCCUCCGUGUGUUCAAAAGGAAAGGGGUAUAUUCUAACUAUUUGAAGUAAGAGAGGUUAUUUGAUAAAAUCGGAAAAGAUGAGAAGUAAUAGAUUCUUUUGAAAAUAAAGUUUUUAGAGAUUUCCUGUCCUAGGGGCUUUCCGAUUUCUAGGGUCACGUCCUACAGUCAACAUGUGCUCUGAUACCAUAUCUCUAGCGACCCGACCUCAGACGGUCAAGCCUCUGUGUAUCUGUGCCAUCCCUGGAUCGGUAUGCUGGCACACAAAGUACAUCAAUGUAUAUAUCAAAAUGCAAUCACAUGUAUAAAUAACGUAAAACUGAUAUAUACCUCAUAAGUCUCAGCGGAAACAAAUAAUCGGGUGUGGAGUCCCAUCAACACCAUCGGCAGGUUGAGUGUAGACCGUAACCCUAUGACGUAACACUUACUCGUCGGAAGAAACAUAUCUGCAACACGAGACGUUGCAGCCGUGUAGGUCAGUACAUUGAAUGUACCGACAAGAUCACAAUAAGAGAAAACAAAUGAUAAACUAUACUAUAUGCAAUAUGGCUUUGUGGUUCUGUAUCUGAGUUUUGUUUGCAUAAAAGCUGGUUCUAUUUUCCCUACAACAAAGGAAUAUCGGGAGUCUGUACUACGGAGUUUUCUGUCAUGACAUGGUUCCGCCAACCGAUGUCUCAUAGCCCAAAUCAUCAUAAGUUGCCCACGAUUAAUUUAGCAGUCCAGUGUUGAGAGUUCCGAGAUAGAUCCAAGUCCAGAGGCUCAAAUUGUCCGUAACCGGGGACACGGCUAAUCGAUUUGGUUUUAACCCUCUGCAGAGGUUUGUACACUUUACCUGCAAGAUUUGAUCCCUCUCUUUACAUUCUCGCACUUCAGGGUGUUUGAGAACAAGAUGACCGAAACAUGGUCUUCCGAAGAGUUCCUCUGACCACUGUCCGGUGCUCAUCCAAUCCUACCGUAGUUCUACAUCUGCUAGCACCGUCCCAGCCAGAGUCACAACUAAGGUCAACCAAGCCAGAGCCCAUAGUGACUUGCGGUUGCACAGGUAAGCUUCCGGGCAUGAAGUAUUCUUCCGUCUCUUUGAGUCUGAGUGAAGCUUUCCGCAAGAUGUCAUGGCGCUUCUCCAUGCAUCCCGGCCAACCACUGGUUUCUCCAGGGUGCCCGUCAACCGUCCUUCACCCAGUAGUGUGUAUUGAAUUCUUGUCUCGAGUCUCGAAAUCUUGAAGAGUACUGAAGAUGCAGUCCUUGCAGAUGCCAUCAUGAAGUUGUCGUCUUUGACGUAAAGUCCUUCAUUCUCACACCACUCCCAAGCACUCAUACCAAACCCCGUCUACUACAGCAUAGCAUUAAAACUACAUACGUCUCGGGCUUGGUAACAGGGAGGUGGGUUCCUACCUCAUGCAUUCUACUCAACUACAAGAAUCAAUAUCACUACUGGAGAAGUUGUUGCAAGGAUGACACUAAAUGCAAUAAAAAUAUAGGUAUGAAAAACAUGGUCAAAGUGAACUUGCCUGGUAUUACUUGAUGAAGAUAAUAAUAACGCUCUCAGAAACUUGAUAAGAUUAUACGCAACUCUCCGAUGAAAUCUAUAAUAAUAAACAUGGCAUUCACAUAAGCAAUCUCUUGCCGGUACAUUCAAUGUACUGACCUACAUGGCUGCAACGUCUCAUGUUGUAGAUAUGUUUCUUCCGACGAGUAAGAGUUACGUCAUAGGGUUACGGUCUACACUCAACCUGCGGAUGGCGUUGAUGGGACUCCACACCCGAUUAUUUGUUUCCGCUGAGACUUAUGAGGUAUAUAUCAGUUUUACGUUAUUUAUACAUGUGAUUGCACUCUGAUAUAUACAUUGAUGUACUGUGUGUGCCAGCAUAACGAUCCAGGGAUGGCACAGAUACACAGAGGCUUAACCAUCUGAGGUUGGGUCGCUACAGAGGCAAGGGACAGGCGCGUCCCGGAUCUCCGGUGAGAUCCCGGCGAGGGGGGGAGAGGCGCGAGCCGGAGGAAGGCGACCGCGGGGAUGGCGGGAUCGGUCAGUGGGACCGACCUGCCUGUGAGAGGGAGGUGGCGGAAACGGAUCUGUUGGUCGAUCCGUUGGAGAUUCGGGCGCGGCGGUCGCGGGAUUGGGCCGGAUGUGUUGCUGGGCCACGCGGAGGUUUCCUAUUAAAAGAAAACUUUCCUAAUUUUGAUUAUCCAGCAAAGAGAAAAAGUAAUAAAAGAUAAUAAAUAAACUUUCCUAUAUACAUAUUAUAUAUCAAAAUCUUCAUAAAAAGAUUUCCUAAAACGUGAACAUAUUUUAAGAGACAAAUAAAAUACAUAUAAAUUCACAAAAUUCAAAAAGUGUUGCCAUUGCAAUAAAACACAAUAAAAACAUUUUUUAAAAUAUCAAAAUUAUUUCAAAUUUAACUUUCUCCAUUAUUUCUAAUGUAGGGAGUCAUUUUACCCUAUUUUCCAUAUAGUUUAAUUUUGGAGAAAAAUAAUUUGAAAUAAAACCAAAUAACUCCAAAUGGUUUUGAAUUUAAAAUUCAAACCAUCUUCAAACUUCCAACUCAUAUUUCAUAUACUUGGAAGAAGUCAUGUUUUCUUCACUCAAGGUUAUUGUGAUGAAAUGAAUUUGAAUUUCAUUGAGAUAAAAUGCAAGGAUGAAAGUUUGGGAAGUCAUUUCAUUCCCUCUCAUUUAACUUUCAAAAAAAAAAAUCAAAUUUCACUCAAUCAAUCACUCAUCAAUCAAUCAAACAAUCAUAUAUUUUAAUUAUUCUAACAUUCCAAAAUUUAGAGUUUUGGGAUGUUACAUCGCUGACAUCUUUCCAAAAGACGUGCCACCAGGAUUACCACCUAUUCGAGGGAUUGAGCAUCAGAUUGACUUAAUUACCGGUGCUUCGCUGCCUAGCCGUGCGCCAUACCGUACCAAUCCAGAGGAGAUGAAGGAGAUUAUGCACCAAGUACAGGAGCUGCUCGACAAAGGUUAUAUACGCGAAUCUCAUAGUCCUUGUGAUGUUCCUAUUAUACUAGUGCCCAAAAAGGAUGGUACAUCGCGUAUGUGUGUUGAUUGGAGAGGCAUUAAUAAUAUUACUAUUCGUUAUCGUCAUCCUAUUCGUAGGCUAGACGACAUGCUUGAUGAAUUGAGUGGCUCUACAAUAUUCUCCAAAGUUGAUUUGCGUAGUGGAUACCAUCAAAUUUGUAUGAAAUUGGGAGAUGAAUGGAAAACAACAUUUAAAACUAAGUUUGAAUUAUAUGAGUGGUUAGUCAUGCCUUUUGGGUUAACGAAUGCACCUAGUACUUUCAUGAGAUUAAUGAACGAAGUUUUACGUGCUUUCAUUGGACGAUUUGUGGUAGUCUAUUUUGAUGAUAUACUGAUUUAUAGCAGAUAUUUGGAGGAACAUUUGGAACAUUUAUGUGUUGUUUUUAUUGCUCUACGUGAUGCAUGUUUGUUUGGUAACCUUAGGAAGUGUACCUUCUGCACCGACCGAGUAUCUUUUCUUGGCUAUGUUGUUACUCCACAGGGAAUUGAAGUUGAUAAAGCCAAGAUUGAAGCUAUUGAGAGUUGGCUGCAGCCCAAAAUGGUCACACAAGUGAGGAGUUUUCUUGGCCUCGCUGGAUUCUAUAGGCGUUUUGUGAGAGUUUUCAGCACCAUUGUUGCACCUCUCAAUGAGCUUACAAAGAAGGAUGUACCUUUUGUUUGGGGUACUACACAGGAAGAAGCCUUCACGGUAUUGAAAGAUAAGUUGACACAUGCUCCUUUACUCCAACUUCCUGAUAUUAGUAAGAUAUUUGAGCUUGAAUGUGAUGCUAGUGGAAUUGGAUUAGGAGGUGUGUUAUUACAAGAUGGCAAACCUGUUGCAUACUUUUCUGAAAAAUUGAGUGGGCCUAGUCUGAAUUAUUCUACUUAUGAUAAAGAAUUAUAUGCUCUUGUUCGGACUUUACAAACAUGGCAACAUUAUUUAUGGCCCAAAGAAUUUUGUAUACAUUCUGAUCAUGAAUCAUUGAAACAUAUUAAAAUUCAAGCUAAACUGAAUCGUAGACAUGCUAAAUGGGUUGAAUUCAUUGAGACUUUCCCCUAUGUCAUUAAACACAAGAAGGGCAAAGAAAAUGUUAUUGCUGAUGCAUUGUCUCGUCGCUAUACUAUGCUUUCACAACUUGACUUCAAAUUAUUUGAUUUGGAGACCAUCAAAGAUCAAUAUGUGCAUGAUGCUGAUUUUAAAGAUGUAAUGCAGAAUUGUGAAGAAGGAAGAACGUGGAACAAGUUUGUCGUUAAUGAUGGAUUUGUGUUCCGUGCUAACAAGCUAUGCAUUCCAGCUAGCUCCGUUCGUCUUUUGUUGUUGCAGGAGGCGCAUGGAGGAGGAUUAAUGGGACACUUUGGCGUGAAGAAGGCGGAGGACAUACUUGCUACACAUUUCUUUUCGCCAAAGAUGAGACGGGAUGUUGAGCGUUUUGUUGCUCGCUGCACUACAUGUCAAAAAGCUAAGUCUCGACUCAAUCCUUAUGGUUUAUAUAUGCCUUUGCCUGUACCUAGUGUUCCUUGGGAGGAUAUAUCUAUGGACUUUAUUUUAGGUUUACCUCGAAAAAAGAAGGGGAGGGAUAGCAUAUUUGUUGUCGUGGAUAGAUUCUCGAAAAUGGCACACUUUAUACCAUGUCAUAAAAGCGAUGAUGAUGUUAAUGUGGCUAAUUUGUUCUUUCGUGAAAUUAUUCGCUUGCAUGGUGUGCCAAAUACUAUUGUUUCAGAUCAUGAUACUAAAUUUCUUAGCCACUUUUGGAGAUUUUUAUGGGCUAAGUUGGGGACUAAACUGCUUUUUAGUACUACUUGUCACCCCCAAACUGAUGGACAAACUGAAGUAGUCAAUAGAACAUUGUCUACUAUGCUUAGGGUUGUUUUGAAGAAUAAUAAGAAAAUGUGGGAAGAAUGCUUGCCUCAUAUUGAAUUUUCUUAUAAUCGUUCAUUGCAUUCUACUACUAAGAUGUGCCCUUUCGAAAUUGUGUAUGGUUUCCUACCUCAUGCACCUAUUGAUUUGUUGCCUCUUCCAUCUUCGGAGAAGGUUAAUUUUGAUGCUAAAGAACAUGCUGAAUUGAUUUUAAAAAUGCAUGAGUUAACUAAGGAAAACAUUGAGCGUUUGAAUGCUAAGUAUAUACCUGCUGGAGAUAAGGGUAGAAAACAUGUUGUGUUUGCACCUGGAGAUCUUGCUUGGUUACAUUUGUGUAAGGAUAUAUUUCCUAAUUUGCACCAAUCAAAGCUAAUGCCACGUGUUGAUGGUCCUUUUAAGAUGUUAGAGAAAAUAAAUGAUAAUGCAUAUAAACUUGAGUUGCCUGCAGAUUUUGGGGUUAGUACCACUUUUAACAUUGCAGAUUUGAAGCCUUAUUUGGGUGAGGAAGAUGAGCUUCCGUCGAGGACGUCUUCAUUUCAAGAAGGGGAGGAUGAUGAGGACAUCAAUACCAUUGUUACACCCACAGCCCCUGGUGCUAUACAUACUGGACCAAUUACUAGAGCUCGUGAACGCCAAUUAAAUUACAAGGUACUUCCAUUUCUUGGUAACGAUUCUAAUGUUCAUGAGAAUAUGAUGCUGCCUAAAUUGGAUAAAUAUGUUUUGCUUACAAAUGAAGGGCCUAGCUUGGACAAGGAAGAUGAACCUUGGAGCAAGUUCAAGCAUGGAGAUGAUGGCGUGCACAAGGGGAACAAGAACGAAGUUACACGUGAUGAUUCCAGGACUUUGAAGCCACCAUAAUGAGUGCAUGAAGCCUUGGACGAAAUAUAAAAGAUGUCAUUUCAUAAAUUUUGUCUAGAGGCUAUUCUAGGUGCGGCGUCACCUUAUUUUUGGGCCAGGCCCAUGUAAUUUCGAAAUACUUGAUUAUAGGUUGUUCUUAGAGUCCGUAUGUGUGGGGAAACAAGAGUUAGGGUUGGUUUUGGACCCCUCCUCCAAGGGACACGAAAUUCCCCCCUCUCUCCUCCAUAUAUACAGCCCUUAGGGCAUCGUUUAGACUUCGGGUUUUGUUUAGAUUAAAGUUCGCUAUAGCUACAACUUUGCGUCCUUUGUUUGUGUUCAACAACCAGACAAAGGCGUCACAGAACCCCACCUUGAUCAAUAAAUCUUUCCUCUUAUAUUCGCAAAUCCAGAUUGCAAUCUUAGUUUCUUGCUUGUUCUUCGUUUGCCUGCAGGAAAUAGACCUUCGUGGUCAGGUUGAUCGUGCUCCGGCGUGGUAAAUAACCUCUCGAAGUUGGUUUAGCGAUUGCUAAGGAGCGACGUCCUCGCACGUUCAUAGUUGGAUCGUCAAAGUCGACCUCCUCCAAAACGAUAGCCACCAUCACAUCGAAAGACGGGACACCUUUGCCUCUAUCACAUUGGCCCUUCCUUUUGAAGGAAAUUCGAGAGAUUACAUUGAUUGUAGACAUUAGUCCCCCUGGCAAGGACAAACAUAGCUUUGUGUAUAUGAUUUAUGAUCCAGGAAUUCCUAUUUCUUCGUAAAUUCAAAAAAAAUCCAGCGGCUACAAGCCUUAUACUCCUUGUUUUUGUCGUCUGGCAUGCUGUAACUUACGUGUGUGACAGCCAAGAACCAAAGGGCAUUCCUGGCAUCAAUCAAUAUAUACGUGGAAACAAUAUCUCCAGCAUCGAGGACACAAAAUUUCGGGGCGGUUCGGCAAAAAGCGUCACGGGAAAGUGAAAUUCUUUCAAGGACUGCCAUAUAAUGGACUAGUGUUCACUAAAACGGUCAUAACUUUGUCAUUCGGAGUCCGUUUCGGACACACAAAUAUUCAAAAUGCUCGCGGCGAGCGUGCGAAUCCAGAAAAUACUCCCAACUUGCACCAGGAGGCAUGGGGUGCCUCCAAAUUCAGCCUUAAGGAGGACUUUUUGGCCCUAAAAGUCAAAUAACAUCAUUCACCGCUCCUUUUCGGACAAGUUUCUGAACCCAUUGGCCCUUCCUUUUCAAGAAAAUUCAAGAGAUUAUGUAGAUUUUAGACAUUAGCCCCCCUGGCAAGGACAAACGUAGCUUUGUGCAGAUGAUUUAUGAUCUGGGAAUUCCUAUUUCUUCGUAAAUUCAAGAAAAUCCAGCGGCCUUGUUUUCGUCGUGUGGCAUGCUGUAACUUACGUGUGUGACAACCAAGAACCAAAGGGCAUUCCUGGCAUCGGUCAAUAUAUACGUGGAAACAUUAUCUCCAGCAUUGAGGACACAAACUUUCGGGAUGGUUCGGUGAAAAGCGUCACGGGAAAGUGAAAUUCUUUCAAGGACUGCCAUAUAAUGGACCGGUGUUCACUAAUACGGUCAUAAAUUUGUCAUUCCGAGUCCGUUUCGGACCCACAAAUACUCAAAAUGCUCGCGGUGAGCGUGCGAAUCCAGAAGAUACUCCUGCCUUGCGCAAGGAGGACCGGGUGCCUUCAAAUUCGGCCUUAAGGAGGACUUUUUGGCCCUGAAUGUCAAAUAACAUCAUUCACCGCUCCUUUUCGGACAAGUUUCUAAACCCAUUGGCCCUUUCUUUUAAAGGAACUUCAAGAGAUUACGUUGAUUGUAGACAUUAGUCCCCCUGGCAAGGACAAACGUAGCUUUGUGCACAUGAUUUAUGAUCCGGGAAUUCCUAUUUCUUCGUAAAUUCAAGAAAAUCCAGUGGCUACAAGCCUUAUACUCCUUGUUUUCGUCGUGUGGCAUGUUGUAACUUACGUGUGUGACAGCCAAGAACCAAAGGGCAUUCCUGGCAUCGGUCAAUAUAUAAGUGGAAACAAUAUCUCCAGCAUCAAGGACACAAAAUUUCGGGGCGGUUCGGCAAAAAGCGUCAUGGGAAAGUGAAAUUCUUUCAAGGACUGCCAUAUAAUGGACCGGUGUUCACUAAAACGAUCAUAACUUUGUCAUUCAGAGUCUGUUUCGGAGCCACAAAUAAUCAAAAUGCUCCCGGCGAGCGUGCAAAUCCAGAAAAUACUCCCGACUUGCGCCAGGAGGCCCGGGGUACCUUCAAAUUCGGCCAUAAGGAGGACUUUUUGGCCCUGAAAGUCAAAUAACAUCAUUCGCCGCUCCUUUUCGGACAAGUUUCUGAACCCAUUAACCCUUCCUUUUCAAGGAAAUUCCAGAGAUUACGUUGAUUUUAGACAUUAGUCCCCCUAGCAAGGACAAACAUAGCUUUGUGCAGAUGAUUUAUGAUCUGGAAUUCCUAUUUCUUCAUAAAUUCAAGAAAAUCCAGCGGCCUUGUUUUCACCGUGUGGCAUGUUGUAACUUACGUGUGUGACAUCCAAGAACCAAAGGGCAUUCCUGGCAUCGGUCAAUAUAUACGUGGAAACAUUAUCUCCAGUUGAGGACACAAACUUUCGGGGCGGUUCGGCGAAAAGCGUCAUGGGAAAGUGAAAUUCUUUCAAAGACUGCCAUAUAAUGGAUCGGGAUUCACUAAUACGGUCAUAACUUUGUCAUUCGGAGUCCGUUUCGGACACACAAAUACUCAAAAUGCUCGCGGCGAGUGUUUUAAUCGAUAAGAUACUCCCGGCUUGCGGAAGGAGGACCAGGGUGCCUUCAAAUUCGGCCUUAAGGAGGACUUUUUGGCCCUGAAAGUCAAAUAACAUCAUUCACCGCUCCUUUUCGGACAAGUUUCUGAACCCAUUGGCCCUUCCUUUUGAAGGAAAUUCAAGAGAUUAUGUUGAUUGUAGACAUUAGUCCCCCUGGAAAGGGCAAACGUAGCUUUGUGCACAUGAUUUAUGAUCCGAGAAUUCCUAUUUCUUCGUAAAUUCAAGAAAAUCUAACGGCUACAAGCCUUAUACUCCUUGUUUUCGCUGUGGGGCAUGCUGUAACUUACAUGUGUGACGGCCAAGAACCAAAGGGCAAUCUAGGCAUCGGGCAAUAUAUACGUGGAAACAAUAUCAACAGCAUCGAGGACACAAAAUUUCGGGGCGGUUUGCAGAAAGCCUCAUGGGAAAGUGAAAUUCUUUCAAGGACUGCCAUAGAUUGCACUGGUGUUCACUAAAACGAUCAUAACUUUGUCAUUCGGAGUCCGUUUCGGACCCACAAAUACUCAAAAUGCUCCCGGCGAGUGUGUGAAUCCAUAAAAGACUCCCCGCUUGCACCAGGAGGCCCGGGGUGCCUUCAAAUUCAGCCUUAAGGAGGACUUUUUGGACCUGAAAGUCAAAUAACAUCAUUCGCCGCUCCUUUUCAGACAAGUUUCUGAGCCCAUUGGCCCUUCCUUUUGAUGGAAAUUCGAGAGAUUAUGUUGAUUGUAGACAUUAGUCCCCCUGGCUAGGACAAACAUAGCUUCGUGCAUAUGAUUUAUUAUCCAGCAAUUCAAAUUUCUUUGAAAAUUCAAGAAAAUCCAAGGGCUACAAGCCUUAUACUCCUUGUUUUCGCCGUGGGGCAUGCUGUAACUUACGUGUGUGAAAGCCAAGAACCAAAGGGCAUUCCUGGCAUUGUUCAAUAUAUACGUGGAGACAAUCUCUAUAGCAUAGAGGACACAUAAGUUUGGGCCGUUAUGCGAAAAGUGUCACGGGAAAGUGAAAUUCUUUCAAGAACUGCCAUAUAAUGGACCGGUAUUCACUAAAAUGGUCAUAACUUCGUCAUUCGGAGUCUGUUUUGGACCCACAAAUACUCAAAAUGCUCUCGGCGAGCAUGUGAAUCCAUAAAAUACUCCUGGCGAGCGUGCGAAUCCAGAAAAUACUCCCGGCUUGCGCCAGGAGGCCCGGGGUGCCUUCAAAUUCGGCCUUAAGGAUGGCUUUUUGGCGAAAAAAGUCAAAUAACAUCAUUCGCCGCUCCUUUUCGGACAAGUUUCUGAACCCAUUGGCCCUUCCUUUUCAAGGAAAUUCGAGAGAUUACGUUGAUUUUAGAAAUUAGUCCCCCUGGCAAGGUCAAAGAUAGCUUUGUGCAGAUGAUUUAUGAUUUGGGAAUUCCUAUUUCUUCGUAAAUUCAAGAAAAGCCAGCGACCUUGUUUUCGCCGUGUGGCAUGUUGUAACUUACGUGUGUGACAACCAAGAACCAAAGGGCAUUCCUGGCAUCGGUCAAUAUAUAUGUGGAAACAUUACGUCCAGCAUCGAGGACACAAACUUUUGGGACGGUUUGACAAAAAGCGUCACGGGAAAGUGAAAUUCUUUCAAGGACUGCCAUAUAAUGGAGCGGUGUUCACUAAUACGCUCAUAACUUUGUCAAUCGGAGUCCGUUUCGGACCCACAAAUACUCAAAAUGCUCACGGUGAGCGUACGAAUCUAGAAAAAACUCCCGGCUUGCGCAAGGAGGACUGGCGUGAAAUCAAAUUCGGCCUUAAGGAGGACUUUUUGGCCCUGAAAUUCAAAUAACAUCAUUCGCCGCUCCUUUUCGGACAAGUUUCUGAACCCAUUGGCCCUUCGUUUUCAAGGAAAUUCGAGAGAUUACGUUGAUUUUAGACAUUAGUCCCCCUUGCAAGGACAAACGUACCUUUGUGCAGAUGAUUUAUGAUCUAGGAAUUCCUAUUUCUUCAUAAAUUCAAGAAAAUCUAGCGGCCUUGUUUUCACCGUGUGGCAUGCUGUAACUUACGUGUGUGACAACCAAGAACCAAAGGGUAUUCCUGGCAUCGAUCAAUAUAUACGUGGAAACAUUAUCUCUAGCAUUAAGGACACAAAAUUUCGGGACGGUUCAGUGAAAGCGUCACGGGAAAGUGAAAUUCUUUCAAGGACUGCCAUAUAAUGGACUGGGAUUCACUAAUAGGGUCAUAACUUUGUCAUUCGGAGUCCGUUUCGGACCCACAAAUACUCAAAAUGCUCGUGGCGAGCGUGCAAAUCCAGAAGAUACUCCCGGCUUGCCGUAGGAGGAUCGGGGUGCCUUCAAAUUCGGCUUUAAGGAGGACUUUUUGGCCCUGAAAGUCAAAUAACAUCAUUCGCCGCUCCUUUUCGGACAAGUUUCUUAACCCAAUGGCCCUUCCUUUUGAAGGAAAUUCAAGAGAUUACGUUGAUUGUAGACAUUAUUCCCCCUGGCAAGGACAAACGUAGCUUUGUGCACAUGAAAUAUGAUUCGGGAAUUCCUAUUUCUUCGUAAAUUCAAGAAAAUCCAACGGCGACAAGCCUUAUACUCCUUGUUUUCGCCGUGGGGCAUGCUAUAACUUACGUGUGUGACAACCAAGAACCAAAGGGCAUUCUUGGCAUCAGUCAAUAUAUACGUGCAAACAAUAUCUCCAGCAUCGGGGAUACGAAAUUUUGGGGCGGUUCGGCAAAAAGCGUCAUGGGAAAGUGAAAUUCUUUCAAGGACUACCAUAUAAUGGACCGGUGUUCACUAAAACGAUCAUAACUUUGUCAUUCGGAGUCCGUUUUGGACCCACAAAUACUCCAAAUGCUCCCGGCAAGUGUGUGAAUCCAUAAAAUACUCCCCGCUUGCGCCAGGAGACCCGGCGUGCCUUCAAAUUCAGCCUUAAGUAGGACUUUUUGGCCCUGAAAGUCAAAUAACAUCAUUCACCGCUCCUUUUUGGACAAGUUUCUGAGCCUAUUGGCCCUUCCUUUUGAUGGAAAUUCGAGAGAUUACGUUGAUUGUAGACAUUAGUCCCCAUGGCUAGGACAAACAUAGCUUUGUGCACAUGACGUAUUAUCCAGGAAUUCCUAUUUCUUCGUAAAUUCAAGAAAAUCCAACGGCUACAAGCCUUAUACUCCAUGUUUUCACCGUGGGGCAUGGUGUAACUUAUGUGUGUGACAGCCAAGAACCAAAGGGCAUUCCUGGCAUCGUUCAAUAUAUACGUGGAGACAAUAUCUCCAGCAUGGAGGACACAAAAUUUUGGGGCGGUUAUGCGAAAAGCGUCUCGGGAAAGUGAAAUUCUUUCAAGGACUACCAUAUAAUGGACUGGUGUUCACUAAAAUGGUCAUAAAUUUGUCAUUCGGAGUCUGUUUCGGACCCACAAAUACUCAAAAUGCUCCCGCGGAGCUUGCGAAUCCAAAAAAUACUCCCGGCGAGCGUGUGAAUCCAGAAAAUACUCCCGGCUUGUGCCAGGAGGCCCGGGGUGCCUUCAAAUUCUGCCUUAAGAAUGACUUUUUGGCCAUAAAAGUCAAAUAACAUCAUUCGCCGCUCCUUUUCGGACAAGUUUCUGAACCCAUUUUCCCUUCCUUUUCAAGGAAAUUCGAGAGGUUACGUCGAUUUUAGAAAUUAGCCCCCCUGGCAAGGAUAAACGUAGCUUUGUGCAGAUGAUUUAUGAUCUGGGAAUUCCUAUUUCUUCGUAAAUUCAAGAAAAUCCAGCGGCCUUGUUUUCGCCGUGUGGCAUGCUGUAACUUACGUGUCUAACAACCAAGAACCAAAGGGCAUUCCUGGCAUCGGUCAAUAUAUACGUGGAAACAUUAUCUCCAGCAUCGAGGACACAAACUUUCGGGACGGAUUGAGGAAAAGCGUCACGGGAAAGUGAAAUUCUUUCAAGGACUGCCAUAUAGUGGAGCGGUGUUCACUAAUACGGUCAUAACUUUGUCAUUCGGAGUCCGUUUCGGACCCACAAAUACUCAAAAUGCUCACAGCGAGUGUACGAAUCCAGAAAAUACUCCCUGCUUGUGCAAGGAGGACCGGCGUGCCUUCAAAUUCAGCCUUAAGGAGGAAUUUUUGGCCCUGAAAUUCACAUAACAUCAUCCGCCACUCCUUUCGGACAAGUUUCUCAACCCAUUGGUCCUUCCUUUUGAAGGAAAUUAAAGAGAUUACGUUGAUUGUAGACAUUAGUCCCCCUUGCAAGGACAAACGUAGCUUUGUGCACAUGAUUUAUGAUCUGGGAAUUCCUAUUUCUUCGUAAAUUCAAGAAAAUCCAGCGGCUACAAGCCUUAUACUCCUUGUUUUUGCCAUGUGGCAUGCUGUAACUUACGUGUGUGACAGCCAAGAACCGAAUGGCAUUCCUAGCAUCGGCCAAUAUAUACGUGGAAACUAUAUCUCGAGCAUCGAGGACACAAAAUUUUGGGGCGGUUCGGCAAAAAGCGUCACGGGAAAGUGAAAUUCUUUCAAGGACUGCCAUAUAAUGGACCGGUGUUCACUAAAACGGUCAUAACUUUGUCAUUCGGAGUCCGUUUUGGACCCACAAAUACUGAAAAUGCUCGCGACGAGUGUGCGUAUCCAGGAAAUACUCCCGGCUUGCACCAGGAGGCCCGGGGUACCUUCGAAUUCGGCCUUAAGGAGGAAUUUUUGGCCCUAAAAGUCAAAUAACAUCAUUCGCCGCUCCUUUUCGGACAAGUUUCUGAACCCAUUGGCCCUUCCUUUUCAAGGAAAUUCGAGAGAUUACGUUGAUUUUAUACAUUAGUCCUCCUGGCAUGGACAAAUGUAGCUUUGUGCAGAUUAUUUAUGAUCUGGGAAUUCCUAUUUCUUCGUAAAUUCAAGAAAAUCCAGCGGCCUUGUUUUCGCCAUGUGGCAUGCUGUAACUUACGUGUGUGACAACCAAGAACCAAAGGGCAUUCCUGGCAUCGGUCAAUAUAUACGUGGAAACUUUAUCACCAGCAUUGAGGACACAAACUUUUGGGACGGUUCGGCGAAAAGCGUCACGGGAAAGUGAAAUUCUUUCAAGGACUGCCAUAUAAUGGACCGGUGUUCACUAAUACGGUCAUAACUUUGUCAUUCGGAGUCUGUUUCGGGCCCACAAAUACUCAAAAUGCUCGCGGCGAGCAUUCGAAUAUAGAAGAUAUUCCCGGAUUGCGGAAGGAGGACCGGGGUUCCUUCAAAUUCGGCCUUAAGGAGGACUUUUUGGACCUGGAAGUCAAAUAACAUCGUUCGCCGCUCCUUUUCGGACAAGUUUCUGAACCCAUUGGCCCUUCCUUUUGCAGGAAAUUCAAGAGAUUACGUUGAUUGUAGACAUUAGUCCCCUUGGCAAGGACAAACGUAGCUUUGUGCACAUGAUUUAUGAUCCGGGAAUUCCUAUUUCUUCGUAAAUUCAAGAAAAUCCAGCGGCUACAAGCCUUAUACUCCUUGUUUUCGCCGUGUGGCAUGUUGUAACUUACGUGUGUGACAACCAAGAACCAAAGGGCAUUCCUGGCACCGGUUGAGCAAACUUGUUCCUUGGGUCCGCCAUCUAUAGAGUGGAAAGUGGAGAAGAGUCGGAAAUGAGUAGAGAAGAGUGUCCUAUGGCUCAUCUUUGUGGUCGCGUCCUACAGUCAGCGUGUGCUUUGAUACCAUCUUGUAGAGAUCCGACCUCAAAUGGUCAAAUCUCUGUGUAUAAGUGUCAUCCCUGGAUCGGUAAUGCUGACACACACAGUACUCCAGGAUUUAUAACAGAGUUCAAUCACACACUUAUUACAUCGAAUGUAUCGAAAGAGAGUACUUAUUACAAUAAUAUGGGUGAAGGCCAUCUAAAGAAGAUAAUACCGGAAGCUUCGAAGGUAAAGUGAGUCCAUCAACUCUAACGGCAUAGCUGAGUGCAUGACAACGACCUAGCGCACCUUACUCUUCGUCUAAAAACGCUGCAACAUAAUACGUUGCAGCCUGUGUAGGUCAGCACAUGGAAUAUGCUGGCAAAAUAACACUAUAGAGCAAUGAACAUGUAACAGAUAUAACUAUAUGCAUAUUUGGCUGGUGGAGGCUCUAUGGUUAUUGUUUUGCAGAAAGCUAGUUUUCCCUACAACAAAGGAAUAUAUUUUAUUUAACUACAAAGUUUGUUGAAAACAUUGAGAAGGUUCCUUCAACUCAAUCCCAAAUUAAUAAAUCAUCAACCCAACAAAAUAAUUAAAUAGAGUGAUAAGAUCAAACCAAUAAUUCAAGUACAAGAUACUAAAGAUGUCCAUAACCGGGGACACGACUAACCAUGAUUAGUUUAUACACUCUGCAGAGGUUUGAGCACUUUUCCCCACAAGACUCGAUCUCCUCCGUUGGAUUUCUCGCACGACAUAAUGUUUGAGAAACGGAUGACCGAGACACAAUCUUUCAGAAGCAUUAACUCUUUACUCUGGGUAGACAGUACCACCUACAUCCCCUACAUCUGCUAGCCUACCACUGAAAGAGGUCACACAACUUACUCAACUAUGCCAGAGCCCAUAAUGGCUUGUGGCUGCACACGGAAGUUUCCAGCAGGAAUAAUCUUGUGAUCCCUUUGAGCUUGGGUGGCAAACCGUAGGAUGAUCACACAGGUACUCCGAGAUAUCCCGGGAGAACACUGGAUUGCUCCAGGUGCCCAGACAACCACUGGGUGCUCCAGGGUGCCUCAACCAAUCCACCUAGAUGUGUAUUAAAGUAGCCACCUUAAGUUUAACCAUUAACUAAAACUCUCACAUCUGUCAUGGAUCACUCAAACCAAACCACGUCUACAAGCAUAGCAUAGCGAUAUAAGCAUAACGUAGAAGUAACUCCCAAGGUUUGAAAAUAAAGACGAUAGGUUCUACCUCAUCAUCUACUUCCUAAAACCCACAAGUAUUCAAAUCCUAACCAUGCAAUGUUUGAGGAUUGAAACUAAUGCAUAAAAACUGGGUAAUAAGGGGUAUGAUCAAAGUGUUACUUGCCUUGCUGACGAUCUGAAAACCCUAGUGACUCGUAGUAGCACACUUCCCACUCCGGAAACUCUAUCGUGAACAAACAAUAACAUACAUAAGGACUAAAGCAUAAGAUGAAAACUCAAAUAAAAAAUCCAAGUGAAAGUUCAACUGAAGAGUUUCGAUUUGAAAAAGAAUCAAUCGAAUCGGAGAAACGAAACUCAAACUACGAUCAAAAGAAAUUCAAAUUCAAAUCUGCUUGAAACCAAAUUUUAAAUUGUCAAAACCAUGUUCAAGUUGAUUAUCUGGAAAGAGGGGAACAAGAUGAAUAUUUUGGCGUUGGUUUCACUGGAUUUGGACGAACGAGCAAAAAAUUGCGAAGGUUUGAAGAUCAGGGACUGAUCUGUGAGAAAAGUAUUCACGGAUAGGUCCCUGGCCGAAAAUAAAAUAAAAGAAAAACCUAUCGAACGAAUGUUCGCUAACAGAACUAAUCGGACGAACGUGUUCGUUAAAACGUACUAAACAGAGAGUGUUCGCUAAAUAAAAUCGACCGGGAAUAAACCGAGAAAAACCCUAACCCAAAAAAAUAAACCGAUCUAAACCGAAGAACCAAAAAUAAACCGGCGAACCGAAACGGUUUUGUACCGGUCUACGGCGGCGGCUCCGGUGGCGCGGGGCGGGCGGUGCUGGGGGGCGGCGGCAUCGGCGGNNNNNNNNNNNNNNNNNNNNNNNNNNNNNNNNNNNNNNNNNNNNNNNNNNNNNNNNNNNNNNNNNNNNNNNNNNNNNNNNNNNNNNNNNNNNNNNNNNNNNNNNNNNNNNNNNNNNNNNNNNNNNNNNNNNNNNNNNNNNNNNNNNNNNNNNNNNNNNNNNNNNNNNNNNNNNNNNNNNNNNNNNNNNNNNNNNNNNNNNNNNNNNNNNNAGAGGAGGCGGCGGCGGGCUCCCUAUAAAGGCCCGAGGGGGUCUGCCUUGGGGAGGAGGGCGUUGGGAGGAGUCUGGCUCGGACUCGAGCUCCGGCGGUGGCGGCGCGGGGUCCUCGCAUGGGAGGGAGGCGGCGCGCAGGUGGGCCAGCCUGCUCGGCUGGGCCUUUGGCCCAGUCAGACGGGAAGAAGAUUUAUUUUUAAAUAAAAUUCCGCCCAAUUCUAAUGAAAUAUAAAAAAAAUUGUAAAAAUACCAGAAACAAUUUUCACCGUCUAAACCUAUUAUUUAGAACAAAGUGAACAUUUUGCUGGCCUAAAAAUGCAAUUUUUAAAAAUGCAUAUUUUUCUAAUUUAAAUAAAAUAGCAAAUAAAAUCCAAAUAAAAUGUAAAUUUGAUUUUAAAUUUUCUUCUCCAAUAUUCCUUUCUUUUGAAGAAGUCAUAUUAUCUUCUCUUUUUUAUUUUAAAUAUUGAAAAUAAUUGGAGAGAAAAAUAUUAAAAUAACAUUGAUCCUCUUUUCAAAUAUGAAAAUUCAUGAAAUCUCCAACUCUCUCCUUGGGUCCUUGAGUUGCUUAAGAUUUUAGGAUCUCAACGAAAAAUGCAAAUGAAUUAUGAUAUGCAUAUGAUGACCUAUGUAUAACAUCCAAAUUGAAAAUUGGGAUGUUACAGCCGGCGUCGGAUGUGACGGCGUCGGCCAGGGCACAGAGGAGUCACUGGAGUUUAAGGGAUGAGGUCAAGGUCGGACGAGGAGAGGACGGGGGUGUGAGGACGAGAUGAGGGCAGCCGUCGGGAGGAUCGCGUCCAGGCUCGCGAGGAGGGCAGGGUCAAAGGGAUCGCGUUAGCAGGAAAGAUAAGAAUUGAUGUGUUAGGAAAGUUAAGAUUUUGAAAGCUCCUUGAAAAUGCGUAUUUAUUGUUUGUAACGUCAUAUCAAUACCUGCCCGUCUGUGACGUGCCUGGUUAGGAAAAAGUUUGUAAAUGUUAAGAAAGUUUUUAUUGGAAGGGAAAAAAAUCAAUGUGAAGAUAUGAUUAUGGAAGGUGAGACGAAACUAAACCGGACAAAAAUAAACUAGACGAAAAAAAAACCUUGAAGGCUAUUCUAGCAACUGAGACAUUAGAAGUAGAGAUAUCUGCUCUAUUGCAUUCUAGCUCUCGCAUGAUCAAACAUAAAGCAUGAUCAAAUGUUUGAUGUUGUUGCAAAAUUUCAUCCACAGAGAACAUUCGAGGAGCUCUCGACCAAAAAAACUUGUACUCGGAAAUGCAGAAAACAUUGACGACUGAUUUUGUUGUUUUUGUGAGAGCGCCUCGAAUGUUAGCUGUGGCUGAAAUUUUGCAAGUGUCUAAAACAUUUGGUCAUGUUUGAACAUGUCUGAUGUGGCCCAAAGACAGAUAUCAUUCUAUAACUUUUGCAGUUUAUUCCUGUAUAAAACACGUUAAGAUGCACGUUAAGAUGCCUUUCAGUCUUCACACACAAGCCCAGUAUGAGCUAAAAAAAGCUCAUAAUAAGUGCUGAGAUCAGAGUAAACAAAUCAAAACAACAACAAAGAAGCAAAUUUUAUCUGAUUUCUAUACCCAUGCGUUUGAGUUCUCUAACAUUUUGGCUUCCUCCAAUAUACAAGCACUUCCUGCAAAGUUUUUGCAUACAUCUUAUUUCUAUAUAAUGCAUCCUAUCUCGGCAAAACUACAGUACAUAACUACUGAUAUAAUUUAAGCCAUAUAGAACAGGAUAAGCAUCUCUAAACUCUAUAAGAUCAUAUGUCAUACGACUUGUCAAUAGAAGGAUCAAAUACUAAAAUUUAUCCUUCCAUAGAUGUUCCUAGUUUAACCUGAAUUAGAAACAGAUUGGUACUGCUCCUAAUGUAAACAAAAUAGCUAUAGGUCUUGUACUUACACAUGAACUCUUGGAGUGCCUCUCCUUCAUAUUCAUUGUGUCGAGAAGUACAAAGUAACACACGGAACAACAUCAAAUCGAGCAAGAUAGGUAUGAUCAGCUCUCUGAAAGUGGAAUCAUCUAUUGUUAUGUAAGAUAAUACUAUAUGCCAUUGUUUCAAGCCUGCACGAUAAAACUGAAACUGAAAUUUAGAUUUCGCUUCCCAAUUGCAAAAGUAAAUGUACGACGCUCCAAGAAAAUAAUGAGGCAAUAAACCAUUUGUAUUGUGGUACAUUUUGGUAAAGUUUGCGCCUGGGAAUAAACUGCAAAUCAAGCAAUGUUGGAUAUAGCCUUCAUGUAUGCAAGUCAUUGUUCUCUUGCUGUCUGAAUGAUGAGGAGAAGCACCAAAUAUUAUGUCAAGAAAAUUCUAGUAAAAACAAAGCUACCUACUACUACUUAACUUGUAGAAAUAAUAAAGGAAUACAUAAACAUGAUACACCUUCAAACCGAGAUAGCUAAUGGUCUUCUGAAAAAUCAAGGUAGCUACAGCCAAGGAAUUGAAACCAGCAAUUGAAAAAGCAAGAAAGUCACAUGAGAUAGGUUACCUCAUUAGUCAUUACUCCUGUCAUAUACAUACGUGUAGGUUAACUGCAGUUCAAUAACCAAGGAAAUUUCCUCAUUCAUUUUAUUUCGUAAUUAGCCCCCUGAAAUACAUUAAUCUCUUGAAGGUUAGUAUUGUGGUACACUUCUACCAGAAAAAAUUGAAAACUAAAGAAAGAAGUGUUGCCACUUUGUAACUAAUGAAACAAAUAGAUAACAACUUCAUAGCAGUACAAGUCUGUCGCUGUUAUUUACAGUUAGAAGGUGGUAAAAAAUAAAAUACACAAGGUCGAUUCUUACAUCAAGAGGUGGAUCUAAAUCAUGCAGUUUGAGCCAAGGAAGUGGCAUCAUCCCUCAUCAGCGAUGCUUGGUUAAGGUCUGGAAGACAUGGAAAUUGAUGGCCUUUAGUAUAGACGUUCCUGCUUCUUGAUAUGCAAGAACACGACAUAGAGAUGGGGGGCUGAGACUUGGGACAUGCACUGCGGCGGCUGCCACUAUGAAGUUAAUCGAAAGAGACCUCGCCAAAGAGACCGACGG
rnacentral:lncRNA from 1 species